rnacentral:lncRNA from 1 species
CCCACAUCUUAUGCACAUGCAUCACACUCUGGAAAAAGCUUUACUCUAAUUCACAUUAAAUUCUAACUCCUGCAACUUAACUACUUUAUUUCUUACUGUACUCAUCAAUCCAUCUCAACAUGUCAAUUUUGCAUCAUUUUUGAGCAUUUGGAUCCUUCUUAUAGGUGAAAAUUCUUAUGCCCAAAAAAUGUCAAACAUGUUUUAUAUUUUCUCGUCAGUCCCCAAAUUUUAGUAUUGUUUAGCCAUAUAUUCUUCUCCCAAAAGGAUUAAGGAUGCGGUAGUCCUUCAUUCGAUGGGAACAAUAUUUAAGCUGCAAAGCAAAGGAUGUAUGCACCAAUUACUGUAUAUUUACCUUAAAAAAUGAAUACCUUGUUGAGUUUUUUGAAAAAAUCCAGUAAAUAAAAGGUACUGCAAAUUUCUGUAAACAAAUGGGCUUUCCAAUCUUUGUUUUGGUUCACAUGGUGGACUUAGGAUUGAUUAAAGAGGAGGGUUUCAGGGGAAGCCACUAGUUAUAUUGCAGUCAACCCAUAGUUUCAUUGAAAGGGGAAAGGUGGACUAAAAUGCAGAAAGAAUGAGUCAGCUCAACCCCCAUUGAGUUGCACUCCCCAAAUUCUAAUCACGUGUGGUUGCACCAGGGCUGAAAACCUGACCAUACCACGGUAAGAUAUUACCUGUACUAAGGAGUAUCAGUGGCAUACCAAGACUGUACCUAACAACAUUUCGAGACAUAAUGAUAAAGCAUAAGCAAAAAUGGGGGUGUACCAUGGUAUUUACCAUACCAAGACAUGACUGAUACCUUCCAGUACCAUUGUAUUUCAAACCUUGGUAGGUAAUAUGCACAUAUUGCUACUGCUAUGGAUAUCAUGUGCAUUGGUUAGACUUUUUUCAUGUACUUCAUCCAGUCUCUCAUAUUGAUGUGACCACUACCAGCACAAGUGGCACAAGACAUAUCCGAUGAUAGCUUGGAGCUUGAUAACUAUGACUAGGGUUAGAAGCAGGGAAGAGGGAUCAAAAAAAUAUAUAAAAUAAAUGCCUAGAAAGCUAGCAUAGGAGAGAGAGAUUCUGAAGGAUUCUAAAAUGGCAUGUCACCUUUGUAGAAUAUCUUGACUAGUGGGGUAUGGAGGCUUGUAGCAAUAGCUAGUAUAGAGCUAUCUAUCCAUGUAGCAUUUUUUGGCAUUAGGUCGUCCACUGAUACAAGUUGGGCAUGUGGAAGACUUGAGUUGGCUCUUUUUGUCACAUACAAGGAUGGCAAAUCAUAUGCAUAAGUAGUUCCUUAGAGAAAAGAUCAUUAUGAUUUCUUCUUGCUAUCCUUUUUAAAUUUCUUGAUUUUGGUUUCAGUUAGCAGUAAUGUCUAACUUUUGGUUACCACUGUUUUCAUUCCUGGGACAUUUCUUGCCACUGUAAAAAUAGAUCUUUUUGACAAAAAGAAUAUCAUUUCGUUUAAGUCCAAAAUGAACAAAUUCUCCCUUGGCUUUUCUUACUGUUAAUUCUCAUACUGGCAAUGUUUUAAAUUCUUCCAAUACUCUGCUAUUGGUCGAAAUCACAACCAUCAUAUUGACCCAUAGCAUUACCAGGACAUUGUCUUGUUUGGAUUUUUCAUGAUAUUUUCUUGCCUCAUUUUCCCAGAGCUAUGGUUCCUAAACGCUGACCAAAUUUCAGCAAAUUUACUCUUAGAUUUCUGGUCCAAAGAAUCAACUUUUGAACCAGCUCAUCCUGCUCUAUGUUCAAUUUGAAUAGAGCAAGGUGCAUCUUCUCUUCUUCUACUUUGUCCUUAUUGCUUAGAGACCAUCUGCCUGAAGGUUUACUAAAGUCAGCCUUCUUCUGAUCGAGAACUUGCAUAAUAAGUUAUGAAUCAAAAAAUGUAGUUAUGCCUCCCUAAUAGCUUUCGCCAUGAUAAUUUGAGCAUAUUUAAGCUGUUAAUAUGUAAAUAUAGUUGCUAUACUAGUAUGCAAGUUAAAUAUUUGAAAUUAUACAAAGUACAUAUUAAAUAAUCAAUCAAUAUAUACAUACAGACAUGGUGUUAUGGAAAUUGGAAUUAUGUAAGAGUCUGCACAAAAAAUUAUUCAGAUGAUAAAAUAGUCCAAAUGGACAAGCUUGGCACUUGAAUCAAUAGGAUAAAAAGCUCAAAUAAGCAUUUGGAUCUGAAGCUAUGUGGUCCAAGAACCCAAAAUUUUUAAUUUAACUAAAUCUUAAAACAAAACACCAACUAAUAACAAUAACAGAUCAAGGUAUUAUGUUGCAAAAAUUUUGUCUCAAGAUCCUUUUGACUUUUCGAGACUUUUAAGUUCACUAUGUGAUAAUUAAGAAAAGAUGGCAAAGAUCAACUAGUACCAAAUAUUUAAGAAAAAAUGGUAAAUAUAAACUACAACAAACAGACACUUGCAAUACCAAUCUUGAUUGCUAAUCCCAAAUUCAAAUUCUUCUAGUCCACCACUGGAUCAAGCAAGACGGUGGAUCCGUCUUAUGAUCGAACAGAUUAUUCCACUAUGAACUUACAAUUGUAGUGGGAUUUUAGUUGUUCCUUUAACAACAAAACCUAUCAAGUGUUCUUCAAGAAUCUACUCAUCUUUUCUCAUGCAUUAUCGUAAGCAUGAAUCCUAUUUGAACUUUUGAAUAUUCAUGAAACUUCUGUAUGGAUCUUCGAAUAACUGAAUAGUCUAGUUAACACUAUCUAUGCAUCAAUUCAAUGGUCCAUCUAUAGCUUUAAACACAGCAUUUAGGCAGAGGAUAAGUUUGUUGUCUAAACAAUGCUUAAUAUUAUGUUCCAAGCAGCAAAUAUUAUCAAAACAGGCAAUUAGCAGAAAAUAAAAUAAAGGAGAAUUAGCUUCAAGAUUUCUUAGAGUCUAGAAUAUAAGUUUGUGGCCUAAAGAAUGAUUAAAUGCAUUUUCCAAGAACAAAUAUCAAAUACAGAAAAUAAUAGAAGAAAAACAUUAGAACUCCAAGUUGGUUGAAGCUUUAAUCAAGUCACGCACACACACCCCAUCUGAACAGUUGUUUUUUCACUUUAGUCAACACCUUCAACAACUAAGAUCUGAAAAAAGCUCAGUCACUUUGCAACAAAGAAAUAAAGGUAUCGUUAAGUAGGAGCAUAAGGAAAAUGGAAACAUGGAAAGUUAUGCUAAGUGGCAUAGCUAUGCCAGGUGUUUAUGCCAAAUUUUGUUUGGUUAUCAAAAAUAUUAGAAUAAGUUGAAAGUUGGAAUAACCUACCCACUUUUUCUAAAAUGGCAAAACUCCCAUUAUAGUAUAUGUCAUAUGAUCUAAUUAAUAUUUAAAAUGGCAACACUGAAGACAUAUUAUAACAUUAUAGUAUUAUAAUAUAUUAUAUUAUUUAAAAAUAUAAUAUAUAUAAUAUAUUGUGUAGAUAUAUUUUGUAUUAUAACAUUAACAUUUAAAUACUUAUAUCAACUAAUAAUAUUUUGUGUAAUAAUAAUAUUAUAUUAAUAUUAUGUUAACAUUAUAUUAAUAGUAUAUUAUUAUAUAAUAUUAGUAUUAUACAAUAUUAUCAUAGAAAUAUAAAUACUUUAUAGUAAUAUAAUAAAAAAAAUGCUAUAAAAAUUAAGAUUUUAAAUUCCAUGGGAUGGAAAUGUCCUGGUACCUCCAUGGAACAAGAUGCCCCACUGUUCCGUCUCAUCCCAUUCCGACAGUUAUCUUGAUCAUGCAUCCCUGUUGAUAUUCUCCAUCUCUCUCCCUUUUUUUCUUUCUUUCCUUCUUUCUUUUUUUUCUACCUUCCUUUCUUUUUUCUUGUUUUUGUCAUCCCUUCCUUUUUUUGUCUCCUUUUUCUUCUUCGUUGUCUUUUCUUUCUUCCUUCUUUCCUUUCUUUCUUUUUCUUCUCCCUUCCCUUUAUUCUUUCAUUUUUCUUCUUCUCCUUUUCUUUCACUUUUUCCUUUUUUUAUCUUCCUUUCUUUCUUUUCUCUUUCUUCUUCUUUUUCUGCAUGAGUAAGUUUUGAAAUCCCAACCCCAUCCAGGUCUCAUUUGCUUACAAGAAUAAGAUAGGAUGGCCGGGAUGCCCCCUCAUCCCAUCAAAACGUAAAUCUUUGAUAAAAUUUAAGAAAGAUCAUACAGUCCCAAACCAUCCAGUUUAGAGCAUACCGAGCCGUAUCGGAGGCAAACUGGCACAAUUUUGCCCCUUGGUUCAAGAAUCCAAAAAGGAAGGGGGAGAGGGAGAAGGAAAGAGAGGAAAAGAGGGACAGAGAGAGAGAGAGAAAGGAAGAGAAGGAGAGACAGAGAGUGAGCAAGGGAGAGGUGGAGGGCUUUCCAGCCUCCUCUCCUUCGACUACUCUACUGACUUCACUUUAAAAAAAUUCAAAAAAAAGGGCUACAACAUGCCAGUAGAGUAGCACAGAACCAGCUGCAUGCCAGUGCUUGGGAUUCAGCAUGCUACAACAUGCCAAGCUUACCAAGCACUAAUAUAUCAUAGAACAAUAUAUUGUGCUUAUGAUAAUCUGGCAGCCACCAAUAUGUGAUACCUCAGCACAUGCAUUACAGAUGUUUAUUAUCACCCAGCCAGAAAGAAUGAAGAAUAUAAGGAGCAGAGAAAAUAGGAAAGAGAGGAUGUAUGAAAGAGAGGUAUAGUCUGCUUUCAUAGAAGAGAGGAAUAAAAAGAAGAAAAGAGAAGAUAUUUAGAAAGGAAGAAAGAGGGAAUGGGUGUCUUCCUACUCUACCUUUGCAGUGUCCAUAAUACUUGGGCAUCAUAACAAACCUUAUUGCUUGUUUGGACGCAUGUUUCUUUAAGCCUUAGGCACAUUUCUUUCAGCCAAGCAUCCCUCUUAAUUAUCCCCUUUUCCAGGUGAGUCAUGACAGAUAUUAUUUAAAUAUAUUGAAAUAAGGACCACCAAUUAAGUGAUCAUGUGCUAGUUGCAUGCACAUGAUGACUUGAAGUGGGAUGUGGGACCCCUUCACAUGAUGGGUAAACUAACCUACUUAAAAGAUAACAGAGCUCAAAUACACAUUAUAUAGCUUAAAACAAGCAAAAAGAAAAAAGAAAGCAUAAUGCUCAAAUCAACUCCCCAUGGGUGAGUGGAGCUCAGCCCCAUCAAGCGAGCCUCAAUAAAUCAUUAUUACAGGUUUUUGCAUCAUCUUCUUAGUUCCGAAUCAUCUAUCAAAUGCUAUGUGUCAAUGAGCAGCCUUUGCAUUGAAUAAUCUAUUGCAAGGAGUGUUGCAUCAUGUCUAAAACAUCAGUACAUCAACAAAUAUCCUUAAUCUCCUCCUCGACCAAUCUAGAGAUAUAUCCAAAGUCACAUGAAAUUGACACUAAUAGGUGAUGGUGAGUCUAAUCCUCACUCCAACAUGUAAGCAAAUGCCAUCCUAUUGCAAGAUCAAGAAGACACACAUUGGAGCUUAACUUCCUAAGCAUAAGAUGAAGUCCAUGCUUAUAUCAGAGCUUAAUUUUCUCAUGGUUUUUCUUUCUUUCUAGAUAAAAGAAAAGACAGAUAUGGCCCAAGGCCUCCAAAAUGCCCCUUAAAAUAGUUUUUUUUUUUUUUAAGAAAAAAAAGGACUAGUCUGAACAACAAAUUACAAUGCAUUCUACAACAACAUUUAAAAGCUACAUGCAUUGGAUUUAUCCACUUAGCCCAAAAUAAUGAGAAAUAGUUCAAAAUUCAAUAUACUUUUGAGUUCUACUAAAAUAUGCAGGAAGAUAUUUGUGUGCAGUAGCUAGGAAAAACCUUCACAAUUAAAUCUAAUGUAUUUCUUAACACCUAGGAAGCAUAAAUACCGGUACGCGGUAUGGGUACUUUAUGGUAUAGGUACGCCGAUACGGCAAAAAUUAAAAAACCACGAUACGGAUAUGACUAGAUAUUUUAUAUUUUUAUUAAUAUUUAAUAUAUAUAAUAUUAUAAUAUUAAUAAAAAUAUAUGAAAAAAUUGAAUCAUAUAUAUAAUAUUCGAAUAUUAAUAAAAUUAAGUUCUCAAAUUUCAACUAAAUUUAUUAGUAUCAUCAUAAAAAAUAAACAAACACUUACAAUUAACGAAGAGAAAAAAACUAACAAUCUAAAUAAGUAGAAAAAAUCAAGAUAGUAAGUCUUGAUAUAAUCAAGUGAUAAUAGUUUCAACUGCUUCAUUCUCUGCAUUAUCAGCAAAAAGUUUCUUCUCCAUAUCUGGUUCAUCAAAAGACAAACUUGCAAUCUUAAGAAUGCAGAGAUAAGAGUACCGAUGCUGCAUCAAAAAUGUACCCGCACCGAAAACAUACCCGAUGCUGGUACAUGCCUGAAAUAAGAAUAUCGAUGCUUCAUAGCUUAACACUUUAACUUCAAGAAGUAAUAAUGUAUCCAGGCAUGUGUGUUCACAAUACAAAAUACAUGUAUACUUAAUGAAUUACAAUGAUAUUCAAUAUGAACUCCACUUAAUGUUGUCAAAACUAUGGACCUAAAGAAGCUAUGUCACACAAAAUACUCUAAAAUAUUAUGUACUAAAUCAUUCUUAGCACUUUUUCACUCUUUUAUUCUGAUCUUUCAAUUUCUUUAAACUUACCUUUUUUUCUAAAAUUUAGAAAGAUGAAGUCAAACUUUCAAAAUCACCAAAAUUGCCAAAAUCCGAUCUCCACAAAACCAAAAAAUGAAAUGGAAUGAUUUUUCAAACCUUAAUUUGCACUCAUAUGUUCCCUCUUUACACCAAAUAUAGCUCAAAUUUAACUUCUCCAAUACCUCUUUGUGAACUUCAUAACUAUCGCAGACAUUAUAAUUUAUAACUAACAUCAGCACUGUGCAUUCCCACGUAUGGCAUGACUAAGAAGUCUAGGACAAGAGGUAUGGGGUAGCCCUAAAGAGUUUUUCUUCUUAAUGUUUUUAAUGACCAGCUUAUGCAAGGUUAAACUGCACUAAGCUGGUCUCGCGCUUGCUAAUAUCUUAGAAAAUAACUGAGUUGUGAUUAAUCACCUCAAACCAACCAUCUCUAUGGGGAUUAUGUGCACUAUUAGCUUGUAAGGUAGUUCUCAACUUAGAUAACAAAAUCCAACUAUGACACAAAUACCUAAUGUCCUCAUUAAAGGUGAAUAGCCUAGGAACAUCAUGUAAAUGUAUUUCUUCCCUAGAGAACAAAUCAGCCGCAUGUAAUGUACUGGAGAAAGGGAGGAUAUUGGAUAAAUGUCUAGUGCCACCUGGCAAAAUAGAUGUGAAAAACGUGAAGGAAAGAGAGGUAACAGGUCUGGUUGUAUAUAAGAGAUACAAAGAAAAGAAGGAAGAGAGUGAGUGCAGCAAUGAAAAAGGAAAAGGUUUCUCCUAUCCUAUUGGUGAAAUGUUUCAAGUGUUCCUCUUCUUUUUUUCUUCCUCCUUUUCAUUUUUAGUGGAUGGAGUGUGGUAGGAGGGCCAAACAUAUAAAGUAGGAGUAGCAGGACAAGCUAACAUGGCAAACCUUAAUGCUUGCCUUGAUCUAACAUAAGGAUGAUUAAAUGACAUUGUCACUAGCAUUUAAUAUCCUAUAUCUGGCAUCCCAACCAUGAUCUUGUUUUAGCAAAGCAUCCCUCUUGAUGAUCCUCUUAUUUGAGUAACGGAUUUGCAUAACAAGAGCCAAAUGCAAAAUAAAUAACCCAAAAAAAACCCAGAAGAAGAGAACAAUCCAGCUUACCUAUCUUUCAUCCUUUAAACACAUAAUACAUUUUGCAUAGUUUUUUCAGCAACCACACUAACCCAUGGGAAUCCCAGCAUCCAAAUAUGAGAAACAAAACAAUAACAAAAAAUAAACCCGCAGACCGCCGUCCAUAAUAUAGUAUACCAUGAAUCUCGUAAAGAAAUUUAUAAAUACACCACAACAAUAUUAGCAAAAGACUGUAUAAAAUAAAUUAGUUAAUAAAUAAACAAACAGUAGAGUGGAGGAUUACCUAAACAAAUAUGUCCAUUGCUAUAAACAUGAGGAUGCAAAGGUGCAGGAUGGAGAAAGAUGACCUGAUCAUCACACAUAUGCAUAUAAAUCGGAGAACAGCACCAAUACAGAACCAAAAAAGACAGAAAGGGAUCGAGAAAAGCGAUCGAAUCCCAUCACCUGCGGAGCUUCCAUGGGGUAAUGCUCGGGGAAAUCGACCUGGAGCUUGUAGGUCUCGUUGGCGUAGACCGUCCCGGGGGCGCCGACCACUUCGAUUAUCCACCUUGUGAUCGAAAGAAAUGAAGAGGGUUUCAAGCCCAAUUGAGCAAAAGAAAACAAAAGGAAGAAGAAAGGGGGUAGAGAUGGAGCCCUUGGGCGGCGAAGACCUUUGGAGGUUGUCGGUGGGCUUUUGCUUGAAGCCGACCGGGGGAUUGACCUGCCAUUCCUUCAGCUCCUUCUGGAGGCGAUUGCUCGCGAUCUUGCUAAGAGCCUGAACAGAGAAAAAGAGACAAGUGAGAGUGAGUGAGUAACAGUGAGCGAGUGAGAGAGAGACCUUCUUGGAAGGAGCGGAGGAGCUGGUCAUGCUUUGGGCGAGAGCGGAGGACGGAGGGAGAGAGAGAUCGUCGCUUGUCGCUCGUCUCCGGCUGCGAGUAUGGUCUGGCUGGAAAAUAGUCAGCAAAAGCGACAAUCCAGUAGACAGGCAGAGCAGGAACUUUCGAACGUCGGGGAAAUGGGUCCCACCGCACCUGGGAGGAGUUGAUUGGUCUGUUAGAGUUAUCUGUGAAAUCAUUUGUUAGACUAGAAUUUCUAUUUAUUGGUACACCAUACGUGUUCCCACAUUGUUCUUGUGCGGCUGCCUGAUCUGGCAACCGGCCGGCGGGCGGACACGGUUUGGACUUUUUUGUGAACCCGUACUAAGCACAUGCGGUGCACGUGUUAUGAAGACGGGUAUCAAACGAGGUGAUUAAGAUUGGAAUUCUACGAAAUUUCUUAGAGUCUAAUCUUUGCCAGAGGAAGAAAGAAAGAUAUCCAAAGUGAAAUUUUUCAAUAUAAUCUAUUAAUUAAAGAUUUUAAGAAGAAGGUUCUAGAAUUAUUUAGAUUGAUUGGAGAAUAUAUGAGGUAAGCAAUGCUUCGUCUCCUCUAAAUUUUUCAUUUAGGGUGUAUUUGGUUAUACUUUUUGAUUUUUGAUUUUUAAUUUUUAAAAAAUAUUUUUUAUUUUUUUAAAUUUUUAUUAUUGAGUAAAAGUAAAAAAGUAAAAAAUAUGUUUAGAAACUAUAUUGCUAUAAAGCAAAAAGUAACAUUUGAGGACGGCAGGUGAAGAGCUCAACGAGGAAGAAGAGUUCAGAAAAGGAGGAAGAAGGGGAUGGGGAAGUGAAAAGCUCGAUGAAGGAGAAGGAUUCAGGCUCUUUAUUUUUUGGUUUGGCAUUUUAGAUAUGCGGAAGCAAAAAAAAUAGAAAAAUAAAUUUUAGAAAGCAAAAAUUUUUUUCUCUGCAUAUAAAGCAAUUAUUUUGAUUUUUUGGAUUUUUGCUUUUUGUUUUUCAUGGUGUUACCAAACAUUGCUUUUUGAUUUUUAUUUUUUAAAAAUUAAAAAUAAAAAUAUAUUUUUUUAAUGGCUAACCAAAUGUACCCUUAUAUAAUAUUAUUUUGAAUAUCGAAUAAAUUAUUAAUAAUUAAUAUAUAAUUUAUAAUUUUUAUGAAAAUAUAUUUUGAAUGAAAAAUGAUAUAAAAUUUUGAAGUUAUAUUUCUUGUACUAUUACUAUAAUUGUUUACUAAUCAGAAAUCAUAUAUACAUAUUUUGAUUUGAUUAUGAAAUAUAUGUUAUUCUUAUGAAAAGAAUUCUGAUACGAAUCAAAUUUGGACUUCCAGCCCCACUAUGUUCUAGACUCUGCCAUUUGAGAGUUACGCAUUGGCACUCUGACUAUUACUGAGCUUAUGAUUUUAUUUUUGGUCUGACAUAUGAUAUAAGUAUAGUGUUCUGACCCCAUCAUAGGAUAUAAAUAUAAUAUUCCGACCAAUCAUAGGAUAUAAUAUAGUAUUCUGGCCCCACUAUAGGAUAUAAAUAUGAUAUUCUGAUCCGACCAUAAGGUAUAAGUAUGGUAUUUCAGCCACGUUACAUGAUAUAAGUCUAGUCAUGAUUAAAGAAUGAUAAGUUAAAUAAAAUUUAUUUUGAAUCAAAUUAUUAAAUAUGAUUAUUUUUGAAUCAGACAUAUGAUUAUAUAUAAAUAUUUGAAAUAUAUUAAUAUUAUUAAAUACAUGUUUUGAACAUAAAUUUGAUUACAUUUGUGUACGGAUUAAUGAUAUAUUAUAUUUUAAUUAUUAUAAUCUGUAUUAUCAUAUGAAUAAUCUAGUCAAGAUAUUUAUUGCUUUCUAAACUAUAUAGCUUAUUAUUCUUCUUUUCUUUUCCAGAUUCAGAUGUUUAGUUGCGAAUAUGGAUAUUACUUUGAGAGUGAGAUUAGAAGUGAGAUUUGACAGUAUCAAUAUAAUUUAAAUUUAAAUUUAUUAUUAUAUUCAUAGGAUUAUUAUUUGAGAUUUAGUUAAUGUAAAAUUUUUAAAUUUUAAUUAUUAAUUAGAUUUGUUAGUAAAUUAAAAUUUAAAUUUUAGUUAUUUAAAUUAUCUUCUUUGUGAUGCAUUUGAUAUCAUGAUGAGAUGUCUUGCAUGCUCGUGAGGAGUGUGCUCUACAAGCAUACGGCAGUUGCCACGACCUCUAGCUCGUGAUCUCAGAAUAGAGGCAUGAUAAUUAAUAUGGUAUCAGAGUAUAAAUAGAUAAAUUAUGAUACGUAGAAUCAAAUAUGAGUACAGAUGGGUAGACACCAGAAAUAUUGGAAAGAUAAUUUUUGUUGGUUAUGAUAUAACUUUUUAGAAACUUAUACUUAACACAAGUACAUUGGUGGAUUAAAAUCAUAGUGCACAACGAAAGCAUAGUAAUUUAAAUUAUUUUAAAUUGAUCAAGAUAAUAAGUUAAUUUAAAAGAUAUUAUGAUGAGAAACUCGAUCACGAAAUUGGAGGAUGACUAUGGUUUGAGAAAAUAACUUUUUAUUUUUGAAAAUACCGGUAAGAAAAUUUUGAGCAUGAUUUUUUUUGGGGGGGGGAGAAGGGAGAAUGUGAUACCUCAUUCCACCAACCCAACCCAAAUAAAUCCAAAAUAAUUUGCAUAAUUUUUAAAACAUUCAUUGGGAGUCUUCCUCCUUCGAUUUACUAGACGGAAGCCAAUUCCAAGUGGGAUUCAACCUCCCUCCACUUUUUAUACCCCAAUCCAUCAUGGAUGUUUUCCUCCACUACGGUGGCCAAUCAUCGUUGGAAAAUGAGGUAAAGCCCAAAUCCAUUGAUAUAUUCUUCUCUACACUCUUCUUAGCUUUUAAACCAUAAAUCUCGACCCACAUAUCACUGAAUUUAGUCAAAAAAUAGAAUAUUUUAUUCCUCUAUUUUUUAGCAUUAUUUUCAUUGAUUUUUCGUCAUCGACUGUGACCACCUGCCAUGACUAUUGCUAAAGACAUUGCCUUGCCAUUGUCAAAUGCCACUGAUGGUCUCCAACCACUGGUCUUCCAUGAUGAUGCUUGGGAAGGAGAGAGAGAAGGGUCUCCUUUGUUUUGAAUGAACAAAGGAAAGAAAACGGUGAGAGAGAAAGAAAAAAAAAGGAAACAUAAAAGAAAAGCAAGAAGGAAAAGAAAAAAGAGAAGAUAAUUUCUCUUUUCUUCUCUCACCUUCCUCUCUACCCAUUUUCUCUCUCUAGAGUUAUUUCUCUCUCUCUUUAUGAAGUUUUUCUCUUUAAGAUUGAUCCAGUAAAUGGCUCUUUCGAUGACUUUGAUCAAACUUAGUGAAAUUGUCUUGACCCAUGGUCAUCGGAUAAUGUGCUGGCAUCCAUCCUAAUCAAAAUUGGGUCUAUUGGAUUUGAUCUAUAUUUAUUGAAUUAUCUAUAUACUAGUUUAAAUCAUGAUUUGAUAAAAUUAUCUUAAUCAAAUUGAUUGGAACUUUGGUCGUUACCGCUUGAGUGUAGGUGGGUAAACAUUAGGGACAUUGAGAAGAUAACUUUUGUUGAUUAUGCUAUAACUUUAGAAGCUUAGAUUAGACACAUACAUUAGUAGAUUAAAAUCAAAGUGUACAGUGGAAGAAUGGUGAUCUGGAUUAUUUUAUAUUGAUCAAGACAGUAAUUUGAUUUGAAAAGUAUUAUGAUGAAAGACUCGAUCUUGACAUUAGAGGAUGACUUGAGAAAGAAGUAAUGCUAAAUUUUUGAAGACUUUGACAAGAAAAAUUUUGAUAACAAAUUUUUUUCUUAGGAGGAGAGAAUGUAAUACCCCAUUCCAUCAACCGAGCCACCAAAAAAAAUUAAAAAAAUUGGCCAGCAUGUGCACGGCAUGUGCUAGGAGAGAGAAAUUUGACUCGCAUCGGUAGUCAUGUUCCUCAUGAUUUCUUGAUGAAAAUCAAAGCCCUCCACCUUUAUUUAAAGGGGUUAAGCUCCCCUUCGAACUCCAUCAACAUCAGCCACCUUCCAUCAGUGGAGAAGCCUUCUUUCUCUUCAUCUUCUUCAGGAGAUUCUUUAUCGAGUUCGUCGGAUUUCAGCCCAAUAGUCAUCAAAAAAUCAGGUACGAAGAUGGCAAUUGUUGAUAAACCUUCCUCCUUUUCUUCCUUAGCCGUUAGGUCAUAAACUCUGGCCGACUAUUGACGGGUUUUGGUUAGAAAGAAAGGGGUCAUGUUUCGGUUUCAAUCUUCUCUUAUUUUCCAUAGGAUUUCUUUAAUUUUCUAAUGCCAGAAGUCAACGCCAGUUGCUGGUCGGAGAGAUAUGCGGUCACACCACCUUGGCCCGCAUCGUCGGCCAUAGCCGUCGUGAAAAGAUUCCUUCCCUAUUUCCAAAACAAGGGGAUCAACAGGUCCCUAUGUCGCCAAUGAACCAAAGGAAGAAAGAGAAGAAAAAAGAAAAGAAAAGAAAAAAAAGAAAAAAAGAGGGGAGAGUCCUCCCCCUCAUCCUCCUCUCCUUCUCACUUUCUCUCUAAAAAAUCUCACUUUUUCUUUUUACAAGUUUUAUCUCUAAAAGUGUCUCUCUAGAUUAUAUCUCUCUUUUAGAAUUUUUUAGAUCUUAGAAAGAUCUUUUAACAUUCUUGAAAGACUCUAGUAAGGGAUAUUGACCAAUGACAAUCAGACAGCCUGUCAAACAUCAACCUCCACCUUGAUUGGAUCAAACAUCAUUAAUUUCAUCAUUGAUUACAUUCUAGCAUAAUCUUUGAAUUAUAGUUAACCAAUUGGAUUUUGAAAUUAUGAAUUUUAUUUUGAAAAUAAUUAUGAUUAAAUUUUGAUAAAAAAAUAAUUUUGGAUAUUAGAUUUUUUAAAAAAUCGAGAANNNNNNNNNNNNNNNNNNNNUAUGAUUAAAUUUUGAUAAAAAAUAAUUUUGGAUAUUAGAUUUUUUUAAAAAUCGAGAAGCUCAUUGUUUAUGCAAAAUUAAGACAGUUCCACAUCGAAUAAAAAGAGUUGCUAGGAUUGCUGUUAGAGAGACAUCAAACUAACAGAAUAGCAAUGCUCCUUUGUAAAUUGGUGGCACUCUUAAGUAGGAGAGAAUCAUCAAUCUUGCCAGAAAUACUCAGAUGAAGCAGCAAGAACUUGGUAUGGCUCAAAUAAUGUAAACAUUAAUCGGCUUGGUGUAAUCGUAAUAAUCGUUGCAGUAAUAGUCACUGCAACAAUGACAAGUGCGACUACAACCAUUGUCACCAUAAGGCCGUAGAGAGCAUCAGGAUCAAUAAAGUAAUAUUACAGAAUUUAAGAAAUUAUCUCCACCAACUUUCAAGAGGACUAUAAAAUCUUUAUAAGCUAAGAAUUGGCUUAUUGAGAUAAGAAAAAUAUUUAUUAUUAUGAGAUGCCAUGAUAAUGAAAAGAUCUUAUAUAUAUCAUACAUAUUGCAAGAUGAGUUAUUCAAUCAAUGACAAAGACUAUAACAUAAAUAUAAAUAAAAUGGAGAACAACUCACUCAAGAGAUAUUUCGAAGGGCAUCUUAUGACCAACAUUUUUCUCGAGGUGUAAGGACUCGAUAAGAGUAGAAAUUUAUUUAUCUAAAAUAAAAAAAUAUAACAAUUAUGGAAUAUAAAACUAAAUUUAUGAAGCUUGCCAAGUUUAUUCUGAGGUUAAUCGAGGAUGAGCAUGACUAAGUGCAUAAAUUUGAGAUGGAUCUAGGGACAGAAAUUAUAAAGCAAAUGGUGCUAUAUGAAUUAACUACUUAUGCAGAUGUGAUAAAUAAAGCAUUGAUAAUUGAGAGAGAAGUCAAUGAAAAAUGUGUAGAAAAGAAAUCAAAAGAAGAGAAAUAGAUCAAAUGAAUCUCAAGAACAAAUAGUAAAAGUACUAAGAGUUCAAAAAAAAAAAUUAUAAGUAGUAACGGGUCGGAUAUUAGUUGGAUCGACCAAGACCCAUACACCCCCCCACCACACCCGCAAAAAAUAUCCAAACUCAUACCUGCUUCAUACCCCUCUUUGAUCGGGUCAGAUUAAAUAAGGGGUCUAGACUAGCUCGGGUCAGCUCAAAUAUAUCUGCUUCUGAGUUUCGACCAAAAAUCCCCAAACCCACCCGAGGAAACCCCUCUGAUUUUUCGAUCAAAAAUCCCCAAAUCAAAAUCUAAGAAACUGAAACCCCUUUGAUCUCCAAAGGUUCUCUCCUUCCCCAUAGAUUUCUAAGAAAGAGAAUGAAAUGAAAAAGAAAAGGAAGAAAAAAGCGGGAAAAAAAAAUCAAUCUACGUGGGAAGAAGCCUUAAUUUUUAAUUUUCUCCGACGAUGAAUAGGAAAGCUUAGACGAUGACUAGGGUUUUAUCGCCUGUCGAAGCCUUAUCCUCCUUCACCACCCAGCUGUGGAAGUCAUGAAGGUUGCCAUUGCCGCUGCAUCUCCGCACCCACCGCUUGCCUCCACUUCACCUACGACCCUACCGCCGCCCUUCUCCAUCUUUCCUCUCUUUUAUCCAUCCUCAGGAGUCUCGAGUGGUCACGAGGCUUGGAACGGCUGAAUAGGAAACCUUGAUCAAGUGGGAGGUCAGAGCAGCCGAAUAGGGAAGCUUACGAUGGCUAGGGUUUUGGGUCUUAGCAGCCAAAUAGGGAAGCUUACAAUGGAUGGGUUUUGGGUCUUAGCAGUCGAAUAGGGAAGGCAUAUGAUGGCUAGGGUUUUGUGUUGGGUUUUAUAUAUAAGGAUUGAAUCGAGUCGAGUUUGGGGCAAAGCGUGCUAUUAUUCAUAUCUGUUCCGAACUCAUUUUAGAUUUUUUUUUCUAAAACCCAUAUCUAUCUCAAAUUUUAAUUAAGUUGGACAAAACCUGCCCUAUUCGAAUCGGGUCAGGUCGGAUCAAGAAAAAUGGCCACCCUAACAAAAGACCAGUAAAUAAUAAUUCUAGAUCAACUGAUAGCAUCAAAUAUUUUAGAUGCGAUAAAGCUCAUGAUGAAAAGAACUGUCGCUAGAAUAUUAGUGCAUAUUUUAAUAAUAGUCAAAAGGGUUAUAAAAUAACCGAAUGCCCAUAAAGAACAGAGAGUCAACCUACCCCAAUAACCAAACAAAAUAAGGAUAGAACCUUGAAAUCUCAAAUCUAAGGAAGGGUUUAUGCUCUUACACAACAAGAUAUCUAAGGUUCUGAUGUAGUAUUGACAAGUUCUGAAAAAAAUUCUCAAUAUUAAUUUAAUCAAUUGGUUAGUAUCACUUGUAAGAUAAGUAAUGCUUCAUUUUUUUUAUAUUUAUUAAUGAAUUAUAAAAUAUUUUUAUAUUAAAUUAUUCAUUAUUUAUAAAUUCGAUGUAUGGUAUUUUGAAUUAUUGAAUAUAUCCUUUUUCAAUAUGUUGAAUGAUUUAUGAUCAAAUAUAUUAAAUUUAUGAUAGAUUAUGUCGAUUGAUUUCGAUUUAUGAACUUGUUGAAUUGGAAUAUGAAAAAGUAUUUCAAUUUGAAAUAGAUUUUGACUCACAGUCUAACCAUGUAUCAAAUCCUGCCAGUGGAGGUUAAAUACUGAUAUUUCGAUAUCCUGCUAGUAGAAGUUAUGCACUGAUAUUUCGAUAUCCUGCCAAUAUGGGUUAUAUGCUGGUAUUUUGAUAUCCUACCAGUAAGGAUUAUGUGCUGGUGCUUUGAGAUCCUGUCAUUGGGAAUUAUGUAGUGAUACUUUGAUUUAGUUCAUAACUAUCAAGAUGAAAGUGAUGUUUUGAAAGAAAUUGAAUUAUAAACAAAAUUUGAAUUGUGAAAAAAUUUCAUUCUCAUGUUUAUUAUUUGAAAAGUAUUGUAUAUAUGAAUUGGAUAUCAAAUUAAUAUACCUUAUAUGCUUAUUUUUAAUAUAUUAUUACUUAAUUUAUCUAAUUAAAAUAUUUAUUGCUUACUGAGCUAUCAAGCUCACCAUUAUUUCUUUCUUUUUCAAAUUUAGAUGUUUAGUUUCGGACAUGGAUGCUACUUAGAAGAGAGAUUACAAGCAAAAUACAGUAAUACGAACAUUGAAUAGAUUUAGAUCUAUCAUUAUUAAUUAAAAUUUAUCGAUCGAGAUUUAUUUGAUAUAAAGAUUUUCAAAUAUAUUUAUUAGUUAAGUUUGUUAAUUAAAUUUUAACUUUCAAUUAUUUAAAUUAAUUUUGUUGUGAUGCAUUGAUAUCAUGAUUGGAAUACCUUACAUAUGAAGAUAAUUCUUUAUAAAUAUGUGAUGGUUGUCAUGACUCUUAACAAAUAUCGGAUCGAGAGUGUGACAUUAUAACAUAAUUUUCUCUCCAUAAUUUCAGCUUUCAGCAAGAUGCACAACAUUGUAAGCUGGCCUUUGACUCUUUAAGGGCCAUUGUCUAAUGUUGAAACCACUGGCACAUGCACCAUUCCUUGCUCUAAAGCUCUAUUCACAGAUGGGUAAUAUCAUUAACUCCUGAAGCAAUUUACAAGAAAUUCUAAGAUUUAUUGUUGCGUUUCCUGUCAUACACAAAAUAAGAGAAAUUUUUUGUGCACCACAGACAGUGUAAAAAAUCCAACGUGAAAUGCACCACUUUAUAUGAUUGAUCCAUAUAGCCACCACUUCUUAACGCACAUUUAAUGUAUGUAGUUUCAUCUUUUCGUUUAAAAUUUUAUAUGAUGAAAAUACCGCUAUCCUUUAAAAAAAAUUAUGACAUAACAUAUUAUGAUUUCUUAUACACAGAAUGUCAUAAUAUGAUCUGAAAAAUUAUAAUAUCCUAUGCAUAUUAUGACAUCUUACGUCAAAUUAUGAUUUCCUGCAAGCAGAAUGUCAUAAUAUGACCUAAGAUAUCAUAAUAUGACCCAAGAUAUUAUAAUAUGAAAGAGAUAUUUUUGUCCAAUUAUUUUCCAACGCGCAUUUAAUGUCUACAACUUUAUUUUUUCAUUUGAAAAUUUUGAAUGAUGAAAAUAUCCAUAUUCUAUAAAAAAAAUUAUGACAUCCUGUGCAUAUUAUGACAUCCUGCAUUAUAUUAUGAUAUGAACAUAAAUUAUGACUUUUUAAAUACAGGAUGUCAUAAUAUAAAUAUAAAAUACUAUAAUUUUUUCAAAAAAUAAAAAUAUUUUCGUCAUUCAAAAUUUUAAAUCAAAAAAUAAAGUUAUAAAUAUUAAAUAUGCAUUGAAAAAUGAUGACUGCAUGAACCAAUCGGAUAAGACGGCAUACUCUAUAUUGAAUUUUCUAACACCGCCUGCAAUGCACAAAGAAUUUCCCCACAAAAUAAACAUGCAUAAUAUUCAAUAUGAUGGCCACGUUAUUGGGCUUGACACAUGCGCGACCUGAUUAUUAUUUGGUAUCACAAAAAUAAGCCAACCCUCUUGAACCGCAUACUGGCUUAAGCAUGAGAUAGGCUGGAAGGUCAUUUUUGCACCUCAACUUGACCUUGAGUUUGCAGGUGGGGUGGAGAUGGAGCAACCCAUAAAAGACAAUUACAGCAAGGGAUCCUAGAGCUCCAAUUUUAUCAAUCUUUCCUCCUUAUAUUUCUUUUCCCAGGAAUCAGAGAAUCCAUAUGGUGUCUUGAGUUAAAUAAACGCCAAAUUGACAAAGAUGUGCUAUUUUUGUCACAAGUCACUGGACCUAGAAGGAACAUUGAGUGAAAGAAGUAUGCCGGACACAAAAAUAUCCUUUAGCAACCAAACAGAGCAAAAUUAUUUAGGAGUGAUUAAAACAGACAUUCAAACUUGUCGCAAAGCUUGAGAAUGCUCAAACUCAUCAGAAAUAAAAAAACAAACCUAAAUUUAGAUCUCAAAACAUAUUGAAUAAGACUCUGCGUGACUAAAUAUGAAUCUACCAUACAAAGAAAGCGUUUAUGUAAGAAUAUAUUUGGAACGCUGCUGAAGUGAAUAUAAGAAACAAACAUAAAGCUGUGGUGAUCAAUUGAUUGGAUCAGAGAAGGUAAAUCAUAACGGACAAAAGCAAGGGCAGAUUUAGAAUACUGAGCAACGAAAAGAAGGAACGGAUAGAAAAUAUUUUUUCAAUACACAUUAAUCCAAACGACAUUAUCAAAAUAAGCAGAAAUCCAAAACCUAUAAUCAUUUUCCCACCGGCCUAUCAACUCCUAUGAGAAACCACAUACAGGGCACAAUAUUGAAAGGUACAAUGAAGUCUGACAAAAAUAACAAUAGAAGGUAUGGUAAACUUCCUUUUAUCUCCCCUAGUUUAAAGAUAACUAAUUUCUUACAGCAGCCAUCAGUUGGGUCAUGCAAGUUGCAUACUGUACCGCUGUAUGUUGAGGAGUAUAAUGGUCUUGAAGGCCAUAGUCUGCAAAAUUUGGUUCAACAAGAAUAAAAUGGCCAGGCAAUGACCUCUUCUUUACUGUGUCCUGCCAUAUGUCAAAGAAAUCUUCCAGAAUUUGCCUGGAUUUUUCUAUUGAAGACAAGGGAAGGUAUUCUACCUACAAAAAAGGAGAACAGCAAAGUUAAAUGCUAGGUUUUAUAACCAUUCUGUAGUGAUGAUAUGAAAAUGUUAGAAUGUUGCCAAAAAGAAAAACAACAAAUAACUUACUGAAGAUGUAUUAUAAACAAUAUCAAAUUUAGCUACUUGAAAAUUAUGAUAUGAAUCUACGACCAUAUAAUGGGGAAGCUCCAGAGUAACUAAGAUACCUUCUGGUUAGAACCAGCAUGAUUUGAUCAUUGUUUCUUGUUAUCUAAUAUAAAAAAAGGCUCUGCAGGGCACCAUCUUCAAUGAGAGAGGGAAGCUAACAUGGGUUUUGGUUGGAUCACAGUCCUUUCGCUUGCUUCACACGUACAUGAUUGAGGUAGCUCGUAUAAAAAGAUAGGUAAACCGUGACUUUUUUCACCAUUCUCAUUCACUAUAACAAGUACAGAGCUGAGAUAAAUGAGCGCUACCACAUGUUAGAUAAGAUUUUUAGUGAUGGAAACUACAAGGCCAUCCACACGAAAAACAUAGUCUCACCCCCUAUUCAAACAGACAACUGAAACAAGAAAUGAACAGGGUUGUUUUGGAAACAAGGACAUGGCUCUUCAUCAUAGUAGAGAGGGUGCUGUUCACCCUGACAAUAUCAAAAUAAAGGUUCUUCAUAAGGGCCAGUACACUACAAGCUAUCUGCUUUGUCUUAGAUUGAAUGGCAAUGAAAAAUUACAAGUCAAUGUUCAAUAUAUGAGGCAGGUUUCAGCCGAUAACAGAACAGUGUUCAUGUCCAAAGGGGAUUUUAAAAAUAAAAAAAUAGAAAAACUGCAAAGAACAAAAAAAACUAACUGCUGGCAUGUUUGUUCUAGCAAAGCAGCGCCAAACUACGAUUGUUCCUCUAGAGACCAAAUAUAAAAUGAUCUUUUAUUUGAAAACAAUGGAGAGGAUUUUAAUACCCUGCAUUCCAGUCCAAACCCUCUCAACUUACCAAACAAAGAUUAAAUUACAGGCAUCCUCCUUCCCAAGAUUCUCACCUGUUAACAGAAAAAUAUAAUAAAACCAUUCCCAAGUUAUCACUUCAUGGCAGCAUUAAGCAGUCCAUAUGAGCCACUCACUCACAAAUUAUCACUUCAUGGUAGCAUAAAACCAUUCCCACCUAUAUGAAUGACAUGAAGCUUGUAUGCAUGAUCCUAUGCAAGUGCUGAUGGGAACUUUCAGAACCGCCAUGCACAGCUUUGCACAACAGCAGGCCAGGCUUUCAUGCACAGAUCAUUAUUAGGCCCUGUUUGGCAUCAUUGUAGGUAGUAAAGCUUUUGUUUGUAGCUCUUUAGAUGGUAGAGCUUUCUCUAGUAUAGAAUUUAAUGAAAAGUUGACUAUUUAGUAACUACAUUUCUGAAGUAUGGUAGAACUUUAACAUCUAUUAUGGAACCAAAAUGAUAAAGUACUUUUAUCAGGAAAUUGCAUAACGCUGACUCUUUGUACUAUCAAAACCGCUAUUACAAAGUACUCUUAAUUUAUAAAUUAUUUAUUUUGAUAUUUUAAUCGAGAUAAUAUAAUAAAUAAUACAAUUUUAUAGUAUUAUAAAAUAUAACAUUAUUUCUGCAAUAUCAGUAUGUUAUAAUAAUAUUAUUACAAUUUAAUAAUAUUUUAUUAUUAUAAUAUUAUAUUAUAUUAGAAUAAUGAUGGUAAUAUUAUAAAGUUUGAUGGUCUAUUUUAUUAUAUUAUAUUAUUAUCCAAACCCUUAUUAUACAUAUCAUUAACUAUUUUUAUAUUUUAAUUAUCAGUAAUAUAUAAAUAAAUUCAAAAUCUUUAAAUGCAUGAUUAUCGCAUAGAAAACACCUAAUUCAAAUGAUAUGGCAAUAAAAGGUAUUUCAAAUUAACUUUCUAGAUAAAAUUUCGUUGCUACGACUCAAACCCACUCAUUCGGGUGGCUGAGUAGACCUUUUUCAACUUUAGGAGGAGCUAGAAAGCUUUAUUAAAAUCAUCCACAAGAGUUUGUAGCCUUCCAAGAAGCACUUUUCCACACUUCAAUGCCAAAUGGGCCUAAGUAUUUAGGGGAGUUUAAUUAUGCAUUUGAAGAGGUGGAUAGCAAUUCGAUGAAUUUAAUUUCCAAUAUGGAUUAAUAACAGACGUGGACUUUGAAUUUAAAUAAUUUAUAAUGUGUUGGUAUCUUUGAAUAAGGAAAAUAUUUUCAGAAUGCUUUCGAAAGUUAUUCAUGUUAUGUGGCACUUAAUACUCAUUCAAGAUGCUUGUUCUGACCUCUAAGUGGUUGGUGUUCAAUCCAUCAGAAUGAUAGAUUGAACCAGAGCCUGGAUUUGCCAUGUUCUCUCCAAGUCCAAAAUCCUCCCCAUGUCAAACAACAUAACAUAGCCCCAUCUAUACAUUUUUCAUUAGUUCCAACUUUUCUCCUUUUUCACUUUAAGUCAUUGCCUUCUUAAUUCCAAGCAUAUUUGACCCAAUUUCUAUUACUUCAAGCUCAUAAAACUAUCUUUUGAAUGGGCUUUGCCGCUUUGGUGAAGUCUUCAGGUUACAGGACUUCUAUCAGCUUUAAGUCAUGUUAGCCUUGAUGGCUUGGCAACUCAAGGAAGGAGUGAAACUCACAUGCACAGGAACUUAACCUACGGAUAAGCAGGGGAACAGAAGCAGUGAGACGAGAGAUUACAUCAGGUAGUUUACAAGGGAAGCGCACCAUUUCAAAGUGGUCCACUUCAUUCACAGCAAGUAGACUUAGAACAUAAACAAUCUCAAACAGCCCUUAUAAUGAAAACCUACUUUGUCAUUGACAAGGAUAAGAUACUGAUUAUCUACAAAACAUUAUAUGAAGACCAUUAUAAAAGUAAUCUCCUUUGAAGCAUUAAAAGUAAUGUGGGUCUAUUAAUUGAUAAUACUAAUUUAGAUGCAAACCAAUUCCUAGCUUAUAAAAUAAAUGAUGGAUAAUUCCCCUCAUUGUUUAGUGUCAUUCUUAUCUUUCACAAAAUGAAGAACACCAAGAUGUAGUUCAUAAUCCCUUAAUUAAGGUUCAUAACAUAUUUAACAUAAUCAAAGGUAUGACAUGGCAAAAGCAACAUAAAGUAGACAAAACACUAAUAUAAGAAAGAAAGCACAACAGUCUCCAUACAUACAACAUGUCUAUAUUGAAAGUUUAAAGAUGACAGGCAUAGUGCUAAAAUAAUCCACUAAAAAUCACAAAAACUUAAUUAAACUUAGCACAUUAAAGAAAGAAAUUAACUACUGCAUACCUCCAUCAUAAUUCCCCUCAGAACCUCAGAGGAUGGAACACAUUUUCCCACCCUCACUUGAAAGUCACCGAGUCGGUAUUGAAAUCCCUAUGAUAUUAAAAAAGAGGGUGUAAUGUAAGAAUGCACAAGUUUUCUUUGACUUUGACUGGAGUAUCGAUCAACUAAAUUAGCAAGUCAACACGGUUGGUUAGCACUUUAGAUAAUGAUCCAUGUGGCAAUAUAAGCAAACAAAAAUGUAAUUUGAAGAGGGAAGAUAACUUAUCAAAAUGCUGGAGAUCUCUAUAGAAGAGCUGGUGAUACAUGAUUGAUAUUAUGGUUCAUGCUUUUGGCCAAGGUAAUUUAAACAUAUCCUCCUCAUAGGCACACCUUCUUUUAACAUCUCCAGUUUUCUAGGACUAUUAUCGGCAGUCUGCAACAACCCAUGACCUCACCCAAAAAGGCUAACCAAAAGGACCGAUUUGGGCAUGUGUUUAGUUCCACAUUGACUAUGCACUUGGAAGAUCUUAGAUCUUUAUACAGAACCAGGAAGCUCAAAUAAUAUUUUUUGACUAGCCCUUCUAGGUGACAUAUUAUCAAAAUGGAUCUAGCCCAUGCCCCAUGUGAAUCAGGGGACAUUACAGCAAGAGUCUUUUUUGAGGCUAACCAUAGGCUAAUCGCAGUUUAGUGUUUUUGUAAUAGUUUCGAUUGAAUUUGGACCCUCAGCAUAGCAAAGUGAAAACCCAUAUGAGUGUGCUUAGUCCCACAUCGAUUGUACACUAUGAAGAUCUUGGAUACUAGAUACUUAUAUAAAGUCAAGGAAUUCAAAUAAUAUCUUUUGACUAAUUUUUUUAGAUCAAGACCUAGAUUCUUAAAAAACCACCAUAAUCGCCCUACAGUGAACUCCAAACAUGCCUAUGCUAUAGUGUCCCCUAAUAUAUAUAGGGCAUAAGCCAAGUCCACAUUAAUACCAUCUAAUAACAACUCAAGACCGCACCCAAAAAAACUAACUAAAAAGUAUUACUUGGGUUACUUGGCACUGUAUAAGUACCAAGCCUCCCCAAAACCAAUGUGGGACUAAACACAUAACCAAGCAACAUAGAUCUUUUCAUAGCGAAACUAAUGAUUCAAAGUCCUUCCUUUUAGUUCAUAAACCAAAAAAAAAAAAACAAAUGUCCUUCCUUUUAAAAGGCCUAGCCAAUUGUAUGGUUUUGGCCAAGGAGACCCAAGAAAAAUAGAGUUGCACUAAUUGAUCUGCACGACCAUCCUUAAUUAUUAGUUUUAUAUGGAAUGCAUGAAUGAUCCUUAGGAACCCGGACCUAGUGAGAGCUACAAGGAUAGGAAGAAGAUCUAUUUGAUAGUCACCAGCAUAAGCUUUAGCAAGCAAUAAAUUGUACUGCUUUACAUGAAGUGCUAUGAAUAACAAUCCGGACUUCCUAGUCAACCUGUAGACCUACUUUGCAAAUAGGUAUGCAGCGAUGCACCUCUCCUUGGUGAAACCGUCAAACAUGACCAAAUGGGUCCUCACAAUUAUAUAUUAAUUCAGUAUUCUUUUCUAAAAAUAAAUACAAAAUGAUAACAAUUAAACAGCCAUAUCUUACUGGAAGGGUAGUGCUACAUAAUAUACCCUACAAUUUACACCAUUUUCAUGAUUAGAUCAUGUCAACAAAGAAAAGACCUUAAUGAAACUAAAUCUAGAUAGAGGACCAUAGUGAUACAAAGUUUUGACAAAUGAGGCAGCAAUGUCCUAAUGUCAAAGAUCCUCCUGAAGCUAGAAAAUUCAUUGCAGCGUAGCAGUGCACAUGAUCUCAUAUGGUUAUUUACAUUAAAAUUUCUAUUGUGUCACUAAAACUGAAGUUCCUUAUAGUUUAUAGCCAAGUAACAAGCAUGGUAAGGGAUCCAAGUAUAGUACAGGAGAGUGAAUCUCUUAAGAAAUUUAUGAUACAAAAACACUUAGGAAGUGGGUGCUCACAGGUCUCCAAAGCAGAUGCAUGCCCAAAGCAAAAGUUUCUGACUUAUAAGGUUUUGUAGACUUAGGGAACAUUCCUAGAUCUCAUACUAGAAUUUUUGAUGAGUGUCAUUGAAUUAGCAGCUAUUCAAUGGAAUACUGCACAAGCAAUAAAACCACUAAGUUAUCAGCAUCUAGAUCUUAAAAAACAUGUUCACUUCAUCAAGUUAAUUCUGUAAACACACCACAGUGCCAAACCGUUAUUUACCAUGCCACCAAAUGCAACUUGGAAGCUAUCAAUCUGAACAAGCCAAAGAUGUCUGACUUAUAGACAAUACCAUGAAAUCUUCUCCAAGUUAAGAACAAAAUACUAUAUCCAAGCGCAUGAACAAGGUUAAGCAUCAAGCUACCUUUGUUGUUGACGUAGUAUUUGGAACUAACUCGUAAAAAAAAACAUUCCCAAUGAUUUUAUUCAAUUUCUCCUCUGUAGUAGCUAAAGUUGAAAGGCUUGAAAUGUUCUUAUCUUCCAACAAUAAAACAGCAAAAACCCUAGUGCAAAGAUGUCCACAGUAUUUUAUCAAGUAGGGGAAAAAUCAAUUUUUUUGACCAACACAAAAUUUUCAAGUGACUGUUACCCACAGUCCAGUAAAGGAUGGGCAUCACCCCUUCUAAACUCACCCAUUCAUAUCUCCCAUAACAUCACAGACCAUUCCAUAUACACAAAAUUAUGAUUCUUGCAAGCCUCCCCUUUCCAACAUUAAAUCCAAAAGGAAAUUUCUCAACAUAUCUACUUCUUUCAUUGUCAUUUAAAACUCAAAAGCACCUCAAAUAUACAAUUCUGGAAAGAAAAGAAACUAAGAAAGCUCUAUCCAAAAGCAAUCUAGACCCUCAACUCUGAUAAAAAAAAUUCCUAACCAUCUGGAGUACCACAAAGAAAUCCUUAAACCACUAGACCAGAUCUAAUAUGGAGCUCAAACCUGACCUAGUGUAUUAUUCUUUUAUAGGCCUUCUACACUACUUUUUAACCUACUCUUGAACUCUUAUGUAAUGCUAUUAAGCUGCUUGCUAUAACGCUUAUUAAUGAUUAGUGAGACAAGACAAAAGUCAUUCCAUCUUCUGACCUAUGAUCAAUCGUCAUGCAUUCAUCGCCUAUUUGCAAGGUCCAAACUUAGCAACCAAUUGUACAAUCUAGAGAACAUAGCAAUUUUCAGAUUUUUAAAAAAAAUAGAUAUAGACUGUUAAUCCUUUCUAUUAUGAAGUAGAUUGCAUCUACGGCACAAGCUGACAAGAGUGCAGUAGUGAAGGCAACCUGCCAUAGGAAAAAAAAAGAAAAGCAGCAGCAGAAACACAUAGGACCAAGCUCAUCAAUGAAACAUAUUAAUGUGGAACGUAUUAGAUAAAGUUAAAAAGAUGCAAAAUAUGACCCGUUGAACUCAGAUGCAACCUGGAUCUAUAAUCAUAUCAACAAGUUCAAGAGAUGAUCUGAUUUUGAUUAGAGAAAAUUUAUCCAAUCAAAGCACAUAAUCACAUCAACAAAGUAAAGAAAAAGGUUAAGCACCCAAUGAUGGGUGUCUAGAAGUUUGCAAAACCAAGGAAGAGGUGAUCUUAUAAGCUUUAUGAAUUAAGAUAAAGCUGUCACAUCUCAAUAAAACAUGAAACUGGUGAAAAAAUGACAAUUAUAAUGGCUCUAAGAACUAACAAUGGAAAGGUAAUUUGGAUCCCAUGGAUGAGGAUUAGCAUUAGAAACUUUACAAAAAUAGAAGUAUCAAUAAGGAUAAAAUGGCAUUGAAACUGAUCAAAGGACUUUAACCUAACUGAGUCUUUUUCUGAAGUUUAGGAAUACCAAUCACAAUUUUAGGAAAUAGGUUCAAGUUAGAUGAGACUCUAUGCAAAGAACUACAUUGCCUAAAAUCAUAUAACAAUUAUUAAUAAGGGAUCAAAGAGAAAAUUUACCAAGAUCAUCCAUUACAUGAUGUAUUUUGCUGGUUUUUGUGAUUCUGUAGUAUUAAAUGGAUAAAAAUUCACUAAAGAGUAAGAACAAGGGAUUGCCAUUCAGAAAGUGUAAGGUAAAACUCCCAUGCCUAACCUUAUAUUGAGAAGUUAAUAUUUUCCGCAUAAGAAGACUUAGAUGGAUAAUUGUUCCACAUAUAGGAGAUAAAAUAGAAAAGAUUCACUUUGUUAACUUUGAGGACUUUACUUAUAUUGGUAAUAGCAUGCAAUAGAUGUUUGGUUGUUGUACAAACCGAUUUGACAUGAACCAGCUCAAUAAUGGUGCACUAUGGUAAACCAGGUCAUGAUAUGGAUAGGUGCAAGUGGAUGUUCUUUAAGUAUGAGACUUCACAAUUUGGGCUAAUAGUUCAGUUUCAAAGAGUACUCCCUUAUGUAAAAUGUCAUGUAAAUGGGAGGUGCACAUGCAAAGCCUUCUAUGAGUAAUGUCUGAUUGUUGGGAGAAAAAACUAUGUCCAUAGGUUGUGCAUCAUAUACUUGAAGAUCAUUUGUAGAGUAAGUGUCAAAUCCUGUAAACCAAACAAAAUUGCAGCCAUUUGCUAAGAAGUAAUAUUAGUUAUAAAAGGUAUUAACAUUAAAAAUAGUUAUAUUUCAACUGUUUUUGCACAAAGAUUUUUUCUUGCUAUGAUGACAGUUCAGGAUAUUUGUUGACAUGAAUUCCACAGUUCAAUAGACCACCACUAGAGGCUUUCUUGUCAAAUGAGAUUUAAAAAUAAAAAGUAACUGUUUUAUGUUUGUGAAAAGAAUCCAAAGCUGAGAUUUAUACAGAUAGGUCAUUAGUUAUACUCCUGCAGGUUGUUCGGUAGCCAUACUUGCCAUCCGAUAGUUCGGUAUGCCAUAUAUGCCAUCCGAUAGGCCGAAAUAGUAGAUCAUUUUGGUAGAAUUUUGAGUGAGUAGUAGUCCAAAACCCAAUCUACUUUCAGGGUUUCAGUUAAUUUUUUUGGUGAAUUUGGCAACUCUAGUUUGGCUUUUGUAGAAACCAGUCGGAACCAACUUUUCAUGUAAUAUUGGACACAUUUCUUCAUGUCUUUUGGGCACUGAUGUCGAUAAAAUUUGGACUUUGGGAAGCAUUUUCGCAAGACUUGUAUCAAGUUUUACAAGUUAUAGAAAGAUUUGGAAUAACUUGGGUCGUGGAACCCUAGAAGUUUUGAGAAAAGUAGCUGUCUUUAAUCACUUUUAAAUUUUAGUGGUUAACGAAUACAAACUGAAUGAGAAAUUCUGGAUUUUGUUAAUAUUUCAUAAAACUCCCAAAUUAUGGAAUUGACUUUGAUCUGUAAAGGUGACAAAAGUAUGCUAGGUAAAUAUUUCAUAUUUUUAUUGAGAAAUGGAAUAGAAUUUGUUGAUUUGAAGUAAGUUUCCUAUCAAUUUUAGUAGUACACAUGCUUUUCAGACUUCACAACUACAACAUAUUCUUAGUAUGAACUUGUUGAGUAAAGAAUGGUAAAGCUACUGUAUUUCGGAUUCUGUACAUGAUCAGUCUGUGCUCGAGGAGAAUUUGCUUUUAUAUACUAAUGAGUAUGUAUGUUUUAUUUCCAUAAUGCAUGUCUAACUAAUUAUGUCAAAGUUGUAGGACUAGAUUCAAGUUAGAUUAAGAAGCAUGCAGUGUUAUGUAUGAUCCUAGGUUAGAUUAGGAAAAGAGCAGCCAUGUUUAGCUUGUUUUGGUUGAGGUUUAGUUAGCUUUAAUUGGUGUUUGUUCUCCCAAACCUACCUCAAGUUCCAUACAUCUGAUGAGAAGAAAUCAGCUUGGAGUGUUUGCUAACACUUGCACACAUGAUUCAACUGUUUUUGUACCAAUAUUACACCAUGGUCAGAUAGGACCUGCAAAGUAGAGAGAAUGUGGCACAUCAUGCAUGUAGGUGGAUUUCACUACUUUUAGUUUCCACAUACAACACCAUCAUUCCACCUUGGGACAAAUAUGGCUAUAGAAGAAGCAUAAUUUAGAUGGAUAGCUCAUGGGCAAGUAGUUCAAAGAUAUUUAUGGUCAUGCAUACCAUAAGGUCAAAUAAAUGAGCCCUUUCCAGCAAUUGAAAGGAAUUUAAAAAUGUGAUUGUUUGCACUGACUGAUAAGCGGACAGUGUGAAAGGAUUAUGUAGGAUUUUUGGACUUCUUAGUUAACUCCAGCGAUAACAGCUUGCACUCAGCCAACUCUUCCUGACAAAUUUCUAUGAUUCAAAACAGACAGUCAUCUCAGCCACGUGAUGCAGGAACUCCUUUUAAAUCCAAGUCAUUGAAGGGGAGCAUCCAACAAGAGAACUUUAAGACUAGGUCCUCUAACUCCCUUAAGCUAAUUCUUUCAAGAUAAAUGAUUAAUUUCAUAUAACAUGAAAACUAAAACAGGUUUUAAUAACACUAUAUUCCCAUUAUAAGCCAAAUACACAGAUUUUUGUGGAGUAUCAUCCUCUACAGAAUCAUUUCUUGGCAUUUGUUUACAUUGGUCUACGUAUGUGCUUAAGAGUGGUUUAGUUUAUGGUUACACAUCAGAUUGUUUGAAUUUUUAACUGAAUAUUUUGGAUAUAAUUAUAUUAGACCUAUACAUAGAUAGGGUUGGGCUCAAGCUGAGCUUGUGCAAAGGUCAACAAAAUGUACUUAAGCUUGAGUAAGGCUCGGCUUGGCAUUCAGGCCUACCUUCCAGGCCCAAGCAUGGCCCUUACUCAAGCUUCAAACGUUGAGCUAGGCCUCGAGUUUCAUUGCCAUUUUUCUAAAAUAUUAAAAAAUACAUAAAAAUAUUUUAAAAUGCUAAAUAUAAAUAAUUAAUUAUUGCCAACAACAACAUACAACAUGUCUACUAUCCUAUUAAGUUCACAAAUCAACAACAAUUGUUAAUUACAUAUACAAAUAGAUCAAAUAUGAAGGAAAUAAAAGGAAAAAAAAAUCAACCUCAGCCAAGCUCAGGCCAGGCUUUAAUCCCCAGUUCCAGCCCAGCCCACUUAUUAGAUGGGCCUAUUUUCCAAGCCCAGCCUAGUCCGCCCGGUCUAAAAUAUUUGGCUCAAGCAUAUUCAAAAGGCUUCGAGCUCGAGCAGGUCAAGCAACCAUGAAUAGGUCUAGAUUAUGUGCAACUUUCCUGCCAACUUCCAAUCAAUGGCUUGCUCCAAAGAAAGAAAGGCUUCUUAUAUAUCAGAAUUUAAAUGGAAAGUUCAGACCUUUCACACUGAAGCUACAACACUUUAUGUAUAGCUCGGACUAUUCAAUGCCUCAAGGCAAUGUAUGCAUCCAUAUCAGCCAAUCGAGGCUGAAGUAUAUGCAAAACUUUGUUUCUUUCUCAUUUCAUUUUUCUUCAAUGAAACAUGGGGUAGCUUGCCACCAUGUUGAUAAAAAAAACAAAGUAUAUACAAUUUUUUAUUGGAAAUUAUGUUUAAAUAAAAUAAGAAUGCUGCCUAACAAAUUAUUAUGAUGCAUCCUGGCUAAUAUUAGGAUAUAAAGAAGAUGAUGAUGUAGGAAGAAGCAACCUCUUCUACAAGCAGCGGCAAGAGUUUCGUAUUUGUGUUUGCAAAAACCACACAGCAAAAAAAUUGUAUAUAUAGAUGAAACAACAUUGAUGCAUCACAAAAAAAAAUAUAUAGAAAGGCGUCCAAUACCAUCCCUGUCAACUUAAUUAUGUUUAUUGGUCAGUAGCGACAAUUCCCCUUGUACAUGUGCAUUCAUAUGAAUCUUGAUUCCUGAGAGUGAUCAUGCUUCAAUUAAAAAACUAACAUGAUCCUGUCCAAACCCAUUCAAUGACUAAAGCCCAAGAAUUCACCAUCAAAAUUAGGAUUUUGAAGCUCGUUCUCUUUCAAUCAUACAAUCGAACCACCAAAGUGAUUAAUUUUUUUGAAAACCACUACUCCUCCGAGCAUACAGGUGCAAUAAAAUCCCAAGGAACUAAUCAAUCAACAGACGAACAUAUCAAUUGGAGAAAGCAACGAGCAAUAGUAGAAUCCAACCUCGAAGUUGAGGACGACACGGGGCUUGUAGGACUGGAGCUUAUCCAUGAGGGCCUGCAUGGAGGAGUCUGCCUGGAGGAUGAGGCGGUGGGCGCGGAGGAGGAAGUAGUAGCUUCCCAGUUGGUCGUGGAGGGCAACGCCCAGCAACUCCCGGGGGAGGUCCCCCGAUGCCGACGCCUCGCGCAGCGCGGGGCGGUAGUAGGUGAGCGCCGUCUUCCACCGCCCGUCCUUGGCGCCGCCCAGCUGGCUCUCCACGCACUGGCACGCCUCCGUCAGGAUCUGGGUGGUCAGCGUCACCCCCUGGUUCGGCUGCCAGUGCAUCAGCCUAACCAAAAUAAAUAAAAAAAAAAAAAAAAAAUUAGGGGGAAAAAAAAAGCCCCAUCAUGAGUGGCAUCAUCAUGAUGGAGGAAGAGAAGGGGUUUUCUUUUUCUCUUACCAUUUGACGGGCAUGCUUACGGGUGGAUAUAGAUUCCGACGACGAACCCCUCUUCUCACCUCUUACAAGAUUUAAAACUCGUUUUGGUGGACAAUGUCAGGCAUCGAAGGUCGUGAGAUGGAGAAGGAAGGAGGAGGAGAUGGGCAUCCUUCAGAUCAAGACUACGGAAAGCGGAGAUGGAGAAGGAUGGAGCGCUCGCAUCAGAGACGGCAGACGGGGACUACGAGAGAGACGAUCCGACGGGAGUUCGGAGGUCGCGGACGCGGUGUAGAUCGGGAGCGUCGGCUAGAGGGAAAGAGAGAAGAGAGAACGGACGAUGACUGGUCGUGAUGUUCUGGGAUUUUAGUUUUCUCACAUUGAUCGGAGUCGUUGGAUUUUAAUCUUACGGCUUCACUGUUUAAUUAUUAAUAAUCUGCAGAGCUUUUCUGACAAGUGAGGUUAUUUCUUUUUCAAAUUAUAACAUAUUCACUGAACUGUAAGUAAUUUGAUUUGUUGUCUUUUUUUUUAAUAUCCCUAUUCAGUCAGAAAACAAUGUAUGAUCAUCAUGUCAUGCAAUGGUCUAUUGGUGCUUAUAGUUGAAUGACAUGAUGAUCAUAUGUUGUUUUCUGACUGAACGGUGAUAUUAAAAGACAACAAAUCAAAUUAGUUAAUGUGGUAAGAUUAAUUACCUACAGUUCAGUGAAUAUGUUAUAAUUUGACAAAUAACAUGUGAUAGAAAUCAAAUCUGUAACUUUUCUCACCGUCCCUAAGCCCGCUAUAUGCUGCUAAGUUCAAUAUAAUUUGAGCAUCCAUCUCCUUCCACCGUCUACUUCCUUAUUUCUAGUACUGUUUGUUAUCUACAUUAUUUGCAAUUCUAUUAUUGUAUUAUAUUAAGACCAAAUUACAUGUAGAGUUUAUUCUGGUGAAACUUACAUGCAAAAUCAAAUUCGAUGUUAGCUCCUACAAUGAGGAGAGAACAUAUUCUCACUGUAUAAUCAUAAUAAUAAUGAAUUUAUCCAAUCAAAGAAAAGAAAAAAUUUUCUCAACCGAUUCAGCUCCGAUCUUUCAAAAGAAAUUUAAAAAAAGAUAAAAAAAUUAGUAAAAAUAAGAUUUAGAUCUCUCUUUCUUUCAUUAAUGAUUAAUUGAUGAUUCAAUUGAUGAAUAAAAGCUGAGAUACAUAGCUCCUAUUUAUGAUAGUAGUGGUGAGAUCCAUCUUUGCAUAAUUAUAGUCAGAUUUGUCUCCUAGUUGGAGUCCUACUAGCGUUUCAAAAAUAAAUAUGACUAGUGGUAAUAAAUAUGAAAAUAACUAAAAUUCUAUAAAAAGUAGAUAUCAACUUUUACAAUAACUUUGCCAUUUAUCAUUUCACCAAAUUCUUUCUAGAUUGGAAGAUAUGUUCAAUCAAAUUUUUUUCCGAAAAGAAAAUUUUUGGUUUGCUACCAAAAGAAAAAAGAUUGUUUGACUGAACCUAUUUUGAAAUAUAAAUAAUAGAAUUUCAGCCCACUUUAAUCCUCAGGAGAUUUGAUCUACAUUAUAGAUCUCAAAAAGUUUCUUGAUUUAAAAAUAAAAAAAAGAUCAUCUCAAUCAGAGUCAUCAAUUGAAUUAACUAGUGACCAGGUUAUGGCUUAUAGAAAUUUGCCGCAUGACUCAACUUUCUACUACGAUGUUGCUCUUAAUUAGAUCUUAUCCAGCCCUACUCACAGUAACCAGAGUGGUCUAUAUUAAGUUUAACUUUCUGAUAUGGUAAAUUUUACUCUUGGAUCUUAUUUAGCUACUCGUAGUAGUCAAAGAAAUCCAUAUCGACUCGAGUAAUCAUCUUAGAUUAGAGCUUCUCCGAAUUUAGGGUAUUUAGCUCCUACUAAACCAAAACUAAAGAUGAUAAAAUAUCUGCUUACCCAUCUUGUGGCUAAACCACUUGACAUUUCUAGAAAUUUUGACGUUUUUAACUGAGCUGAAAAGACUCGAUCCAUUCACACUUGGUUUCUACAACUUUUCUCUUAAUGAUACAAUCUAGUGACCUUGUCUAAUUUUGUUCUUCUUUGCUUCUAAAUCUCAACAAACCACUUAUCCAAAUUUCGGAUAUAGAUUUCAUUACGAGAACACUCCUUGCUAUCCUUUCUCAUUGAUGAUCACUACGGCAACUUUCCUUUGAUCUUGAUGUUGGUUGUUUAGUUAGUAAAAUCAAGAGGUGGGAGCUUGGCCUCUUGUGUGUUAUUAAAGUAGACUGAACAAAUAUGUACCAUUAAACUCUUUUAUUUUUUCAAAUUGUCUGUAAAACCUUAAGAGCACGAGUCAAGAAAUGAAAUUAUAUUGAAACAGUAUGACUUAAAUGACUUAUUGCAUAAAAGGGACAUGCUAGAGUUUCCACGCAUAUGUUAUCUUUUAUCUAUUCAUUGAAAUUUCAUCUUUUAAGAAAUGAUGAAUAGCAUCCUGCAAAAAAGAAAUAUCUUCUAUUUAUCUCUUUUAUUCUAAUAAUAUGGUUGAACAAUUACAAAAUAUAGUCAAUGCCAUAAGCUUUGGUAUACCUCAAAAAUUUUGAAGAGAAGGCCCUUUUUUAUUAGUCUAUCUUAUAAAAAAUUUAAAUAGGACUAAGGUUCUAGAGUCAUCGAGGGAGAUGAGGCUUAGCCUAUAAAGGACCUUCUAGCAGUGAAAACCAAAUCUCCAUGAUAGAAAAUCCCUUGAAUGAGGUUUAAUAUAGUAAUAACAAGCUGAUUGGUUGGUCAAGGAGCAUAUAUGGUUAAUCUCAAAUAGGAGUCAUAGACUCUAUCCCAUCCCUAUGGUGAUUAGUACUCCUAUAUGGUGGUUAGGAAGAAUUUACCUCUGAAUGAGAAUUGAGAGCUAUUCCUCGAGACAUGACAUUACACACAUAUCUGGAGAAGCUCACCUAUAUGAGAGUUUCUCUGUAUAUGACCGUACAUAUGAGAUAUGGGCAAUCUCUAGUAACUCUUAUGAAACAUCAAUAAACAUAUGUAGGGCCACUAAUGCACAGACUCAUGAUGGAGAAUUCUGUAUUAUAUGUGUGGUAGUUGAAGUCUGCAUCAAAGGAAUGUAGUUUAAGAUCUAAUUCACUCCACUUCUUUCAAAUAAAAACUAUUUAUACUAAAUUAGAUUAAGUCUUAUAAAGACACUUUAUCCAUUGCAUAGUAUAAGCAUCUUGAAACUUAUAUUUUUAUUUUAUAAUUUUUAAAAAUUUUAAGUUUUGUGGAGGAUUGUUGGAGGGAAUCCAAAACUAAAAACUCAAAACUUUUCUAAAAUCUCCAUCCAAGUAUUUUAACCUUGUCUUUUAAUUUACCGUUUAAAUGUUUUAAUUUUUUUAUUAUCAUAAUUUUAAUUUUUGAUUGUUGGACUCAUAAUUACAGACUUUAAUGGAUUAGUAAAAGCUCAAACGAUCAUGUAUAUUUAAUCUUAUUUUUAUUUUAUGAUUGUUGGAUUUUGCAUUAAAAGUUUUGACCAUUGGGCUUUUUAUUAAAGACUUUGAUGGUUCAAUAGAAGCCCCAAUAGUCAUAAAUGAUCAUAUUGGAUGGCUAUAAAAAGAUCAUUUUAAGAUCUGAUUUGGUACAUCCAAUCUAAUCCUCUUCCUCUCUUCCUUUUGGCUUUUUCUCUUCAAAUCUUUUUUCUUUGUGAUUUUUUUCUAGAUGCUAAAAGGCUUCAUCAACCUCCUCUACAGUCAUGCUCGUAGGUAGAGGAUCUUGAUCAUAUCUUGAGAUGAUUUUUUUGAUUUUUUCUGUACGAGUGAUGGAAAUACAUUUUAGGAUGAUAUCCAACACAUUUUUAGAUUUGAUCAAUUUUAUGUCUUGAUAUUCUAUAAGUCAUUUAUAAUUUUUCUAUAAUAUAAUUUUGUUUGGUUCUAAAUUAUAUCAAGAAUUCUUAAAGCUCUGUUCUAACAAUAUUGGCUUCAUUUAUCAUUAUCACAAACUUGUUGCAGGCAUUAACAUGUUGUUUUGCUUGGGUGGUGGUUAUAAAAUUAGUAUUAUCUUAUGUUUUGAAGGCAUUAUCAUGACCUCCUUCCCAUCCUUUAUCAGAUGAUACAUCCUCUUCCACCUAUAAAAGACAACAUCUUGAUCCCAAAGGUGCAAGCUUCCAAGGAUGACUUGACAAACAUCAAAUGGAACUACUUUGCCAAAAUAAAAAAGGAAAACAUGGAAAACAUGGUGAAAAUAGGGUUUAAAUAUCCUUUUCUUUUGUCGAUGAUCAAUUGAUGAAUCAAAACUAAAGUACAUAGCCUCUAUUUAUAAAUAUAAUAGUAAGGUUUGUCCUUAUACAAUUUUUAUCGAGUUCCUCUCGUAGUUCAAAUAGGACUAGUUUUCCAAAAAUAAGCAUGAUUAAAACUAAUAAAUAUAAAAAUAACUAAACUUCUAUAGGAUGUAGAUCUUGACUCGUAUAUCAACUUUGUUUUCUAUUACUCCAUAAAUUCUUUCUGGAUUGAAAGAUAUAUCUAGUCAAAAUUUUUUUCGAAAAAAAAAAUUUAUGAUUCAAUCGACCGAUUUUGGAGUCCAAACAAGAAAAUUUUAGCCUAUUUUGACCUCCUCAGGGUUUGAUCCAUGUCAUAGAUCUCGAAAAGUUACUUAAGUUAAAAAAAAAAAGAUCAUUUCAAUCAAAUAUUAUAUAACUAAAUUAUGGUUUCUAGAAGUUUGCAUGCAACUCAAUUUCCUAAUGUAAGAGAUCUCACUCUUGAAUCUUGUUAAACCCUAUCCAAUGGCCAAAAUAGUCCACAUCAACUUUAACUUCCUCAUAUGGUGGUCUUGCUCUUAAACUUAUCUAACCAUACUUGUAGUAGCCAAAGUAGUUUCUAUUGAGUCUAGUGUUUUUUUUGGAUAUAAAUGACCUUUGUCUAUACUAUUUCAACAAUUUAAAUUUAGAAUUUUGCAUAACAGUAUCAUAAAUCUUAUGCUAUAAAAUAGAUAUCCAAUCCAAAUGUAUACACAAUGGUAGGGUUUCAUGGUGAUGGAACACCAAAUUAUGAGGCACCAUAAGACUUACAGGUCGUUGUAUCCGCUCAUCAAGGUGCCUAGGAAGUGGAGCCUACCCAUCCUUUUUGGAUCAAGGGCUUCUACACAUUAGGUUCAAUGGUAGUAAGAUCAACUUUCUAAACUCAAAUGUUGUAGCAUGAAUGGCUUUCGGUUUGUUACUUCAUCUAGGCACCCUUCAUGGAUCACUUUACUUUAUAGUCCAUGUAAAGAUUAAAGGGACUUAGGGAUUUCAAAAUUUUCACUUUCCCCAUGUAAUAAUCAAUAUUUUGCUGAACUUAAGCUAGUAGUUCUUGCUGAAAGUCUUCUUCCUUUUUUUUUUCUUGGAAAAGCUAUUAACACCAGAUAUAUUACUACUCUACAAUGUAGGCAACCAUCAAAUGAUCAUAGGUUUUGUUUGCCUUGGUCUUUGUCAUUAUCAUUAAGAAUGCUUUUUGUGAUGUUGGAAUAUGCACUCUAAUUAAGAAAACGCACGCACGCAUCUAUAUAUGGGCCAUAUUUUUAUAAUGGACUUGUUGCUUUCAAACAUUUCUCUUCUGUUCUCUAACUCUCUCUUUCUUGUCUCUCUUCUUUUUUCCUCCCUUAAUAUUCAUCAAGUGGCUUAGUUCUUAAUGUGGUUUAGCAACUGUACUGAAAAAUAGUGAUGUGUUUCUUUUUCCUUAUCAUGAUCAGAACUUGCAUCCUACAAUUAUAUCUAAUAAGUGGAAGCGAUAAACCCAACCUUUAGAUGAUUUAAGCAAUACAGGCUAAAAGAAUUGGAUCAUAGCUGGUCAUAAUGAGUAUUUGAUGGUCAAGCAUUCUGAAUUUUCUAAGAUUAAAAUGUGCACAGCUCCAAGAUACAAUUUUCAUUCAAGUGACAUGAAUUACCAAUAUACACAGCUCUAUCCAAAUAUUAUUGCCUUAUGGAGAGUUUUACCAAUAGUGCACAGUGAUAUCUAAAUGUUGGUGUCUCAUAGAGAGUUAUCUUUGAAAUAUAGUUUCUCAUUUUUAUGGUUGCCAAAGGUUAUGCAGAAAUUUUCCACACGAUUCCUAUUUGCUCCCUACUCUGCUUUUAGCCUACCACUUUAUUGUUGCAUCUUUGCUUAAGCGAACAAGACCUUACAACUAAAGACUGGUCACUUGUUGAUAACCAGAUGUGCCAGUUGCGCUGCUUUCACCUAUAUAUAGGCAAAAAAAAUCAACAUUGGGCAAGUAGGUUAAACACAUGACUCAAACUAUCAAUGAAUAAACAAAGGCUGCUUGUCUCUCUCCCUUUUUUUAAACCUUAGAAAACAUACUUUGGAAAAAGGAAGCAUUUUACCUUCCAAUUUAUGGUUCUUUGUUGUCAAGAGGGCUAACAUUGAAAGUAGGACAUAGAGGUUCUUUAAAAUUUGAUGCUAGUGCUUGCCAAGCAUUGGCACAGCAUCUCAUAACAUGCAUCUUUCUAAUAACAUGCUGGCAUGGCAUGUAAAUGAGGUAUUGUAAGAAGACUAGUGUCAUUCCAAAUCAUGCCAAAAUCUGAACAAGAAUAGAUCAAGGAUUAGUUCCAUCUCAAUUAAAAAUUAAAAUUUAUUAAUAUAAGGGCGUUAAUUGACAUUAUCUGCUCACUUACGGGGAAUCUCAUCGAAAAGGGUAAGGUGAGAAAAUCUUAUGCUAUUGAGGUAAAACUUAAUGCCAAAGCAUUUUAAUUUGGGUCUAAAUAGGUUUUAUUCCUUUUAGCUUGAGCCGUUGAUUUAAUUGAGACCAUUGUCAUUUAGGAAUGAAACUAUUUUAGUUAAAUUACAUUUAGCCAUCUAAACUAUAUGAAUUCUCCAUUUUUCAAUUGAGUAAAUUGACUCUCAUUUCAUUGUAUAGAACUAAGCCAAUUGUUAUUAGAAGUGCUAGGCCAGUUCUUUAUGACUGAUGAAUAAGGAUUAGGUGAAUUCAUUUGAAUUAAAUCAAGUUUAUAUCCAUUCAAAAUGUAUGGUGUAGGGUUGAACUUCUUAUGAAUUUAUAGGACAUGUAAACUCAUAUUAUACUUAUAAUUGCUUCUAUUUUUCUUCAUAGUUGGAACCGAGAUUGUCUUAAAGAGCUUCAGAUCUCCAUAUGGUCUUUUGGCACUUAAAGUUCUUAUGAGUAAAGAUUUAUCUAAGAUAGUAGGCAAGGAUACAGUGGUCGUGGAUUUCAGAAAGUACAGGUUCACAUGGGUACACAAAAACAUUUGGUACGAUCUAAAGGGUCCUUUGAAAAGGAUUAUAAAUGCUAUUGGAAUAUCAAUUAUGUGUGACCUUCAAAAUACAUAUUAUUUUAAAUAUAUAUUUUGUAGAUGUAUUUACUAUAGAACAUAAUUUCCUUUAGAUUGGUAUUUCUAGUUGUAUAUUAAUUAUUUGCUUGUUGCAGGUGGCAUUUCUUAAAAUUUAACUCAUGAAGGACUUUUUUCUUCUUAUUAGAUAGGAGAUAAUAGAUAGUUUAUAUGGUUUGUCCUUCUCAGAAACUACAAAGAAUUUUUUAUAUAAUUGUGUUAGGAGUCCUAGAUAUAACUCUUUGAAUAUUUGAAUAUGUUGAUAUGCCAUUUUUGAAGGGUUGAGACAGAUAUAUUAUAUAACUCAAACAUAACUACAUUUAUGAGAACCCAAGGACAAAAGAUCCUAAAUUGAGAAGGAACAAUGGGAACAGAUUCUCAAAGCGCUCUCCUACUGUGAUUGGCCACAUUGGUGGCUACCUAAUCAACUAUAAUACUUGAUCUUCUAUAAACAUGGGUUGCACUAGAGGAUUUCUUUUGCUUUUUUUUUUUUUUUGGGUACAAGCCCCAGAGGACUUUAACUCUUUAAGGUGGCCUCCAUCCUAUAGAUGUGCUAGAGUAGGAGACAAGUACCACUGACAUAGGCUUUCAGGUUUGACAACCUAUUAACCACGUGUUAGAAUCAUCCACGAAUAUGACAUUGGUUGUGCUUGGUACAUUCAUAUCAUAGGUGAGCCCUUCUCACACUCUAAGCAGCUCUGCAAUUGGGGUAGUAAUAUCAAAUAUAUGAGCAUCAUCUGCAGCCACAAAUUAUGACUCCAAAUGACAAAGCUGACUCCUCCCACAGCUUUAUUAUCAAGUACAUUGCCAUUGAAGUUAAUUUUGAGGAAACAAAAGGCGGUGGUCCCAGUUAAAAAAUGAAUUACUCGAGGAGAUGCAAAAGCUGCACCAUAAGAGCCACAAAAUUUCCUUUCUAUCAAAGACUCUCUGAUGGCAAUGGCCACAACGAAUUCUAAAGUACGAAGAGAGAUAUGUUGGUGGAUUUUGUUUUAUAGUUUAGUUCUUAGUUGUAUAUAAUUUAUCCUAUGUAUAUUUUUGAAUGAUGUGGUAAGAUAUAUCAACCUAAAAAUAGCAAUGUACAUAGUUCAUCUUCUGAAUAUUUUUGCAAGAUUGAUAGAGUAUAUAGACUACAAAUAAUUUUUCAUACAGGAUAUAAUGAUACGGAUAUUAUCUGCUAUGUAUUCAAUAAAACCUAUAUGAUAACCUAAUCCAAUUAGACUAGGAGCAUGAAUUUUAAAGCAACAAAAAAAAAUAUUAAUAAAAAAAAUAAAGGAACAAAGACUCCCAAUCAAAAUCUUAUUCCCCACUAAAUCUAGCUUGAAAUUAAACUCCUAGGGCUACCAAAAAAUCCUAAGAAAUCCCUUCCAAGUUGCCUCCUCCCCCUCCAAGGCACUUCAUGAUGAACACUAGCCUUUUUCCUCUCUUCUUCCUCCUUCAUCCUUCACUGUUUUACUGAUUUUUCUAGAUUCGUGACCAUCAAAAAUUGGAGCUAGAGGCAUCACUAGAGUGCGAUUGUAAGGCUCUAAAUUUUUCUCUUCUCUCUCUUUCCCUUCUCUUGGCCUUAGGUGCCGCCACCGGCUUCACUAGAAAUCCAUCAUAAGAAGAAACCUCUAUUUUUCGACCUUUCUUUUGCUUUUUUCGGCUGCUGGCGGCACCAUUCCUUAGAGCUGUGCUUUAGGCCGAGUACCUUAACCUCCCCAUGAGCCUCCAUGGUAGAGCCAUGGCCAUCGGCGAGCGGCCAAUAGCCAAAAAGAAGAAAGAGGUCCAGAUCCCCUAUUUUUGAGGUCUUUUUCCUUUUGAUUUCUCAUCGGUCAGUCACCAUUAUUGGCCAUGCAUUGCCAUCCACAUGUCACUGCCCGCUAUCACCCACGUCAGUCAUGCAUCGCCUGCUGCUGUCGGUCUGCGUCACCAACCAUCAUCCCUUGUGUGGCCAAAAAAAGAAAGAAAAGAAAAGAAGAAGAGAAGAGAUGAGAACAAAAGAAAAGAAAAGAAAAGAGAGAGAAGGGUUCUCUCUCUUGUCAUCAUCCCUUGUGUGGCCAAAAAAAGAAAGAAAAAAAAGAAGAAGAGAAGAGAAAAAAAAUAAAGAGAGAGAGAAAGAUUCUCUCUCUUAUCUUUCUCUCUCCUUCUCUCUUAUGUCUCCAUUUACUUCCUUUUUUUCUUUCUAUCUGAUCCAUGGAGCCCAGUAUGAAUUUGGGAUGAUCUUUUCAAAGAUAUCCUGAAUCGUUUCGAUAUCCAUACAAUAUGUCAGAUUACGAUCCGAUCCUUAUUAGAUAUUGAUAAAAUUUAGUCACUAUUAACUCCUAUUGAGUCACUCUAAUAUGAUCCCUGAUGAUCUUGAUCAUGAAUUUUUCUUUUGAGGGAUACGAAAAUCAUUUUCUACUUUCUCUCUCUAUUCUUCUCUUCACCUACUUUCUCUCUCUAAAAAGAUCUAGGGACUCCAAUAUCGAGUCAUGCCUUCCUCUUCUAGAGACCUAUGUUGAUCCCAGCAAGACAACCUCGAAUCGCUUUGAUUUCUGGAUGGUCUAUCAGAUCGAUCAUUCGAUCAACAGUCAUCUUUUCUUAUAAUUUAAUCAUGUUGAAUUAAUCAAAUAGAAAUUGAUCAUAUUUUUAAUAUUUUAAAUAAGAUUAUAUGAUUCUUUUAACAAAGUUUGAUGAUCUAGGAUGAUCGAGGUAAGUAGAUCUUAUGUUCUUUAUUUAUUUUCAAAAUUAUCAUAUUUUUCAUGCAUAUGAUAUGUUGCUGAUAAAAUCAUAUUUUUUUUAUAAAAUAAGGAUCAGCAUAUGAAAUAUACAAAAGUAUAUUUUAUGACGAAUGAUUUCAUAAAUAUAUUUUAUGAAAAUAAUAUAUUUAUGAAGCAUGAAUUUUAUUAUUUUUUUUAUCUAUAUAUAUGUAUAUUUAAAAAAAUAUAUAUAAUAAAAGCUCUUAGAUAGCUAUAAACAAAUCCCUAUGGUAAGAUCGAUAUCUAAAGCUAGCAUGCAUAGGAACAUAAGUCCUGCCAGUGGGUAUAAAGUUAGCAUAUAAAAUAAAAACUUUGUUGAUUAAGAUCACUAGCUUCGUUAUGGAUAUAAAGUGACCAUAACACGAAUAUCUAUGAGAAUAUUUUGAAACAUAAUACGAAUAUGUGAUAAGAAUGACUUACGAAUCAUAUUUACAAAAUGUUCAUAAUUUAUGCAUGCAUAAUUAUUUUAUAAUUUAUUUUAUUAUAUACUCUAUGAAAUACUUUAUUUUUAUAAUAUUUAUUAUAUUUUAAUAUUAUAUUAUUAUAAAAGAACUUAUGUUUGAUCCAAUAAGGAAGUAUAAGUUUUACUUACUAAACUAGCAUAGCUCAUAUCUCUUUAUUUUUUUUUAUUUUACUGAGGAAUAAUAUUAUGAAUGAUGAAAGAUCCAGGCUUAAAGAUUUGUAUAGCAAGUUUGAAAAUUUUGUAGCUGAAAUUUAGUUUAUUGGAUGAUUAUGGAUUUAUAGUUAAUUAUUAAUUAUGAACUGUGAGAUAUGGAUUUAAUAUUUGAUUUUAGAUUUAAAUGCUCUAGACUAAUCUUGAUUUAUUUUUUUUGAUGAAUGAUAUAAUUAAAUUUUUUUAUUAUAUUUUAUUUAUAAUAUAUUUUAGCUGAUUAUAGUUGUUAGGUUUUAUAUUAUCGAGAGCAGCACCUCUUAGUAGCAUAGCCAUAUUAUGUCCUCGAUUUGGGGCAUGACAAUCUAUACUAUUUUUUUAUAAAAAGAAAGCUAUUUGUUGAUAGUUCUAAAUGCCAUAAGAAACAAGGAUAAAAUUUUACACUGACCAUUUUGGUGAUUAUAAAUACCAUCAAUACUUAUUUGUUGACAUCCAAUAUAAUUUUUGUGCCGCUCUUACACGCUGACUAAAAGCCUGAAAUGGUAGCUAAAAAUGCUAGUUAAAAUUUUUGAAUUUGAUAAGACAAACAUCGUAAUAGCUUGUCCAAUAUUUAUAAGUGUCAUGAGAUGCAACCAUAUGCUGCAUACAACCAUAAUUUUUGGGGCAUUUUAGGAAAAUCCUAGAAUACAAUUCUCAACAAAAAUUUGACUGGUAUUUGCACAAUAUUUGGUAAAAAUAGUGGUUUCAAAAUACCCAACAUAUUUUGAUGGCUAAUCUGUACUUGGGGGAAAAUAGCAUACGUCGCUCAUCAAAUCUAGCUUUCCAGAAGCAGUCUAAUCUUCGAUGCCUAGAUGGUGUCUACACAUCGGUGCUGGAGAGAGCUACAUAUCUGGCAGAGGAGUAUUAUCAUUUCGAUAUUGUCGACUCGUCCUUGGACACUUUCGAAUCCUAGAAUUCUAGUGCUACUCUUGCAACAAACUAGAGGGUUAUCUUUAUUUUCUGAGAGCCUCCACCUUCAGAGUUUGUCAAGAUCAAUUUUGAUAACAGUGUUAGGGAUGGUAGGGAUGGUACUGGCUUUGUCAUCUAGGAUUCAGACAUCAGAUUAUUGGUGGCAGGAGAAUCGUAUCUUUUUGAGCUUUUUGUCCGAGGAAUGGAGCUUCGGGGCUACUUGGACGAACAUUAUCUGUGCCAAACAAGUUGCAAGCAGAGAGGAUUUGUAUAGAGAGUAUGAUUCACAGAUUAUUAUCAACUAGAUCUGAGACGAUAUGAGAUAGUUGGAGGUCUAUCCGCUUCUCUAUGACAUCUAAACAUCCCUCCGAGAGUUUGCCGUAGUGUCAAUUCAACAUAUAUUCUGAUAGAUGAAUAGUACGGCAGGCUAGGUCACUUCUUAUGAGCAUACAAGAGACUAGACAUUGCGAUAAGAUGAGACGUGCCCAUGAGUCCUGUAGAAAUUUUUACUUUCUGAUCAUAUGGAUUGUAUUCACACUGGAGUCAUACGAUCAUUCGCUUGUAUCAAAAAAAAUGUUUGGUAUAUUUAUAUUUUUUAAUGUUGAUAAUUUUUUUUGUUGUGCCGUUAUUUAUGGUGAGGGUUACACAAUAAAAAUGUUAAGUGUACUUGUUUUGGUCUUCUAUCAAUAAAAAAAAAAAGAGAAAUAAAGAAUUAAGGAGGAAAAAUUAGUAAGAGAAUAGGAUAAAGAGAAUAAAUUAGAAGACAUCAAUAGAAGAUACAAAGGACACGCCACUAUUCGAUAUCUCUCUUGAAGUCAAAAAAAUCUCAAUGUAUGAUGUCGCCUAUUUUUAAUGGAAAGAAAAAACUUGAGCAGGCUCUUUUCUCUUGCAAGGCUUGGAAGUACCGAAGAAAGUGUCAUGAAUAUAACAUUUGUUAAAGAAAACAAGAGCUGCCGUCGACCAAUAAAAUAAGGCACGUGAAGGAGUUCAUCUUACUGAUGUGGUUGAUUGGUGGUGCCCAUCUUGGUAAUAAAAUAUAAAAGGCCAGUUUUUUUUUUUUUUUUUGUCACCACUUGAUUACUCUGUCUCUCUCAUGGUAUAUGUUUUAAAUAUGUCUAAUUUGAUAAUUGGAAUCCAGUUACCUAAUGCUCUAAUUGGAGCAUAUACAGACUUUUUCUGGGAUAAGAAAAGUCAUCCUAAGCGGAUUACACUACAUCAGGGUAAACUGAUAUAAACCUCAUUAGUUAUUCAAGAAAUAUAUCGUUAUAUCAAGUUAUAAUUGCAGUUAAUCACUUUGUGUGCUUGGAGGCUGGGGAGAAAUAACGAAUGUUGUUUGGAAGUUACUUGGAGAUAUGCGGACGCAAAAGAUGACUUUGUGUGAAAUAGGACAAGUUUGCCUUUCCAAUCUCUAUUAGUAUAUAAUAUUGUACCAUAUAUUAUAUAUUAGAAUAUUGCACUGAUGAUAUUAUGUCAUGCAUUAUAUUAUAAAAUUAUAAUAUAUACAAUAAUAUUAUAUAGUAACAUAUUGUAUCUUAAUAUUAUAGCAAUAUUAUAAUAUGAUACAAUAUAAUAUCAUAUCUUAGAGUGUUAUAAUAUAAUACUGUAAUGAUAUUGAUAUUUUAGGAGGGCUAUUUUCUUUAAUACUAGAAGGGAUAAGAGAAGGCGUUUAAACCAUUUUGAGCCAGGUCUAAACGCAUACCAUAGGACUCUAUAGGUUGCUGGUAUAAGUUAACCAUAAUAGUUUGACUGGAAAAGGUAAAUUAUUUCGCCCGACAAUUCAAGAUGUUUGGUAGUUAUGCCGAGGAUAAAUGCGGAUAAACCCCUCUUGUCUUGGUUCGAGGGCCUAAAGAAACAAAAGGUUGAUGGUAUAGUCCUUUAAUUAGAUUGCUACAUAAAUGCAUGGGUUGGAUGUUAAAAUGAUGCUUUGAACGUAUCUAAUUUCUUUUAAAUAGCAACACACAAUGAUAGGCCCAUGGUUUAUUUCACUAGAAACAGGUGCAACAUGGGAAUUGUCGAUUUGAGCCUAAUCUUAUAGAUUGAGUGCAACAUUUAGAUUGAAUCAUGUAUUUUAGAGCUGGAUGGUUGGUUGCGUUCAUGAGCUAAUUAGAUGUUUGACAAUUGCUUAAAAAAAUUUGAAGGCAUUUCUGAAACAUAUAUUUAUUGUUCACUAAAUCCACCAACCAUGAGCUCUCUCUCGCUCUCCCCUCCUCACUUCCUCCUUUCUUCUUUCCUCACUUGCUCCUUUAGGAAAAGAAGAAAAGGAUACUUGAUCGAAAGCAUCCAUCUUGUUGGUUGUGAUGAACUUUAAGAUUAAAAGAAGCGGGUCUCAGUUUGCAUGUGCUGACUCAAAUAUAGGAGAGGGAUCCUCUUCUGAAAAGGAAAGAUCACCAAAUCAAGCAUACAGAUAGGAGAAGACUAGCGUCAACAGCAAUCAAAAAUUGAAUGUAUUUAACAUAUGCCAAAAAUUAAAAAAGAUCAUGAAUCUUGAGAUCAUAUUAGUCCAUGUUAUUUCUCAUGUGCAUCAUAUAUAUAUACAGCUAGAACUAAUAUACAACGAAUAUUUCAUACUUUUAAAGGGAGGCAUAAUCAAAAUAUAGAAGGUUCAUGUUGAUUGUAUUGAAGUGUUAUAUAUGUGGUUGCACAAUGACCCAACCAAGCAAACCUAUCUCAAAUUUUAAUCUAAACUACUCUAGAAUCUUUUAAACUUGUCCAGGGCUAAAGUCAUGUUUUCUUAGCACAAUGACAUGACUUUAGUCAACUGAUGCAAACUAGGAUAUUAGAACCAUUAUCCAAAGCCAUUCUCUUACUUUCUCAAAGUGAAACAUCACAAUUAAUCUCAAUUUAAUCAUACUCCAAUCAAAACCUCUAACUAAAUCUAUUUUACCAACAACAAUGCACCUAUUAGAAUUAUCUAUGCUAAAAACACCGAUGAGAGGUGCAACCACUAGGCCAUAGCUUGAUUUUAGCAACCAGGGCUAAUUUGGUUUGGCCUUUAAAAGGGCUACGCAAAUUACAAUUGCAAUAUCGAUAAAACUUCCAUCAUACUUUUUUAAUUAGAUUAUACAUGUUGCUUUGGGGCUCGAAAUCUGGAGUAGAGUGAAUCUACUUGAGCAAGAUUGGGCUGGAGCAAUCCUUGCAAUCUGAUGAAAACUCCUCCAAUCUACAAAAUCAGUCAAAAAAUCGGAUGGGGAUCCUCCGGUUCUUGACCCUCUGAUACUUAAGUCAGUUCGAGACUUGAGAACAGAGAUGAAAAAGAGUGAAAGAGCAAAAAAAAUUAAAUGAAACUAAAGGAGAACUGAGUAGGAGCCAAGAAUCUGACUUAAUUUUCUAUUGACAGAGUUUUUCCUAGUUUCCAAGAGUUAGACUUACUGAUAGAGGAUUCCUAACUCUCUAUUUAUAGAGGAAAUGAUGAAGCCGUUUCAAAGUUUAUUAGACCGUUAAAAAAAAUCUGUUAGGCGGUUAGAAAGCCACCUGUAAGUGAGAUAGCAUACAGCUAUGCAUAUGAGUUGGACAUGAGAUCGUGGCUAGCUAUAGCCUGGUUGAAAAAAUCACUAUAGGUAUUUGCAGAAUAGCCAAGUCUGUCAUAAUAAUAGAUCACCUCAGUAGAAAAUUGGGAGGACGUAACAUUCUAGCAUAGAGACUAGGGUUUAGGUCAACAUAUAUCCGACCUGAACAUUUUUGUUAGAAAAGACAUCGUCUGGAGAGAAUAGGGACGUCCUAUAAAAUACCGAGCUGAAUCCGCUUUACAAAAAUUGGUAUGCUGAUCUAGUGCUUUAAGAUUGAUAUCAUUUUAAUCUCGUAUGAUGAUGCCACGUGUCUUGAGGCUGAUUUAAUGCAUCAAUACUUUGCCCCUUAUUCCUUAUGUCCGAGGCGAUAAUUUUCUGAUCAGAUUAGGAAGUAAGAAUACAGAAAGUAUGAUUUUCACCAAUUUGAGAAGUAUUCACCAUAAAGGCUAGAUUUCACUAGUCGGGAUAUCUUAUUUUCAAAUUGACCUUUUUUGGCCCGAAUAUUUACCAUCCAGAAGAUCUUCUCUCUGGAUAUUUACCGUCCAGAAAAUCUCCUCUCUAUUUUUGCCUCAUUUUGAUCAUUGACUGACUAAGAAAUCUUAUCUUCGCUUUUAAAUUUUCGAUCUGAUCGGUCAGGAGAUCUUAUCUCCGUACUUGAUUUUUAGCUCGAUUUUUUAUCGACUAGAAGAUCUUAUCUCUAUGCUCGAAUUUUUGAUUUGAUUUUCAUCGAUCAGAAAAUCUUAUCUCUAUAUUUUAUCUUUGAAUUUUUCAAACAGAUAUUGCUGCCGCCUGAAAUAAAUAUGCCACAUCUCGAGGGCAUAAAAAUUAAUUGUUUGGUUGAAAAUGAAUGGACUUAAUCUUUCAGAAAAUGAUCCGUCAUAUCUUUCCUCAUCAUUGCUUGGAUAGGCGAUUUGAAAAUAUCAAAUAAAGUGCGAUAAAUAUCAAUGCUCGGUUGGCUUAUCAGCUUGGGUUGGAUUGGUCUGAUGUGGCAGGAUUUGAGUAAAGGUGCGUCUAACCACUGUCUGACUGAGCAUUGGAUUGAUGUCAAGUGGCACAAAUCGACAAGGAGACCAGUCAAUCUUGACCAUCGAUUCAUCUAUAAAAGAUUUUUUUAUCCCCCGAUCACUGUUCAUUUUCUCCGUUAUCUUGCGGAGGUACUGCUGAAAUAUUUUCAGAAGCUUCUCAAUGCGGAACAAUCGUCGGAGAUAGUAAGGAGCUUCAUCGAAGCAAGAGAGAAGGAGUCUAUCUUAUCUUUGGGAGGGUUUCAUCUGUCUUUUUUAGGUACCAGUCCUUCCUCAUUCACUCUCUUUCAACCAUAGGGUAGCCCCUUUUCUUCUUUCGAGUCUCCUUAUUUUUUCUUUAUACUUUUCUUUCGAGAAAUAUAUCCCACAGAAGUAAGAAGAGGAAGGAGACCAUAGAUGAAUCACAGGUUAGAUCGACCCAGCCCCUACUGACCAUAGAGGUAGGAAAUGCACCUCAAAAAAAUUUUGAAACUGGCCUAUUAGGUGAAGAGAGUUCGAAUCACAGCACGAAAUCUUUCGUACAUGGUCUCACGGACUAUCUCGAUCCCAAAAUAGAGGGAUCUGUCUUGAUCGAGGAGAACCUCACAGCCCUUACAGACAAAUAUAACAUACUUGAUGAAUAUGAAAUACUAGUGUCGGAUCGAGAAGGUCAAGUCUCUGAACCUCCUGAGGGUUGUAUAGCUUUUUAUGAUGAGUCUCUUCGGUCCGGCCUACGAAUUUUAUUACAUCCUUUUUUCUGUAAUAUUUUUGAUUUCUAUAGAAUCUACUCCACUCAAAUAAUUCCAAAUAUAAUUAGGAUGAUUAUAGUAUUCAUCAUCAUGUGCGACUUCCUUCAUAUAGACCUUAGGAUCUCCUUGUUUAGAUCUCUAGUCCUUUUAAAAAGAUAUCUGAGUGAGAGGAGCUGGUGGAACUUCUCACCUCGAAGGGGCUGUAAAUUCGGAUCUAGCCUUCUUUCUUUCAUUCAUGGCUUGAAAGGUCAUUUUUUUCUUUGUCCUGACUCCCAUUCCAUGGGAUUUUAGGACUUCAUGGGGGCGUCCGAACACUAAACACAAUUUUCAUAAUGAAAUUCUCCUUGGAGAUGAGAUGACUCAUUCAACUCUGAUCACCACCAAAACACCUAAGCUCUCUACUUUGAUAAAUGAUCACAUGGUGUACGACGUCGGAAUCAAUCUGUACUCUCCUCGGGAUAAGACAGGAGUAUUUUAUUUUUUUAAUUUCUCUUCUUUUUAUCUUCAAUAUUCUAAAACAUACAUCUGAUGCAGAGAUGAGGUUCAAUCCGACAAAGAUGGAGGAGAGAAAAAGGAAGGAUCUACCAAAAUCAUCUGCAAUUGUUCCCACAUCUAAAAGAGUUAAAGAUGCGGAAUCUCUUCCUACCCCGGUGCCAUUCCGAUCAUCAUCAGUGACUCCUUCCCCAGCUAAUUCAGAAAGAAGUGAGGCUUCUUAGGGACCAUAGAAUUGUCCUCGGCACUGUCACUGGAACCACCUCGCCAACCCAUCAUGGUGAGGAUUGAAAACAAUAACGCCCGGCCUGUACCAUCCUCCAGAGAGCUCGGGUACAAACCGACCAUACUUUUUAAGGCACCAUCAAGUUCAACUGAGGAGAACGUCAUAACAAGAAUGUCACUCCUAGAGCGAUCCCGACUAGGCCAAGAUCUCCUCGAAUCCACAAUGCCGACCGUCGAUCUGAAGGUGCAUCAAAAGAAUAAGCCUGGGGAGAUCAUCAACCAUGGAUUUGAACAACUCAUGCAUGUAAGUAUUUUUUUCUUUUCUUUUCUUUUCUUUUUCACUUCGAUGAAUGACUGAAUUAAAUCUUUUAUCCUGCAGAUUGCUGUUGACUUUAAAGUUAUGUAUGAGAAUAUGGUCUACUUACUUAAGAAUAAAGAAACCAUGGAUGCUAAUUUAAUCAUCCUCCAAGAGGAAAAGAAAAAGAAAUCCGAGCUUGCUAUCAGACUCAAACAUCAACUCGAGGAGAAGCUAAAGGCCUUGAAGGAGAAGAACCAGAACUUGCUAGAUCUUCAGCGAAAAAUAAACAAGCAGGAGAAGAAGAUCUUUGAUCUACACACUGUUGCUGAGAAAAAUAAAGAAUUGGAGCCGAGGCUUAAAGAGGCGGAAAAGGCCAUGAAACUCAUGAGACGGCCAUCGAGGCCUUGAAAAGACAAAUAAAGGAGCAGGACAAGGUGGCAAAGGCAGUGGAACUGUACAUGACUUCCGAGGAGUUCGAAGAUGAAGUGUCCGAGAGCUCCAAGGGUGCAUAUGACUACAUCUUCAGCCAGUACUGCAACCUGAUCAAGAAGCUAUAUCUCGAGAUGGACAUCUCCAAGGUCACUCCAAAGGUGACCGUCGAAAUGGACAUGAAGAGGGAUCUUGAAUCGCCCUCCGAAGUAGCAGAGGAGCCAGUAAAGGAGUCAGAUCGAUCAACUAUCGAGGUGAACGUAAUAAAAGCCAUCGUUGUGGAGCCCAUAUCUGUGGUACCUCCGGUGGAGACUGAAGACCUUGAGGCCGAUAAGAAAUAGGAGCCUACCCAGUCGUAGAGUCUGCUAUUACUAACACUGAAAAGUUAGAGCAACCCAAGAAGGAAUCGACUAAGAAGAGCUCCAACACAUCGAUGAUCAUUCAGUAGAAGUUUUCUUUUUUUCUCGAGAUGUACUGAUCUGAUAUAGAUUUUUUUAUUUUUCUCUUUUCUUUUUUUUUUUGAAAUGUGUAAAUCUGAUGUGGGUUCUUGUUUUUGUAACUUUUUCAAAUAUCAAUGCAAAGGAUAUUUUCUCAAAUAUAUUUGAGUCAUUUAGUCUAGCAAAUCUCAUCACUUAUCAAGAAUCGAAAAUCGAUAACUAAUUCAACAAAAUCAAAGACUGGUAGCCUUAAAUUCACCCACCAUUAAUUAAUUAAAAAUAGACUGGGCAUACUUUUAUUUGCAUGACCAUGGACGGAUCAAGCCUUAAAAUUUGACCUGAAAGUCGGUAUUUUCAGGAGAACCCCAAGAUAAUCUCGCUUUAGAUAUCACUGUAACAUCAUGUUGGUAAGAAACUAAUGUAAAAUACUUCUGGUCUUGUAUCCAGUACAAGACUCAUCGGUCAAUGAUGGGAUCAAAUCCUCCAAGGCUUCUUCAGACUGAAAUUUGGAAGAAUACUGAUGUCCUUCGGGGUUCCACCAGACUGGAAUUCGGAUUAACAUUGUUCAGAUAAAUAUUCAUACCUUUCGAAACUUUAUCAGAUUAGAAUUUGGAUAAACAUUCACAUCCUUCGGGGUUUUAUUGAACUGAAAUUCAGAUUAACAUUUAUACUCUUUGGAGCUUUAUCAAAUUGAAAUCUGGAUUAAGAUAUUGUGCCCAAUGGAGCUUUAUCGAAUUAAAAUCUGAAUUAAGAUAUCCUACCCUACGAGCUUUACUGGACUAGAAUUCGGAUUAAGAUAUCGUACCCUAUAGAGCUUUAUCGGACUGAAAUCUAGAUUAAGAUAUCAUGCCCUAUGGGGCUUUAUCAGACUAAAAUUUGAAUUAAGAUAUUGUGCCCUAUGGGGCUUUAUCUGACUGAAAUCCGGAUUAAGAUAUCAUACCCUACGGGAUUUUACCAGUUUAAGGACCGAACUUCGAUACAUGGGAGGACAUGACGUAUAAGAAAGAGCUCAUUAAAAUAUUUUUAUUGAUAAUAUUUUUUGAGAUUUUUAAAAUUUCAAGUAUGAAGAAUAAUAGAUCUGUCUAAAUUUUUAAUUCUAUAAAUCCCUGGACGAAUUACAUCAAUGACUCGAUAAGGCCCUUCCUAAUUGGGAGCCAACUUAUCUUGUUCAAUAGGUUUUGAAACUUCAGCUCAUCUUAGGACGAGGUCACCCUUCUAAAAUGACUUCGACUUCACCCAAGCAUUAUAAUACUUAGCAAUUCUCUGUUUAUAGAUAGUCAUUCUGAUAUGGGCUUAUUCCCUUAUUUCAUCAAGAAGAUCUAGAUCGAUCCUCCAGCGGUUAGAGUUGGUUGUCUCAUAAAAAUUUCUAACUCUGCCAAACAAUAAGUCAAUCUCCAUCGGGAUCAUGCUUCAGUUUGAUAAGUGAGCCUGAAAGGAGUUUCUCUUGUUGGAAUUCGAUGUGUGGUUUGGUACGGCUACAGUACACUCUGCAGCUCUUCAGCCCACAAGCUUUUUGCAUCAAUGAGCCUUGUCUUCAAACCAUGAAGGAUAGUUCUAUUGAUUACUUCAGUCUUACCAUUCGAUUAUGAAUGUCCAACAGAAGUGAGUCGAUUAUCAAUAUAAAAUUUAGAGUAGAAUUUCUUAAACUUAGGAUUGUCAAACUGUCGAUCAUUAUUAGUGAUGAUGAUCCGAGGCAAACCAAACCAAUAGAUUAUGGAUUUUCAGAUAAAAUCUUGCAUCUUUUUCUCUAUGAUUUGGGCUAAUAGUUCCGCUUCUAUCCAUUUUGUGAAAUAAUCGAUAGCUACUAUCAGAAAUUUUCUUUGGCCUAUGGCUACUGAAAAAAACUCUAGUAUAUCCAUCCCUCAAAUUGCAAAGGGCCAAAGAGCGGUAAUAAAAAUAAACUCAGCAGCAAGUUGAUGUUAGAUAUUAGCGUACAUUUGAUAUUGAUCGCAUUUGUUAACAAAAUCAGCUGUAUCUUUUUGAAUAGUUGGCCAGUAGUAGCAUUGCUGAAGUAUUUUAUAAGCAAGUGACUUAUCCCCUAGAUGGUUCCCACAUAUACCUUCUUGCAGUUCUCGAAGUGCGUAGUCAGCUUCAUAUGGCAUUAAGCAUCGAAGUAGAGAAAGAAAAUAAGAUCUUUUAUAUAAAUAAUCUUCUUGAAGAACAUACCAUGGAGCUUAUCUUUUAAUGCUUCUGGCCUUGGUCAGGUCAUCGGACAGGAUAUCUUUAGAUAUGUAAUCCAUAAGGAGAUCAAUCCAGCUCGGUUUAUGAUUGACCUGAAAUAUAAAAAGCACCUCAAUAUUAAGCCUAUCCAACUGUUCAAUCAAUACCUUCUGGUUUAAUUCGAAAAAAUUCAAAGUGGCAAGGUGCGAUAGAGCAUCAGCUCGGAUAUUUUUUGAUCCAGGAAUUUGAAGCACUUUAAGCUCCUCAAAAUUUUUGGAUAGCUUUUUGACAUUUUGUAGAUAACAAGCCAUCGUGGAAUCUUUGACUUCAAAUUGACCUCGAACUUUGCCAACCACAAGUUGUGAGUCUGUGAAAAUCUUUAAUUUUCUGACUCCGAGCUCUUUCACCAUCUUAAAAUCCACCGUUAGAGUUUCAUAUUCAGCAUCAUUAUUGGAAGUGUUAAAAUUGAACCUCAAGAUCAGCUCAGUUACGAACCUUUCAGGACUAGCCAGAAUCAAACCAGUGCCAUUUUUUUGAGAAUUUGAAACUCCAUCUAUGUGAAUAAUCCAAAAUGAAUUAUCACUUUUAGGACUUGUCAGGAUUGACGCAUCAUCCAGGACAGUACAUUCUGUGAUAAAAUCAGCUAACAUCUAGCCUUUAACUGCAAUUCGAGAUCAGUAGUGGAUAUCAAAUUUACUGAGUUCAAUGACCUAUUUGGCGAUCUGACCUGAAGUAUCAAUUCUUUGUAAAAUCUAUCUGAGCGGCUAAUCUGUCAAUACUGCCAUAGUAUAAGCUUGAAAAUAAGAUCUGAGUCUCCGAACUACUACGAUCAAAGCAUAUAUCAUUUUUUCAAUCUUUUUAUACUGAGUUUUUGCAUCUCACAAUAGUUUGCUGGUGUAGUAGAUCAACCUUUGAAUUUUGUUUUCUUUCGGGAUAAGAACCGAGUUGACUGCAAAAGGUGAUAUAGAAAUAUACAUGCACAAUUCUUCACCCUCGAUCAGCUUAGAAAGAAGAGAUGAAGAAUCGAGAUACUUCUUAAGAUCUUCAAAAGCAGUCUGACAUUCUUCUAUCCAGUUGAAAUUUUUGAUACUUCUCAAUAUUUUAAAGAAUAGAAGGUAUCUUUCUGCUGACCUGAAAAUAAAUUGAUUAAGGAUUGCUGCUCAUCCGGUGAGCUGCUGGAUUUCGGUAAUAGAAGUCGGACAUUUUAUUUUCAAUAAAGCUCUAAUCUUUUUAGAAUCUGUUCCUCUUUGAUUAUUGAAAAAGUCAAGAAACUUAUUUGAGCCAACUCCGAAAGUAUAUUUGUUGGGAUUGAGCUUCAUCUGGUGCUUUCUAAGUUCUCCAAAUACUUUCUUCAGAUCGAUAAUAUAUCGAUCCUCCUCGAUGCUCUUUACUGUCAUGUCGUCAAUAUAGACGUUCAUAUUUCGGCCAAGUUGUUGCUUAAAAAUUUUAUUGAUGAGACACUAGAAUGUAGUACCUGCAUUUUUAAGAUCUAAAGGUAGCAUUUUAUAACAAUACAAAACUCUUUCGAUGACAAAAGUAGUAUUUUCUUCAUCUUCUAGAGCCAUUUGGAUUUGAUUAUAGUCAGAGAAAGUAUCUACAAAGCUGAGAAGUUUAUGACUAGAGGUAGCAUCUAUAAGCUAAUCAACUUUCGUCAGAGAAAAACUAUCUUUCGAACAAGCUUUAUUGAGAUCUUUGUAAUCAAUAUAGAUUCUCCAUUUGUUGUUAGCUUUUUUGACCAUAACAACAUUGGCUAUCCACUUCGGAUAAUAAGCUUUCUUGAUGAAUCUUGCUUUUAAAAGCUUGUCAACUUCCUCAUCAAUAGCUUUCUGCCUUUCCUAGAUGAAACUUCUCUUCUUCUGUUGAACCAGCUUGAAAUUUAGAUCUACAUUUGGUUUAUGAAUAAUCAUAUCAGCUGGGAUGUUAGGCAUAUCAGAAGUCGACCAAGCAAAGAUGUCAGCAUUUGCUCGUAGUAACUUAAUCAGUCUCUCUCUUAAAUUAGGUUUAAGAUUCACACUGAUCUGGAUCAUUUUUUUGGAUCAUCUUCGAAAGGAUGGCUUCAAGCUUUUCCACCAGUUCACCUUAGAUUUUUUCGAUCUCAUCCAGUGCAUCUGGCAUAUCAACUGGUGUAGUUACUGUCGCUAUGCAUUUCACCAACUUCUUUUCUAGUCGAAAAAUAUACCAGCAGAUGAUAAGUAAAGAUAAUGACUUUGAGGGUAUUAAGAUCAGGUCGGCCAAGGAUAGCAUUAUAAGCAGAUAAGACUCUAACUAUUAGAAAAAUAAGCUAUACUGCUGACUGCCUUGGUUCCUGUCCCGUCGUAAUCGGUAAAGUAAUUUCUCUUUUAGUUGCCAUCGAAUUUUUUGAGAAUCCAAUAAGGAGAGUAUUGAUCCACCUAAACUGUCCGGUCAGAUUCAUUUUUGAAAAAGUAUUAUAGAACAAUACAUCGACAUAACUUUCAUUAUCAACAAGAACUCUUUUUAUAUCAUGUUUUACUAUUAUCAUAGAGAUGACGAUAGCAUUAUUAUGAGGGGUUUGAAUCUCCUUUACAUCUUUUUUUUUUAAAAAAAUAACAUCUUCAGUUCUCUACCUCUUGGGGGACAGGUCAUCAAGGCCGGGCAGGACACUGGAUAUCAUAUUGAUAACACUAGCAGUUGGUCAGUUGUGAUCAUCAGAAGUUCUUUCUGCGGGAGAUCUGUAUUCUCUGAAGUUGGCCGGUCUGACAUAUUUACUGAGGUAAUCUUGAGAUUUCUAUCUCAUCUCGCAGCUGUCUGCAUUCCUCGAUGUCGUGGUCAUGAUCUCUGUGAAAGCGACAAUACUUUCGCUUGUCUCUUUUCUCUGAUGGGGUCCUUAAAGGAUUAGACCUUCGAAAAUAUCUCUCUCCUUCAAUCUCUAUCAGGAUCUGAGCUUGGAGAGUGGAUAGCGGGGCAUAUGAAUUAAAAUACUAAGGUGGGCUUCUUGAUCUCGAAUUUCUCUGGGGUUGAUUUGAAUUUUCAGCCUGCUCAUCAAUCUCUCUUGGCCAUUUUCUGCCAUUCUUAUCCUUCUUUGCCUGCCUCAAGAUAGCUUCUUCCUCUUCGACUUGGAUAUAUUUGCGCAUCCGGUCAAGUAUCUUAUCAUAGGUAUCUGAAAAAUUCUUCUUUAGAGAAAAAAUCAGACAACUGCUCCAAAGUCUCCUUUUCAAAAUAGAUAUGACAACUGAUUCAUUAAAAUUUUUUACUUUCAAGAUGGCCGCGUUGAAAUGAGCCACGUAUUUCUGGAGAUCUUCUCCUUCCUACUGCUGAACAGAAAAGAGAUUAUCCACAUAUCUCAAAUGAGAUUUGUUAGUACCAAAAUAAGUGAUAAACGAUCUCCCAAGCUGCUCAAAAGAAGAGAUGAACCCUUAUGGAAGUCCAGAAAAUCAAAUCCUCACUGCUUUCUUGAGGGUUGCGAAAAAAGCAAUACAUAAUAGGACAUCAGAAACCCCUUGUAAAGCCAUGAGGGCUCUGUAGCACUCGAUAUGAUCCAUUGUAUCAACAAAGCUAUCAACAGACUCGAUAGUGGGCAUCUUAAACCGAUUCAAAAUAGGUUCACAAAAAAUUUCAUGAGAGAAAGGAGAUCGAAGAUUGAAAUUAUCUUUAUUCUGAGAUCGACGCUCUAUCUGGAGCUCCAUCAUGCGCCUUUUAAGAUCCAAGACCUUGUGCUCCAGAUCGCCCUCUCUUUGAACUUUUAGAGUGUUAGAGGCAAAUUCGCUAUCAGCCUCAUCAAUAUAGUGUUCAUCUUGAUGGACUGGUUGAGAAUUAUACCGAGAUAAAGCAUUUGGGGGAGGAGCCUCUUUUGAUGGUUACUCUUCUCUCUUUUGAAGCUGUUGAACAACUGCUGUCAGGGCUUGGACUUGCUGAACAAGAAAAUUAAAUUGUUGAGGAUCAACAGCAAUUGGCUGUUGCGGUGGUGCCUUCGGUACUCUUUUUUCUAGAGUGGAGAGAGAAGGAUGCUGAGCUCUUGCCUUGACUAUCUUUCUCAUAAAAGAAAUUAGAGCUCCUUCCUUUAGCACCAAUUUGUUGCUUCAAAGUUCAAAAUCUGGAGUAGAGAGCGAAAUUGGACUGGAGCAAUCCUUACGAUCUGAUGAAAACUUCUCUAAUCUGCAAAAUUAGUCAAAAAAUCGGAUGGGGAUCCUUCGGUUCUUGACCUUUCAAUGCUUAAGUUAGUUCGAGCCUUAAGAACAGAAGUAAAAAAGAGUAGAAGAGCAAGAAAAAUUGAAUGAAACUGGAGGAGAACUGAGUAGGAGCGAAGAACCUGGCUUGAUUUUCUGCUGGCAGAGCUUCUCCUAGUUUUCAAGAGUUGGACUUACCGAUGGAGGAUUCCUGAUCCUCUAUUUAUAGAGGGGAUGAUGAGGCCGUUUCAGAGUUUGUUGUAUCGUUAGGAGAGUCUGUUAGGCGAUUAGAGAGUCACCUGUAAGUGAGCUGGCAUACAGCUAUGCAUAUAAGCUGGACAUGAGAUCAUGAUCAGCUGUGGCCUGAUUGAAGAAAUCACUGUGGGUGUUUGCAGAAUAACCAAGUUUGUUAUAAUAAUAGAUCAUCUCGGUAGAAGACCGAGAUAGACGUAACAUUCUAAAAUAGAGAUCGGGUUUCAGAUCGACAUAUAUCCGAUCUGAAUAUUAUUAUCAGUAGAGACGUCAUCCGGAGAGAAUAAAGAUAUUCAGUAAAAUACCGAGCUGAAUCUGCUUUACAAAAAUUGGUAUAUUGAUCUGACGUUUUAAAGAUUGAUAUUUUUUUGAUUUCGUAUGAUGAUGCCACAUGUCUUAAGACUAAUUUAAUGCAUCAAUAAUAUAUUUUAAAUUUUUAAUCAAAAAAAAUCAUAUAUUUUUAAUUAGAUCCAGACCAAACCAGUUCCCCAAAUAUCUUCAUUCAUCCUUUGUAACCUUCUUGUGAUUAUAUCACGCUAGUAUUCUCACAAGGGCCGUAUUGUGGCUUCUGAGAUAAGUGGCAGAGGGAGAGAUACGGGGGAAGGCAAGCCAUGCAAAGACAUCUGUAUCCUAUCUCAGAAUUUUUUCUAAUUAAAUAAGACAUAUAAAGACUUCAGUUUUUGUAGACUCAUUCAACACCUAGAAUUUUCUGCAUAAUAUAAUAGAUCUUCCAACUUCUGUACUUUAUAUAUAUAUAUAUAUAUUGUAAAAUACUUAUUUAUUGUUAGCAAUCUUGAGAGGAGACUCAGAACAUGGGACCCCAUAACCUUGAAUCAUGAACAUGAUGUGUGAUCUUAAAUGGAAAGGCGGGGACAGGGGUCUCUGUUUUCCACACGGAGGGACCACGUGUAGUUAAUGAGUACAAAGGAGCAGAUGAGAAAGAUUUCAGGUACCUUUUUCCCUCGUUAUCUCUUCCCCUCAUCCCUCCCACCACCACCAAUAAAACCAAGCCACAUAAAGAUACGGGCAUUUAAGAAAAGGUGGAGAGGAAGAGGCUAACACAAACGGACAAAUGCCUUUCAAGAUGGUAGGCCCCACUACACUGAUGCAACUCGCGAAUUGCGUGUCAUCCACAUCCACGGCCGGGACCCGCCAAUAUCUCCCACAGGGGUUGGUUCGAUUCCCACGCAAGUUGCAGGUGGCCCCACACGUGUCCCACGCAGCCAGGCCCGUAGAACUGCAAAAUUCCUGAGAUCUUACAAAAAUGAGAAAAAGAGUCAGGUAAGUUCUUUUUAUAUGUGAUGGCAUAUUAUUUUUGAACUAAUCUUCCAAGAUACCAAAUAAAAAGUUCUUUAAUGUGUUAUAAUAUAUGUUAUAAGCUUGUCAUUGCAAAAUUGGUGACCGGUCAUGCACAAAAGUACUAAUUUAUGAUCGGAUUUGCUGACCUAACCCACAACUAAUUUGAGUUGACCCGUCAGUUGAAUAGAUUUUGUUUAGUUUUAGAGUUUCAUUUAAUAUUAUUUUGAUCUAUUUAGUACUUACGUCAGAUUGACACGGUUAUGAUUCAGUUUGCUUAAGACUUAUUUAAAUAAAUAAUUUAAAAUUUAUUUAAGCUAUGUAACUUGAUCCAAUCUCUUUAUUAAAGCUAUUAGUAGGUUGGAUGCCAUUAUUUGUUUAAUAAAAAAAUUAAAUUUGAUUAUAAAUUUAUAUUUAUUUAAUAAAUAAAUUAAAUUCAGAUCGAUGGAUUUUUGGUUCAUAUAUGAUCGAGGUCGGCUUAUAUGCUACUCUUAGCUGGAUAAGAAAUUUUCGUAAGGUUCUCUUUUUGUCGGCAAAAAUAUGAAAGCAAAGUUUAGUUACAAUGUUAUAUAUAUGGAUUUAAUGGAUGCAAUCCCAUGUCAUGUUAUGCAUUUUCCCUUUAUUCAAGCCUCUCCUACUGUUCUCCAGCUAGCUAUCUUCCGUUUGGGACUCUGCUUUUACAUGUUGGAGAGAGCACUGACGUGAUAUUCUCUCCAUCAUGCUCCUCUGCCACAACUCUAUCGAACGAAGGCUCACUGCAGCAGCAACUCUUACAACAUGCUAUUAAAUCAAUUUGGCGAUAUGAGUGACUUCAUGAUUGCUGGAUCACUAGCGAGAAGUGGAAACAUGUAGACCUUUUGAUUCGAUUGGAAGAGUAUAGAAAUGGAAGAGGGUGUACAAAUUGGGGUAGACCCAACACAACACCUCCCCCACCACCCCCAUCUCCAUUUCACUCGAGAAGGAGAAGGGGAAGGAGAAGUGGGGCUUUCACUAGCAUAUAUAGCGGCUCUUUGGCAAAAUAGCUUUUCUUUUAGGAAUGGUAACCGGGUUGAAUCAGACCAGCAUGGAUCGAUUCAAAUAUAAGAUAUAUAAAAAAAUUUGCCGCUCCAAACUUGACUUGUUUAUUAAAUGGAUUAUGUAGAUCUAAAUAUUUUAUCAAAUAUGUCAUCUAAAUUAACCUAUAAUAAAUUGAAUUAAGCUAACUACGUCAAACGGUUAAAUAUUUUCAUUCUAUACGUACCUCCUCAAGGUGGUGGAAGGGCCGAGGAGGGUGAGUGGAGGAGUACAAGGUCUAUUUUACUUUCUUCCAAUGAAUUAAACCUGAUCAAGUGAAGAUCUUCGUCUGUCUGAUUCCAACGUGGGAAGAGAUGGAACUUCUUGAGAUUGCAUGGACUCGUAGACAACAUGUAAUAUAGAAGCUAACAGCAAUGGGGUAAUAGAGGAUUUGCGGUCAAAAUUAAUCAUCCAAAAGUUAUGGAAGAAUCGUUAAUCUAUUCAUACCACAUUAGCUCUUCACAAGAUGAUAUGCCAUGGCAUUUUCUUAUCACCUCACUCGUGAAAAGAUGCUUCUCAAAUAAAAUCUACAUGAAUAUUGAGUUAUUUUUAUUCACCCUCCUUGAUACUCCUUCUUGAUAGUACUUAAUAUUAAAUGAUUAAAACAUGCUUUGAUAUAUUAACUCAUUUAAUAAUUCAGCAUACUAAAUCUUGACCUCUUAAACUUUGCGCAAUGAAAUUUUCCCAUAUCUCUUUGCCUUCAAAAGUUGAACCUAGUUAUUUUUUAUAUCCAUCACAUUUCUUCUCUAUGCCUUACCUUUAUCUAUUAUACAAAUAGGGGCAAUAUAACUUUUGCUUUUUAAAAAUCCUCUAAAAUCUUAAAAAAAUAGUAAAGAUAAAAUUAGUAGAAUAUUCAAAACAAGUUUGGUUAACUUAAAUCAUAAGGUCUAAUUUGGGUAAGUUCAAUUAGAUUGGGUCUUUACAUCAUAAAUGAUAAGUUAUUCACAUCAUUAUUUUAGGUCACGUGAAGUAGGUGUAAGUAAGUCAACUCAAAAUAGCCCUUAAAAAUCAUCCUUCCAUAGCCUCAAGUCGAGUAAUCUCCAUCCAAUAUCAUGUUUUUGGGGUUAAGAAACAUUUGGUUAACUUGGAUUACGAAGGCUACAUAAAGAAAGGUUAUUUUUUGGAGUUUUAUUUAUACCACAUCUUGACAAUUUAGCUGGAGGAUAAGAGCAAGUACCACAUAAAUCAUGUUUGAAGGAAUCAAAGCAAAUGAGGGCCAUCUUACUAUUGUUCAAUUGGAUAAGGGUUCAAUCAUAAUGUUGAUAAGCAGACCAAAGACUUAGGACUUGGUUAUAAUCAACCACAAUAUAUAAGAAUAGAUUGAAAUAAUCGACAUGAUCUUAGAAAUAUUUUCAAGUAGAAUAAUUGCAUUAUAGGCCAAAACAAAAGAGAUGACUAAUAUAAGUUGUGACUGAUACAAUAAGAUUAUCGGUUAGAUAGUUGGUGUAGAGUAACCAUACUAUUGAAUAUGCACAGUGCAUGAUAACUGAUAUCGAUUAUUAAAAAACUGUCAGAAAUGGAGGAAGAUAUGGUAGCAAUUAUCAAAAUAUAUUGUUAUUUUUUGUUAAUAUAAGAUAUGGUAGCAACUAUCAACAUAUGCAAUUAUUAUCUGUUAUUAUAAGUGAAAAUGGUACUUUGUAAAGGAUCCUUAACAAUCAAAUUAAUGUAUUUUAUCUUUCCUUUAUUUACCACAGUUUCUACCUUAGAUGUAGGUAUAACUUAUAGCUCUCUAUUAUCAUAGCUCGGUACUACGCAUCUAUCUUCUUAAAAUGAAAGUGUGAUAGUGAUGAAAGUUCUUAAUGUUUAAGGAACCUGGACCCAUGCUACUCUUUAUCCAAUAUUGAUGGCAUAUCCACACUCAUCUACUCUUACCGUUUAACUUAUCACUACUUUCUUCUAGUAUACCUGGAUGAGACUACCAACAGAUUAUGUGGUAUGUUCGGACGAGAUGGAAAGAGUGCCAAAAAACUUUAUAGCAUGCUUGAUGUGCCUUAUGCAGUUAUUGAAACAUCGAUUUCAAUAAAAUGCUGCACACUACGAUUAUGUCUUUGUAGGAGAAAGUUAAGAAAAUACUAUAAAAAAAUAUGGCCACUAUAUUAAGGUGACUUUUGGAGUAGUAUAUAGUAUCAGUAUCGAUAGUGAAAUAAGUUAAAAACUUGUUUUCAUGGUUAAAAGCCGAUGCAUUCAACCCUAGUGCAUUCUAUCAUAUCUUAUGGAGGAGAAAAUCGAUUCCAACUUCUUGAAGGAUAAUCAGUUUUACAUGGAAGUAUUAUAAUUUGUAGACUCUAAUUAGAGGCUUUGACUUAUCAAGAGAUAAUGGUAGAAGGUCAAUGGAGCCCUCAUCAUCCACCAACCAAUGUAGUAUAAAAACUACACUAGCAGGAUUACAGCAAACUGAAUUAGCAAUAGUUACUUCGCCUAGGACUCGAGAUUGUUGAUCAUGGUAAAUUGCAAAGGAUUAUCGGUGAAGUCAGCAAAUCAAUACCAACAGUAAUUCUUGAUAUUUGCUUGAGAGUGAAAGGCAAAACUAUAGCAGAUUUACAGCACCAAUUAUUUGUAUCAUAAUGGCUAAGGGUAAUCUUACCAAGGGAUGCUUAUGGAGUUUAUCUAUAUAAUGCACACUCUAUAUGUCGGGGGACAACAUGACAAUAUAAAGGUCAAUUUGGUCUAGAACCCAACACUCAUAUAAGUAAACACCCUCAUAUGGAUUAUGGAUAGUAUGAGUCUCAAUGCCAAAAAAAUCAUUGGAAAGAUCAAAUAAGUGAUGAAUUCGAUCUGAAAGUAAAANNNNNNNNNNNNNNNNNNNNAUGUAGGUAUAACUUAUAGCUCUCUAUUAUCAUAGCUCGGUACUACGCAUCUAUCUUUAUCCACAUCCAUCUUCUUAAAAUGAAAGUGUGAUAGUGAUGAAAGUUCUAAAUGUUUAAGGAACCUGGACCCAUGCUACUUUUUAUCCAAUAUUGGUGGCAUAUCCACACUCAUCUAUUCUUACCGUUUAACUUAUCACGACUUUCUUCUAGUACACCUGGAUGAGACUCUACCAACAGAUUAUGUGGUAUGUUCGGACGAGAUGGAAAGAGUGCCAAAAAACUUUAUAGCAUGCUUGAUGUGCCUUAUGCAGUUAUUGAAACAUCGAUUUCAAUAAAAUGCUGCACACUACGAUUAUGUCCUUGUAGGAGAAAGUUAAGAAAAUAUUAUAAAAAAAUAUGGCCACUAUAUUAAGGUGACUUUUGGAGUAGUAUAUAGUAUCAGUAUCGAUAGUGAAAUAAGUUAAAAACUUGUUUUCAUGGUUAAAAGCCGAUGCAUUCAACCCUAGUGCAUUCUAUCAUAUCUUAUGGAGGAGAAAAUCGAUUCCAACUUCUUGAAGGAUAAUCAGUUUUACAUGGAAGUAUUAUAAUUUGUAGACUCUAAUUAGAGGCUUUGACUUAUCAAGAGAUAAUGGUAGAAGGUCAAUGGAGCCCUCGUAAUCCACCAACCAAUGUAGUAUAGAAACUACACUAGCAGGAUUAUAGCAAACUGAAUUAGCAAUAGUUACUUCGCCUAGGACUCGAGAUUGUUGGUCAUGGUAAAUUGCAAAGGAUCAUCGGUGAAGUCAGCAAAUCAAUACCAACAGUAAUUCUUGAUAUUUGCUUGAGAGUGAAAGGUAAAACUAUAGCCAAUUUACAGCACCAAUUAUUUGUAUCAUAAUGGCUAAGGGCAAUCUUACCAAGGGAUGCUUAUGGAGUUUAUCUAUAUAAUGCACACUCUAUAUGCCGGGGGACAACAUGACAAUAUAAAGGUCAAUUUGGUCUAGAACCCAACACUCAUAUAAGUAAACACCCUCAUAUGGAUUAUGGAUAGUAUGAGUCUCAAUGCCAAAAAAAAUCAUUGGAAAGAUCAAAUAAGUGAUGAAUUCGAUUUGAAAGUGAAANNNNNNNNNNNNNNNNNNNNAUAUAUAUAUAUAUAUAUAUGUAAAGUGUGUGUGUGUGUGUGUGUGUGUGUGUGGAUCCUCCAAUGUAAAUAGAGGGGGUUCUUUCCUUUUACUUGAGAGCUUUCAAAUUCUAUUCAUUGCAACUUUGGUUUUUACCUUUUGAAGGUUGCCACUAACCUAGUUUAUCAUCUUCUUAUGCUUUACUAUUGUUUAUUCUAUAUGCAUGAUAUUGCAUUGAAAGGCUGAAUCACACUUAUUAUUCUUGCACCAAGCCUUUUUUAUGGACUCAUCUUUGAAACAUCUCAGCAAGGGAUAUGGUUCCACAAUAUAUAAUCUCCACUGACACCUAGUAUAUAAUGAGGCAUAGACAAGUAUCUUUUAGUUCAUUUAUUUAUUUACUUAUUUUUAAGUUAUCUUUAAUUCUUGGAGCUUCAUCUCUUGACCUUAUACUUGCAUAGAACAAAAAUCUACCGGUACAAAUACUAAAGAAGAUUAUGUAGAUAGUCUUCCUUUUUUGCCACCUAUCCUAUUGCAUUCAUCUUAUAGUGGAAAGCGAAGAGUCAAAGUGGGAUGAAAUUCCUUCUACUAAUAGAGUUUGUCUGACUUAGGAAAAAGAAAAUUUAUAAUGCAUCAUCCAUGAGGCUGUCUACCUUUGUCCGUCUCAUGGCUUCAAAAAGAAAAUAGUAAAGCAUCAUCCAUGAGGCCAUCCACCUAUAUCCCUUUCUUCUUCCUCAUCAAGCCAUCUUUUCUUUUUGCCCAUCCAUGAGGCCUUCCUUCUCUUCCUCAAGCCCCUUUCUCCUCCUUCGAAAUAUAGGGUCCCUUCUUUCUUGUGGGCAUAGACUAUAUUUAGCAAUGUACAGUGCAUGGUUAGAUGAUACGCACCUAGCAAUUUAGUUAUUCAAUAACCCAUGCAUGCUUUCAGGCAAAUUGAUAUAUGAUUUCUAGAAUAUCAUAUAUCUUAGUACGUUAUAUCUCCGGAUGAUAUGUACUCAAUGUGUUUCUAAUACAUACUUUAAGUUUUCUUGAUAUACAUAUCUAGCAACAACCCAAUACACAUCUUUAGACAAAUUUAUGCAUGUCUAGACAAAUUGAUAUAGAAUUUUCAAAACAUCAUGUUCACUAGUAUAUAGUACAUGUCUAGGUGAUACAUACUUGACAGAUUUCUAAUAUAUACUUUAAGCUUUUUUGAUAUAUAUCUAGCAACGACUCAAUACAUAUCUCUAGAUAAAUCGAUAUAUAUUCAGGUAAACAUAUAUAUAGUUUUCAAAAUCAUGUUAACCAAAAUAUAGUAUGUAUCCAGAUGAUACACACUCGAUGGAUUUUCGAUAUAUACUUUAAGUUUUCUUGAUAUAUACAUAGCAAUAACCUAAUACAUAUUUUCAAGCAAAUUGAUAUACAGAAUAUGGUAAUGCUUAACCAUUUAACUCAUUUAACUUAAUCAACUUGUUAUAAAUUAGGUUAGGCUACUUAUUUAAUGAAAUCAUUAGGUUUGGAUAUGGAUUUUUGACUUGUUUAAUGAAAAGGUCAGGGUUGAUGGAUUUAUGUUCUAUCUUAUAUCUAACCUUACUCGUAUAUAGUUGGACCCAACAUGAUUGCCACUCCUAUAUGUAGUUUCCUAAAUAUGGUGUCCACUAGUAUAUAGUCUAUAGCCAUGUGAUACACACUUAGGAUGGAAAUCUUCACUAGGAAGAAGACUCAAAGGAGGAAAAAGGGAUAUGGGGAAGAGGAGGCAGGCCUCAAGGUCAAACAAAGAGGGAAGGAUGACUUCAUGAGUGAGCGGAGAGGCAUGCAAGCAGGUGGACUCAUGGAUGAUGUUUCAUAUAUAUAUAUAUAUUUAUUUUUUUAAGUUAUGGGAUAGACAGACUCUAUUAUGAACUCUUCAAUUUCUACUUUAAAAUAGAUAUGAUACAAUGUGGGGAAAAAAGUUAGGCCACUCCAUAUGAUCUCUUUCGGUGCAUGCACCAGAAGAUUUUUGUUCACUUGUAUAUGGUAUUUUAGUUGAAGCAAUCCCAAUUAUCCUACCAUCCAAAUGUAAUAAUCAAAAAUUUCAAACUAGUCAAAAAAAAAUAAAAAGAAAAGAAAUAGCUAGCAAGUACGUUGCACGUGCUGGAAUUACAUGAGAGGACUGGGAAAUAGGGAACGUGGAGAACCCUCGAAGGAGUUCUUUUUUGAUUGGGAGAUCUAAAAAAUUCUCAAAAAUUUGAGUUAAAAUUGAUCACAAAUUCCUCCAAUUAAAAUCUAUUUAAAGGCCUCAAAUCUCUUGGGUUUUCUCACUAGAAAGUCAUCAAAGUCCGGCACCCUUUUCCCCUUCUUUUCUUUUAGGAUUAUCGAUGGUUUAAUUUUACUUUGGCUGUCGAAAAUCGAAUCAAAUCUCAACCAAGAUUAGGUAAUUCUCUUCAAUUAUUUUUCUCUCAAUCUUCUAUGAGGUUUAAGCUUAAAUUUUUACUGAUGUUCUGCUAGCAAUCUCUUGAAACUUGCUGGUUAUCAAUUUUUCCUAUUUUUGGGGCUUCAUCCUUGAUUUUUCGAUGUCGUUUGUCACCACCGAUCAUUGGACUGGGUUAUGGUCAUGCCGCCAUGGUUUGCCCUUCUGGCCAUGGGUGCACCGACCGACUGGGGGACUCCCUUAUGUCAAGAACUAAGGGGAUCAAAGGGUCCCUGUUUUGCAAAAGAAGAAGAAAGAAAAAAAAGAAGAAAAAAAAGGAAAAAAAAGAAAAGAAUAAAGAGAGAGAAUUUCUCUCUCUUUCCUUUCUCCCUUCUCUGAAGUUUGAAUCCCUACUUUCUCUAUCUAAAAAGCUUUACUUUCUCUCUCUACUUUCUCUCUCUAUAAUAAUCUUCUCUCUAGAGAUCGUUUCACUCUUUUAUAGAUUUCUCUCUGUAGAAGUAAUCUCUCUAAUAUUAGCUAGUGAAGAAAUUUUUUUUAAUGAUUCUAAUCCGAUCCCAACAAAGAGAGUCCUGAUCUAUGGUCGCUAGGUAGCGUACCGAUAUUCAUCUUAAUCAAAUUCAGAUACCAUUAAAUUUAAUUAUUUAUGAUUUUUAUUGAACUAUUUAUAUACUAAUUCAAUCAUGAUUUAAUUAAAUCAUCUUGAUUAGACUAAUCAGAUUGUCGGACAAUGUCGCAUCAUUAGUCCUGUCCUAUCUUGUUAAUUUCUCUCUCCUUUCAUAUUUUAUCUCUACGUGAUUUAUGAACCUAGUAAAUUCGAUCUGUUAUUUUGAAUCUAAGUUGAUUCAAGUAUGAAAUUUUGAACCGCUCUAUCAGUGGGACAAUAUGCCCACACCAUCCGAGUCUUUGUUAAGCAUGGUGAGAUUUGAUCUUUAUUAAUCUCUAUUAAAUUAUUAUAUUUUAAGUGAUCCUAGUUAGAUGAAACUACUUGAUCAAAUUAUUCUCUGACCAUUACCAUCGGGUAGUGCACUAGUUCUACCCUAGCUCUUGUGAGACUAUAUUAGAUUUGGUCAUCUUUGAUUGUGGUGUCUGACUUGUAUCCCACUUUGACCUUUGAUGAUAUAAAUUUACUGGAAUUGAUUGAUAUAGGACUAUUGGGUUUCACCAUUUGAUUGGCCUAAGCUUGAUCUAUUUUGAUUCAAGUAUGAAGUCAUUCUGUCGUAUCCAUAGUUGGGUUAUUUCAUUCCCUUGAUCCGUUUGAAUUCUUUGAGAUUUCUUAUUAAUGGGCUUCUAAGAAAUUGACUAAUUAAUUAAAUUUUAGUGGUUUUGAAUAGGUCUCUCCUAUCUAUUUGAUUGAAGUCAGAUUUUGAGAAAUAAUAAGAUAAGUAACCUAAUGCUUCGAGUGUGCUUUCAAAUGAUAUUUGAAAAAUUAUAAUUAAUUAUUUAAUUUGAUUUAUGCUCUCUAUUUUUAUUUAAUAAAUAGGUCAAGCAUGUGUUGUUUUAUUAUUGAAAAUAAUUUAUUUUGAACAUAUGAUCUUUUUGAGAAAUAGAUUUGAAAAACUUGACUGACGAGUUUGUGAAAUUGCUUUUAUAUGUAUGUUCUUAACAUGACUAUAAUGUGGCCUCCGCUAAUGGAAAUUAUACAUUAGAUUUGUCGACUUAUACUCUGAAAAAUUAGUUUCGACACUGAGCCACCGAUGAUUAGAAUAGUGGUUUUUGUUAUCUAUCACUUUGUGCAACAUGUUUCUGUUAUCAAACCCAUACCACUGGAUUACGUAGUCGUAACUUGAUGUUAAGUUCAAUAUCAGUAUAUAAAAAUUAUUAUUUUUUAAAGAAAUAUGUGCUAUUGAAAAUUUUCUCCUUUCAGUCAAUAUUAUGUGAUUUAUUUGCUCGGUAUGCUUAGAUCCCACUUUGAUAUGUUAUAUUGCUUACUGGGCUAGUGUAUUAUUAUUCUUUUUUUUUUUUAGAUUAUGAAUCAUGAUUACUUAGGACUUGAGGGAGUGCGCCAAAUUGAUUGGAGUUAUUUAAGUUAUUCAGAUUUCUAGCUUGGUUUAGUUCAGUUUAAUACAAUUUAGUUUGAAUAUAUUAUGAUUUAUGCUAUGUACAAAUAUUUGCUAUAGAAAUGAUUUAAUUAAUUUUUAAGGAUUAAGAGAUUAUUAUUAUUAUUAUUAUUUUAAAAUUUUUAUAUUUUGUUGUAUAGCCUUGCAUAUUUGUAGGGCUUGCCUUUCAGGCUCGAUUUGGGGCGUGACACCAAGUUAGUUCCUUCCACAUCCUCACACCGAUUGCUAGUCUGAUGUGCACGUAUAUUCAUUUCCGUUAUCCAUUAUUUUCAAUCAGUGGGUUUUUAACAAUUAUGAAUUCAAACUGUUCGAGUACAACGUAGUAAUAAACCCAGCCAUGGACAAUUUAGUGCACAGAUAUGGCAUGGAUGUAAAUGUCAAGGAGGGCAUAUCAACAUUAUGGAAGGAAUCCCAACAACUCCAAACAUGAACGGAAGAGAAUCAUUUGCAUUGGAAGGGGUUAUAUGUGUACCAGGAAAAAAGGUUAGAGACUGCUUGCAAUUGACAUCGUGAAAUUUAAUGUAAAGGCACUUUCAUUUUCACUCAAGAGACAGUAUAUCUAGAAAAAGUACCAUGCAAUAGUAAGGGAUGACCAACCUCCCCUCUCACUUUUUGAUGACCAGUUUGUGAGAGUUGUGCUGGGAUAUGAAUGUAUGGUCCCUCUUCAAGCUCGGUCUAAAAGUUAUUGUUUAGACAGAUUCAAAGGUCUUGCAGCAGAUUGUACCCAGGCGAAGGGCAUUGGUGCAUGCAAUUAUUGGUAACUAGACUGAAAAAAUAAUGCCAAAUAAAUUCUGGCAAGAAUUUGUGUAUGAAAUUUUCUAAAAGGCUUCCCAAACAAGCCAAGUACGGUUUCAUGUUAUGGAACAGAAUCUGAAGAACAUCAUUCAGAAAAAUAAAUAACAUAAGAAGCAUUUUCAGCUCUAAUGGGCCAAGUUGAGAGUGGUCUUGUUGCCAGCUUUCUAGAUGAUUUUCUUGAAGAUUUUCAAGUACUCAUUCUCUCAAUGUGCAAAACCACCUACAAGACAUUACAACCUAGCUCGAUUUUCACAUUGAAAUUGGACUAAUUCCACAAUGCAAAUGUAGUGGAACUCCUCUUUCAUUAUAAUGGAUGACAGUUCCUAUCAAACCCACCUAUAGUUCUCGUCAACAAGUUAUAUAUAUCUAAUUUUGCAUUUAGGCACUAAAUUUGUUAACCAGUCUACUUUAAUAUCUUCCACUAUCUUUUUUAUUUGUUUGAUAAAUCAUAAAUUCAGAUUGAUGAGGUGGUAGUUUGGUUAGCAAUGAGUCCAUGGUUAAAUCCCACAAUCAACUUGCUAAUUAAGUAUUUGUUGGAUAUAUAUUGGAAUAAACAGAAGUUCCCUGGAACCAUUCCAUAGCCAAGCUAGCAUGAUCAGUUGCAAUAUUAUUAUUUAAAGGCUAUAGAAAAAUCUUCCGAUUAAGUUCACAUGAAACAUUGAAAUAUCGUGACUCCGCUAAUCAUCGGUUGACAUGACAGCCCAUCUCAAUCACCUAACUCCAAGGAGGAUUUGCCAGAAUUGCACUCAUCAAGAAUAAGAAAGGACCAUGCAGGGAUGAAAGCAGAUUCUGUAAACAACCGAGCGCAGACUUGAUGCAAAGCAUUAAGAAAGAAUACAAGGGGGUGAUUUUUAAUCCACACAUUAAUUUCACAACCCACAUCAGCAAAGGAUCAGACGAUGCAUGCUUACUUAAGUGGGGAGCCCACAUACCUAUCAAUCAACAUAAUAAUGCCCCUGUUGUAAAGCAAUCCACCCAAGCCCCACCUUAAUCAGGGAUGGUUAGGCAAAGUGAGGCCCUUUUAUAGGGGGGUGGUUAAAGUCAGGGACCCCCCCCCACCCCCCCCAUAUUUUAUGUGGUUUGGAUUGUGAGAUGUCAGCAUCUCCCUCAUGCUUAGGAUCCCAGGAUGAUGAGAGAGAGGGAAGGCCAAGGAACCGAGGGAGGAGGAUCAAAUGGGUUUAAGAGAAGGUUUAGGUCCACCAACUGGUGGUUAGAAGAAUGAACACCUUAACAAUCCCAGCACCAACUCCAAAGGAGUGAAGGAGAUAGGAAGGAACUUGAAGACCUGGCUAAAAAGAGAGGGGAGAAUAGCGAGAGCAAGAAGCCAUUCUCAUGCCUUUUUGAAGGUGGGGAGGGAGUACUAUUCUCACGUGCAAGUUAGAAAUGUUGGUGCUGAUGAUGAUAAUCCAAUGAGAGAGAGAGAGAGAGAGAGAGAAGGGAAAGCAAGUUAAAGAGAAUCAUUAGUGGACUUAUUAUAUUAUUCCGGGUGCUGGUAUUGGAAGUGAAAGGAGGAUUAUUAUAUAGGAGAGGAGGAGAAGCAGAGGAGAGAGAAGAAAAAGAAAUAAGGAGGUGGCUGGCGAUUUGAAUCCUUGGGAUCGGUUUUGUCUCCGUAUUGGGAGGAUUUCCCACAGAGGAUCGGCUGCAAAUUCAUGCUUUCCUGCUCCCCACAAGGCGCACAGCAGCCCUCCUCCUGCGGUUUAUCUCUCAAUAAAGUUUCCACCCUCUUGCUUUUCUCUCACAGCGUCUCUCUCAGAGGUAUUAUUGUUAUUAUUAUUAUUGUUAUUACUACUAGGACUACUUUGUUUCUAUUCCCCUUCUUUUUAUCUAUCCAAGUACCCAUCAGCAGGUACAUAUAAUCUUAUAUCUGCACUUCUUUUUGGACAAAUCAGCAUCUCAUUUAUUUCCUCUUCUUCUUCUACUCUUUUUGUCUCUUUCUCUCUAUAAAUUUUUUUUUUUUCCUGAUCUUAUUAUUUUGUGUCCGGUGGGUGCAACAAACUUUCUCACUUGGUUUGUUUUUUGUUUUGAAAAUUUUGUUUCUUCUUGGAAAGGAGGGAUUAUCUUGAGGAAUAAGUGACUAGAAACUGAUUCUGUUGUUUCUCUUCUUGGGUGCUCUACUCUUUCUUUGGUUGAAUGAACUCUUCUGAGAAAGUGGUUUGUGUUCUGUUUUCCUACUUUGCUUAAUCUUGGUUUUUGGCUGCUGCGCUUUUGGGAUAGGGGAAGCUUUUCUUUCUUCUUCUUUGGGGUAUGGAUUUGGAAUUUUUAGGAUUCUGGGUGUGUUGACUAGGUGGAAGGAAUGGAGUUUUGAGAUGAGUUUUGGGUUUUAUAGAUGAAAGCCCUUUCCCUAACAGAUGCUAAAAGGAAAGGGAGAUAAAGUAGAAUUAUUUGGGCUCUUUUGGUGGUGGUUUUUACUGCUUUUUAUUGCUGCUUUUCUGUUAGUUGGCAUAAAUUGUUGUGUGCUUUGGGCUGGAAUUGGUGGGGACUGAGAUUCUGAAAUCUUUCACUCGAAGUAUGUUACUUGCCUUACUUUUCGAUAUCAUGCAAGCAUGUAGCCUUAAAAGGAAAGGAACUUGGUUUAUUUGUUUCAUUGUUUAUCCAGAUUGAUCUUGAGCUUGUUCUCUCAUGAACGAAGAGGAGGAACAACUCUGAGCAUUUUGCUGUUGAUUACUCUUCCGAUCAUUGUAUCAAGGUAAAGCCUUAAGGCUAUGGUAUUUGAUCGUUCUAUUUUAUUUUAUUUUUUUGUUUUUGUAUCUCUUUAUUGAUCCUCAUAUGUCAUAUGUUCUUAAUUUGUUUUAAUAAGUUCUUUGCCUAUCCCUUUCUUCCACUUAUGCUAACUUGGUGGUUCAGAAACUGUCAUGGCCAGAGCAGUUGGUUUUUGUACUUUGCUUGGAAGUGUAAGGAAAAGAAAUGCCAAAUUAUUAUCAAAUUUCACCCCCCUUUUCUUUUCUUGAUAUUGUUAUCAAGACAUUCUUGGUUGAAAAGGAAAACCAAAUCAAUAAACCAUGUUAUAUUUAUAAAUAUAUGCCCGCUACUCUCUUUCGAAUUAUAUGCUAAUUUUUCCCUACAUGUAAUGAUUUAUUUUUUUAGUGUUUGUAUAUGCCCUUGAUUUCGUACCUGCUGACCUUUUUUUUCUGUGCACAACUUCUUGCAGACAACUUAUUUCUUCGCAGAGGACUCAAGCUUUCUGUAUUAUGGGAGGUGUUACAGUUGGGGAACCUUCCUGACUUCUCAUGACAAGCAGCUAGCCUACUACUGUACCCGGUGUUGUAAUGAUUUAUUAUUCAACUCCUGCUAUUUCUAAGGAUCUUGAACUUUUUGAAAUCAAGGGACAGAAGAAUGGCUACUUUCUACACCAGCUCUACCAAUCAAAGAGAUGCCAUGCCGAACCUGUGCCUAUGGGAUCCAGGACAUACUCCAUAUCCUGAGUCAUCAGUUACUGGCAACAUGCUGUAUCUCAACUACCCAUCUUCUAGUCUGUAUUCAGAUGCUUUGGCAGGCAAUACUCAAUCCCAGCAGAAUUCUGUCAAGCUCCCUAUUCCCAGUGCUAUAAUUUCACAAGGCUCAUCUGUGGAAGUCCCUAACAUGAUGACUUCUCAUCUUGGUGAAAAUGCUUAUAAUGGUUGGAGGGAUGGGAGAAAUGAGAUGUCAUUCAUGCAAAUAAUUGGUGGGUCAAUGAAUGGUGCAGGAGAUCUUGUUCGUAGUUCUGUUAGUAAUAAUUUCCAGAUGGGUCUGCAGACACAGUUGGGCAUCGUAAAUGGACAGGACCUGUCUUUGCAGCAGUCAAAUGUUUCCACCAUGCAAAACCAAGGACUAUCACUUAGCCUUAGCACACAAAUUCCAGUUCCUUCAUUCCAGUACCGGCCUGCAACCUCAGACUUAUCUUUCUUUGGGCCACAUCAGUCGGCUACAGGAAACAGUGGGUCAUGUAGAGAUGAUGACUCUAGAAACAAAAAUAUGCAUCCUAACCUCUCUGCUUAUGGAGUUUCAAGUCUUACAAAUCCCAUUUCAAAUUCUAAGUAUCUUAAGGCAGCACAAGAGUUACUUGAUGAAGUUGUUAACGUCCGGAAGGCUUUGAAAGACAAAGCAGAUAAAAGCCAAAGUGUCCAUGCUUCUGCUGGUACCACUGGUUGUAAGGAUACUGAUGGGGCAACAAAGAGUGAAGGGAUGCCUUCGAACCCUCAAGAGUCCACUGCCAAUUCAUCUAGUGAGCUCUCACCCUCAGAAAGGCAGGACCUUCAGAACAAGGUCACAAAACUGUUGGCUAUGUUGGAUGAGGUGGGUAUAUAUUGAUUUUUCCAAUUCAAGUUCCUUUAUUGGAAGUUUCUUUCAUAUGUGGUAAAAGAAAAAAUUGUAGGUUUUAUCAGCACCAUUGCCACUAAUGGUUAGUCAUUUCUUCUAUUAGUAGUUGAGUGUUUUCUUUUUUAUUUUCAAAUUCACACAAUACUUGUAAUUCCUCAGUCAAUUGCAUAAUAUAGCUUUUAUUGCAACAUAGUUGCAUGCUGUUCGAUAAUAUUGGAAUAUAACAUGAAUAUAAAUAUCUAUUUGUUUAGCACUUACAUAAUCUGUUUCAUUUUUAUAUUAGUCUGUUCAGCUUAUUAUUAUGCUCUUUUUUAUGUUUUCCACUUUCUUUGAAGGAGUAACUUGUGUAGAGGCUUCUUGUUGGAUGUGAUUUUUAAGUGUGUAGUGGGCUUUCUGUAAUUACUUUCACACAUGUAUUUUAAAUAACUCUAAUGAUCUCUCUCUCUCUGUGUGUGUGUGUGUGUGUGUGUUACACACAAUAGUGAGAUGUGUAUGUUGACAGAUGGAUAGGAAAAUUGGCAUUCUUAUUCCCCUGAUUACUCAGAAUUGCUUCAGGUGUCUUAUUGGUGAUACAUACACCAUUGGAAUCAACUCUACUUGUUUUUAAGUUUUACAAGUAUUGAGGCAUAAAGUGAAAAUUACUGAGCUAUUACAGGUUUAAUGGUUUUUGUAGAACUCUUUUAUUGAUUUCUUCAAAGGAACGUGGAAAUUUAUUUGAUAGGUACAAUGCAUCCCUCCCAUACCCACAUCAGGUGAAGCCACCUACUACUCCUAAGCUGAUUGGUUAUAUGUUAAUCAAAAUUCUCCCACUUAAUGAUACUGUCCUUGCAUUAGAGAUAUCAAUGUAGCUUUAACAGUUUACCACCUUAGGAAGCUUAUCUAUUGAUUCUCCAUGGUUUUGCAAUGUACGACCACUACCUGUUUGGUAGGUAGGUCUAGGUCUUCAAAAUUGAUUAUUCUGCUCUCUGCCACAAUAUCUGGGUUCCUAAAUCUUAUGAUUGUCUAAAUUGAUCUUCAACCUCUUUUGGUAUUGAAACCCCAAGUUGCCUGCCUUUGCUUUGUUACUUCUAUGAAGACAAGGAUGGAUGAACCCUCUCCAUUAUGCUAAAUAACGACCAAAGGUAGCAGCUUUUUAACCAAACAUGAUGGACCACCCAUCCAUAAACAUAUUGCAUGUCAUUAUGCUUUUGUAAUAUAAAAGUAUUAUUGAGGAGACUUGAAGUUAUUCAUUGAGAUAUGAAAAAUGAAACAUCUUCAUGGAUCUUUCCAUUUCAGAAGUGAAUUUCUGUGUAACUGCCCUUGCAUAAGGUGAAGUGUUACAAAAAUGAAAAUUGAGAUAGAUGUCAGGUAAAACAAGGUAGAGCAAAGUGAGAAAUGAUUAAAAUAGAGUAGUUUAAGGAUUUGGCAAAUUAAGGACAAAGUGUUUGAGAGAUUGACAUUGUAUUAGUAUGGAUAUUUGGAAGGAAGAAUCAAGAUGUCUUUCAUAAGGUGAUACUAUAAUUUGUGUUAAAGGAUGUGAAAAUAGAAGCAGAAGACCUAAGGUUAUAUUACUGGAUGUUGUGAGAAAGGCUAUGGAAAAUCUUGAAUUACAUCAGAGGCAGCCCUAAUUAGGAUACCUGGCGUGCGAGGAUGCAUAAAUUAGUUAGGUCAAGGAUGGAAAAUUAUGGCUAUGAUUUCCUGACUUGUUGGAAACAUUAUAGAGCAAAACCUUCACUUUAUCUUGAUAAUCAUAGUUAUUUAUUUAAUACCAGGUCAUGCUCCUGACAAGAAUAUCACAUAUCUUAUUUUAGCAAUCAUUCUGGUGAUUUCUGAUCCAUCUAAUGAGUAAAGGAUGGUGUCCAACAUUUUGAAAACCUUCCAUGAAACAUUCUAUACACAGCUGGGACAUCUCGCUGGGACCUGAAUCCUUGUCUUUGUUACAACAUGCAAGUCCCUAGAUUAUGCUUCUAAUUUUGAAUUGAUUGUUUAUCAUUUAGACUUUAGAGCAAGGUUUUAAAUCUCAUCCCGAUCAUGCAUCCCGGUAGAUAUUCUCCAUCUCUUUCCUCUUCUUUUUUCCUUUCUUUCCUUCUUUUUUUUCUUUUUCUUCUUUCUUUUUUUCCUUCUUUUUAUCAUCCUUCCCUUUCUUUCUUCUUUUCUUUUUCUUCUUCUUUCUCUUUCCUUUCUUCCUUCUUCCUUUCUUUUUCUUUUCUCUUCCCUUCAUUCUUUCAUUUUUCUUCUUCUUUUUUCUUUCACUUUUUCUUUUUUCAUCUUCCUUUCUUUCUUUCCUUUUUCUUCUUUUUUCCCUAUAUGGAUGGCUUUUGGAGUCCCAACCCCAUCCUGGUCCCAUUUUCUUAUAAAAAUAAGACAGGAUAGUUGGGACGUCCUCCAGCCUGUCAGGAUGUAAAACCUUGCUUUAAAAUAGUCAUUUGUAGGGAAUGUCAUUUUACUAAUAGAACCGUGUAAUUUUACACCAAAAUAAGUCCUUAAGUUACAUGUAUGAGUAUUCAUCAAUAGAUGUUUUUUAAAGAUUUUCUAAUUUACUUCUGUUUUCCUAGUUAUUUUUUGCUUCUUUACAAAUUACAGUUUCUUUACGUAAUCUGCCUAAUGUUUGACUAAAACCUGCACUAGGUGGUUCCUUGGCCAUCAAAAUAUCACUACUAUCUUUGAAUUGAUUGCUUAUCAUUUAGAGUAGUCAUUUGUAGGGAAUGUCAACUUAGAAACAGAUCCAUGUAAUUCUACACCAAAACAAGUCCUUAAGUUGCAUGUAAUAGUAUUCAUCAAUGGACAUUUUUUUAAAAGAUUUUCUAAUUUUAUUUCUUUUUUCCUGAUUAUUUUUACUUCUUUAUGAAUCAAUGAUUUCUUUACAUAAUGUCGAACUAGAACCUGCACUAGGUCGUUCCUUGGCCAUCAAAAUACCACUAAAAUGCCUUUUAGAACACUUAUUUGCAAAAAGCAAAAUGAAUGGAAAAACUACAAUAAUAAGGAAAAAUCCUUGGGCUCCAUCAUGAUUUUUUAUGGUUUUGUUUUGACAAAAUAAAGCAUGUAAAUUAAUUGGAGAUUAGGUAAUGGUAGUAGGAAAGAGCAUUGGAGGAAGUGAAAAAGAAAAAGAUUUCGUUUUAUGUGACACCAUGAAGUUGUUGGAGAGGGUGUUGAGACAAGGAGUCAAGGAUUUGGAAAAAAAAAGAGAAGGCUUUACAAUUAUCAAGCAUAACAUUUUAUGGAAAGAUCAAAAGAAAAAAAUGACUGGGGCACAAUUGCUGUCAACUUGGGGAGAGCAUAAGAGAACCAUGGUAGGUAUUUUUUUAAAUAUGUUCUAGACAUAAAUAGUAAUAUGCUUAAUAAAUGGUCAUAUGGACAAUUUUUGUCGUAGUUUCGAGGCGAGUCUAUAGCAUGUGAAAAACAUACAUUUAGAAUAAGCUUUAUACCUUACGUUUUAAAAAAUUUUGAUACUUCUAGUUUUCUUUUUGAUGUUCACAAAGAAUUCUAGACAUAAAUAGUAAUAUGCUUAAUAUAUGGUCAUAUGGACAAUUUUUGUCGUAGUUUCGAGGCGAGUCUAUAGCAUGUGAGAAACAUACAUUUAGAAUAAGCUUUAUACUUUACGUUUUAAAAAAUUUUGAUACUUCUAGUUUUCUUUUUGAUGUUCACAAAGAAUUCUAGACAUAAAUAGUAAAAUGCUUAAUAAAUGGUCAUAUGGACAAUUUUUGUCGUCGUUCCGAGGCGAGUCUAUAGCAUGUGAGAAACAUACAUUUAGAAUAAGCUUUAUACUUUACGUUUUAAAAAUUUUUGAUACUUCUAGUUUUCUUUUUGAUGUUCACAAAGAAAACUAGAGGCCUAUCUCGUUCGUGAAUGAUAAUCAUAACAAUAGCUAUCACAUUUUGUCCCAACUAUUGGGGUCAGCUUAAUAAAUCCUUGUUCACCAGAAUUUCUAUGGAUGUUAAAACAGGGAAGAUAUUGAACUUGGAUUUGUUUCACAGUUUGACAUGUUCUAUAUAAGUGUGAACCUAACAUCCAAGGUUUUAAGUCUUGGCAUGACAGGGGGCAUCCCAGGAAAAGGAGAAGAAAGGAAAGGAAAGAAGGGAGAACAAAAAAAGAAAGCAGGAAAAAGGAAGAAAGGAAAGAAACAAGCAAGAAUGAAAAAAGAAAAAGGAAGGAUAAAAGGAAGGAAAGAAAGAACAAAAGAAAUAAAAAGGAAAUACAGAAACAAAGGAAAGAAGAAGGGGAGAGGGAUGUCUCAGGGUGUCCCAUUCCAGGAGAAACUGAGAAUCCCCUAUCCACAGUCUUUAAAACCUUACUAACAACAACUGUUCACUGUUUCCAUUUGGGAUUUGAACCAGCAUCUGUGUUGGUUAUUUCUUGAAUGCUGUAAUCAAUGAGUGUAACAUGGAUGUUCUACAUUGAAAUUGUGGUAGGAAAGUUCGAGGUUAAGGGUUUGAGAACCAAUCUAUUUAAAGAGUAUAUACGGGCUUCAGUAUCAGUGGGAAAAUUAUUAUGAACCUUCGAUAAAGGUUCAAGAUUGAUUUCCUUGAAAUACCUAUAAACAAUAAUUUUACCUCGAAUCUAUUGUAGAGAAAUGGAUGGUGGACAAAAACAUUUCUAGUACGGUUAAUUAAUCAUGAUGUGGAUGUUGGAGAUGUUAAUGACCGACAAAUGCCAAUCAAAUAUAGGGAAAAGUUUUAAGAAACAUUAGGAAGGAUGGUAAUGCCAUAUUGCUGGAAUGUUUGACAAAGAGGAUGCCAAUAAAUAAAUGAGUUGGUAGAAACAAGAAUCCUUGUGCUACAAAAGCCAGAGGACAAAUUGAAAUGAGUAAAUAGAGGAAGAUUAAAAUGUUACAUCAGGCAAAGUGAUGAAGCAUUGGUUGAAAAUAACGUUCAUGCAUUAAAUUUCUGAAUUAAGCAUGGAUUGUUUCAUGUCAAAAGAUUUGAUAAAGAUGGCUGAGAAAAGCUGUGUCCCAUCUAGAUUUAUGCCUAACAUCCGAUCAAACUUUGUCACUUUUAUGUAGAGGAUUUGUUUCAAGUAUAUACCGAAUACUUCUGCAAGUAUAUACCGUAUACUUCUGCAUGUACCUUCAUCUCAGCUGUUGUAUCAUCAAAAGCUUCAAACUUUUUCUGAUUGAAUUUAAUACUAGUGACUUAGUAUGCAGUCAUUGAUAUUGUGAUUUGAGAAGAAGUUCCAGUCUCUGAGGAAGACUACUCCUUGUACCUUUAUCUCCAUGAUUUUGAUUGCCUUUCAAGUAUUUAUUGAUUACUUCUGCAUGUACCUUCAUCUCAGCUAUUGUAUCAUCAAAAUAUUCAAACUUAUUUUUUAUUGUUUUUAAUACCAUGACAUAAAUAUGCAGUCCUUGAUGUUGAGAAGAUGUUAUCAGUCUCCAAGGGAAGAUUGUGCUUGUGUUUAGUCACACUCUUAGAUCAUCUACCACAUUGUAUAACCAUCCAUGCCGAAGAAUCAGCACAUAUCUGCUUUCAAUGAGAAUUUCUUAAUAGGCUUCUUUUAAUUAUUCCCUAAAAAUUGUGUGCUGGUCCAAAUGAGAGGACAGUGAUAAAUGAACUUAUUUCCAAAAACAAGAGCAGAAACCUAAAUAAUAAGCAUAACUAUUUAGCUAGAACAAUGUACAUAUGGUGUUGAUUUUUGAAUCUAAUUUAAGAUAGUAUUUAUGAUUUGUUAGUGAAGGAAAGCUGCAUUAAUUAAUUUCAGUGAGAUCCACAUCAAAAAUGUCAUACACCUGAGAGAAUAUUGGAUAAAGGCUCCAAAACAUCCUGUGCUCUGCUAAGAAAACUACUACCAAUGUUAUAAUGUCAAUCAUAUCAAUGAGAAAUUAUGUGCUUUGUUAAUUUCAUUGCGUGAUAGGUUUUACUGCUCUUUAUCUGUGGAUUAAAUUGCACUUCUUUUCCCUCCUAUUGCAGGUUGAUAGAAGAUACAAACAAUAUUACCAUCAAAUGCAGAUUGUAGUGUCAUCUUUUGAUGUAUUUGCUGGUUCUGGGGCUGCUAAACCUUACACUGCACUUGCCCUUCAGACAAUCUCUCGGCACUUCCGCUGCCUCAGAGAUGCCAUCAGUGGUCAGAUUCGAGCUACCCAGAAAAGUCUUGGAGAGCAAGACAGUUCAAUUAACAAGGCAGGUGGAAUCUCUCGCCUUCGGUAUAUAGACCAGCAGAUAAAGCAACAGAGGGCUGUGCAGCAGUUUGGUAUGAUGCAACAGCAUGCAUGGAGGCCACAGAGGGGGCUACCUGAGUCAUCUGUCUCAGUCCUUCGUGCUUGGCUGUUUGAGCACUUUCUUCAUCCGUAAACUUCAACUACCUCCUCCUCCUGCAAAUUUGAUAAUAUUACAGUUUAUAUUUCUUCAUAUUAAUUGUUUUUUUAUGUAACCUUUUGCCAGUUACCCAAAGGAUUCUGAGAAGCUGAUGCUUGCAAGACAGACAGGCUUGACAAGGAGUCAGGUAUGCUCCUCACUAUUUAUAUGAGAACAUUAAAGGUUUAUAUCUGGAAAUGUUUAGGAUGUUUCGUCCUUUAAUGAUUAAUGCAAUGUCUGAUUGUGUCAGUCACUUAGAGAGCAAGUCCGUCAUUCUUCUCUCCAUAUUCUAUACUGUAGUUUCAUUUAUUCUAUCUAAACCUAAUAUCUUUAUCAUAUGUUAUUUGUCUCCCUUCCAACUUCUACUUCAUGAUCCUUCUGCAACUAUGUUUGCUGUCUCAGCUCCUCUAUGCACCAAUGCAGCUUAGCUCUCCUUGCACCUAAUACUUAACAUUGAUCUUGUAUUGUGUCCUGUUCCCCUUAUAGGUAUCCUCAUGCCACACACUGUGAAACAUAUAUUUGACUUGGAUCCCUAUGUUAUAUAUCCUAUGCAUCGCGUACCACAUAUUAUGUUACAAGGACAACAUUUAGAGCCACAUCCUAUUCAAAUCAUGACAAUCAGUAGCGUUUGUUUUUGUUAUUUUUAGUUGUUUAUCAUCUGCUCUCCCUUUGUCUAGGUUUCAAACUGGUUCAUUAAUGCUCGAGUUCGGCUUUGGAAGCCUAUGAUAGAGGAAAUGUACAAAGAAGAGAUUGGUGACACUGAGAUUGACUCAAACUCUUCAUCAGAGAAUCCGCCCAGACAAAAGGAUGAGAUCCAAUCCUCUGAGAACCAGGACGAUUUACAAAGCCCUGCAGGGGAAAGAUGCCAGACAAACCAACUUAAUGACUCAAAGUCCAAAGCCAUCCACAGCAUGGAUAUGGGUGGGGCGUCUGCCAGCUUUCAGGACAAAACAAGUUCAGGUGAUGCUUACAUGAAUCUUAAGUUGAAUGAACAAAGACCGAAUGGCAAUGACUGUAGCCUUCUACAAGAUGCUCUCACCCACUCGGAGGGAAGGUAUAUGGCUUAUCAGACGGCUGAGUUUGGUCAAUACGGGAAUAGCGGUGUCUCUCUCACACUGGGGCUACAACACUGUGAUGGAAGCCUUCCUGUAUCAAAUGGUCCACAGAGCUUUCUUGCAAUGAGGGGGGAAGACAUUUACAGUGCAGCUGCUCCAAUUGGAGCUGAUACAGCUGAUUAUGAUUACAUAAAUAUGGAUGAUCGGCGGCACAGGUUUGGGUCAUCCCAUCUACUUCAUGAUUUUGUUGCUUAAAGCGCCAAAUUUUAUUGCAGUGGCUGUUCAAAUAAGUGAUGCUGGAAUAACAUGCCCAAAGCUGCCUUUGGAUACUGCUUGCAGGCACCAUAGAAGGAAGUUCAUUAGCAUGAUAUAUGUAGUAUAAGAGAGAUAAAUUGAGUGGGUGGAAUAUACAGGGUAGCAUGUUGUAAAGAUAGAAGCAUAAUUUUUGUGUAAUUGUUGAAGAACAUGUAAUACUAUUAUUUGAGUAUCAUCCUUUUGUAUACUAUUGGAAUGGCUUCAAAACCCUGGUGUGAUAAGUGCAUGAAGUUGUAAGCACAGGUGUGGUGGUUUUUCCUUCAGGUGAAAUCAAUCACCGCUCCUUUCCUUGAUCUAAUUCUUUCCCAUGGUCAAUUUGUUUGAUGGAAUGUUUCCGUUUCCUGCAAGAAGGGUUACAUUUGUGGCUCUAUACUCUGGCAGAGAAGUUAAGCAAUCUUUGGCAUGAUUCAACCCUCUCCAUCCUCCAUUUCUAUACUUUCAACCUUAUGAGCCAGCCUUCCUUUCUUCCAUUGCUUUGUCUUUAAAGACAUCUUUGUUCGUCAUGGUACUGCCACCUCUCUAUCUUCCCUGUACCAUUGACCUCUUCACCUGUGUCCAUUUAUUAUCAGGUCUGGAUCAUCUAUCAGAUGCCCCUCUUCGGUGCUAGGAAAAUGUCCAUCCGGGAACUCCCCAGCUUUGCCUAUUCAUUACUCCAUAUUUUUCCUCCAAUGAGGUUUGUCACUGCCUUUGUUCAUGGAUAUCAUCACCCUCUAGAGGCUGGAAUACCAUCAGGGUGCUUGACAUGCACUUCAUGGUUGGCUGGACGGUGGGCUCCCCAUUUUUCCAUUAUUAAGGCAUGAGACAGGCCAAAAUUGACACUAAGAAACCAUGCAUAUACAAUUAUUUGCCGCUAUCAGUUGUGCAUAUCCUUUGGGUCACAAAAGCAACGACCAUAAAUUGGACAUAAUGACUCUUGUGGGUGGUGCUUGCAACAAAGCAGACAUGGGAGAUAUUGGAUUCAAGUGAUUGUCUUAGAUAGGAUCCAAAGCAUAGCCGAGAUCUCUGGAUCUCAUCGAAAAUAUUUAGUGUACCGUGCAGCAGGAGAUAUUGGAGCAGAAUGAUGAGGGUGUUCUUGAGACUUAUGAUUGAAAUUUUAAGUGGUGGGGUGUCCGCUAGGACUAGAAUAGACUUGCAACAAGGAAGUGAGUUAGGGAUCCGUGCGGAGGUGAGAAGUAUGACAAAGUUAAUUGAGAAAAGGGAGACACUGAGUGGAAGGGUGAGGGAAGAUUGGAGCAAAGCUGCAAGGAAAAGUUUUGGAAUUUGGUGGAGCCAGGGGACCAACCGUAUGCGAUGGAUCACAAGCUAAAGAUGAAACCAAUUCUCUUACAUCUCCUUCCAAAGAACUGACAAUUAACUCAUACGAGCAGCACAUGCAAUAUGGAUAUUUUUUUUACAUAAAAAUAUUUUUAUUUUGAAAAUAAUACGAACCUCUUUGAUCGUGGAAGCUUGGUUCUAAUCAAAAAGAGUUUUGGAUAUGUGAUACUUCUAAGUGAAAAAGGUAAAUUAGAAAAUCUAUAUUUGGAUAGAAUUCUAGAAAAGAUGUAAUUUUAGCCAUAAGUGCCGGCAGCAUGCUUGGAUCCAACUUAGGAGGCUCGUGGGAUACAUUGCAACAAUUUGACAAAUAUAAGAUUGACAUUGCUGAAAUUAAAAAUAUAAGAGGAUAUUUACAAAAUAGGAUAAAAUGCAAGAGGUUUUCUUACUCUUUAUCCCAUAUGAUAUAGUCAAUUUAUCAUUCACCCUUAAAUAUAUCAAUUUAUUAUUUCAAAACAUCAUAUCAAUUAUUUAAUAUUUUUGGUCUAAUUUAUUUUAAAUCUAUGUAAGUUACUUUUCUAUAUUCUAGUUUUAUUUAUGUUAUUUUUAAAUUAGUAAAAAUAAAUCAUACAUUUUGAUUGAGAUUUACUUUUAUUUAUUUAUCUAAUUUUAUAUAUUUCCAUUCAACUUUGUUCACAUUUGGAUGUUUAAUCUAACAGUUUUGGUGAUUAUUUUGUAUUUUUAGUUUUGCCAUAUAAGUUCAAACAUUUAUGAUUUUAUUUUUAAUUUUUUAUUGAAUUUAUUUUAUAUAUGAUCUUUUAUAUCAAUCUCUAUAUUUUAUAGAUUAUCUAUUUUUUUAUUUUCUUUUACAUGUUUUCUAAUUUAAUAAAUUUUUAUGUUUUAGCUUAUCUUUUUUACUUGCUAUUAGUAACUUAAUGUGUUCAUGUAAAUUAGAAAACAAAAAUGAAAGUAAAAUAAAUGUUUCAUUAUUUCAUAUAAAUAAUGAUUUAUAAUAAACAUAUAUAAUAUGGUACCAUUUUUGCUAUUAAUUAUCAUAAUUAGAGUUUAUUAUUUAACAUUAUAUAUAUAUACACACACACACGGCAUUAAAAUCUUGUAUUUGUUAAAACUUUAUAUUUAUUAAAAUCUUAUAUUUAUUUCUUGAAAAUUUAUUUUUAAAAAAAUUAUAUGUAUUAUGAUUUACCAUAUUGCUAUAUUUGCUACAUUAAAUUUAUUAUAUUGCAUCACACAUAGUAUGUAUUAGUCAGAUGAGUAAUUCUUUGUGCACCAUCCUAUCUUAUUAGGUCAUAUAGCUACCACUUUUCAACGUGCAUUUAAUGCUUAUAAUUUUACAUUUUUGUUUGAAAUUUUGAAUGACGAAAAUAUCUCUCAUCUUUUGAAAAAGUUAUGACAUUCUAGGCUCAAAUUAUGACUUCUUACAUAAUAGAAAGUCAUAAUUUUCUUCAAAAGUCAUAAAGAGAGAAGGAUAUUUUCGUCAUUGAAAAUUUAUAAAAUUUUUAAAUGAUGAAAAUGUUCUUCUUGAAAAAAUAGUACUCUACAAGCCAAUCUCAUAGGGAUGCGAUAGGGGCUUUCUUGUAUUAUCUUCCUACUCAUUUGCAUGACAUUAGUUAUUUUAUUUAUGAGGUAUUGUGUUUUAUUAUUUGUUGUAUCAUAUUUUUAUAAUUAUGAUAAAUCCCAUAGAUUAGGACAAUGAUUUUUAGGGCCAUAAUGAGAUCAUGCCAAUGAGACCUAAAAUCUUAAUAGUCCCAAUCUAAAAUGUUUUCAGUCGUUGGAUCAUCGAGUCAGGGAUCGAUGAUACUGGUAAGACUGGUACAUUCUAUGUAUGCUCAAUGGAGAGGAUGGUUGAUCUCAUAAUCACUUGUGUGGUGACACUAAUACAAUGAUGUAUAUGCUCAUUAGAGAAUGAGUUUACUGAACUGACCUAUAGGAAGAAUAUCUGAUGGAGCUUUACAGCAUAUCGAUAGAUGGUUCUCCAGUGGGAGUGGUGCAUGUGAUUCUUUGACUUAAGAUCACCAUGGUGCCUUGUGUAUAUGGAUCCUUACUUUGGUUUAUUUCUUAGCAUGCCACUUUGAGAUAUGUGUGGGAUAUUCUGGGUACGAUAAAGUGUGCAUGGAGGUUAUGAGUAGUCAACAAAAGAAUCGGUCACUCCUUGUAGGAUGAGAGAACAUCCUAUGUGAUCUCAUAGGAUAAUGACUCUGAAAGUCUCUGGCCAGAGCAGGGACGAACAAUAGAAAAUAUUUCUUCUAGUUCAUCAAUCAAGUCAUCAUCAUCAGAUCAAGAUACAUAUGGAUAGGUAUUUGGGUUUGACAUGUUUUCAUGUCCAUGAUCUUUUCGGGAUGUUGUGUGAUCGAAGAAUUGAAUUGCACGGUAACUCAUCAUGGAAGAAUAAUUUUGAUAUUUCUAUCAAAUUUCAAAUCUUUCGGAUAGUCAUGACACGUUGCUAAAUGUCAAUCUUGACUUGUGGACUCGUCAGAAUUAAAAGAAUUUAAUUCAAGAAUUAAUUAGGAAGAGUCCUAGUUUGUUGAAACUCUUGAGCUGACCUAAUCUAAUCAGAUUAGGAUUAUGUUGAGAGUCUGGAUCCAUUGCUGACUAGAUUUGAAACUCAAUGGGUCACACACAAUAGAGAUUUGGUCUUGAUCCAAUCUAUUUGGAUUUAUUAUAAAUCCAGUAGGUUAAUUGAAUUGCUAGCACAUGAAUUAACUUAAGUUCCCAAUUGGGUUCAGUGCAAAGGUGUUUGUGCUAAUCCUUAACUUGUUGCCUUGACCUAAUGUGAUUGGAUUUGAACCAUCUAAUUAAUAGGUGGUUUAUCUGAUUUUUAUGGAAGAAUUUCAUAUGGAAUCAGCCUCCUCCAUGCCAAUAUCCCACGCAUAAAUAAUUGUAAUGCCCCAUUUAAUUUUGGCAUUAAGAAGGAAGAGUCCUUCUUAACAAAGUAUCUUAUAUUUUUUUCUUAAUUUCAUGCGUCCCUUUUAUUCCCCAUGUCAUGGGAUGGCUCUUGAGAUUGUGGGUGCAGAUGAGAAGGAAGAGUCCUUCUUUUGGAAGGAAUUUGAAUACCACAAAAUAAAUGGGACACUACAUGUAUGCAUUGAAUAUGGAAGAGUCCUAAUUGUUAUGGACUCUUGGUUUCUCAUCCUUUCCUUAAUCCCACGAGCCAUAUGAUGGUGUCUUAAUUUUUCUUAGCAGAGAAAGAGUCCUUCUGUUGGUCAAUCACUUCUUAUUCCACACCUUAGCCAUUGAUUUUCAUGCAAAAAAUUAAAUGUUAGCGUGUAAGGAAUAAGGGACGCCAGAGUUGGCAUCCCAUGGUGUCGCCCCUUCUUUCCUAUUUAAAGGGGGGCGCUACAUCAGCUUGGNNNNNNNNNNNNNNNNNNNNACGUCCCAAUUUGGGGUGAGAGUAGGCAUGGGAAUGAGAGAAAAAUGAUGGGAGAAAUUUUGAAAAAGAUAAGAAAAAGGGAGAGAAAAAUAAAAAGAAAAGAAUGAGAAAAGUGGAAAGCAUGUGAUGCUUGUCUAAAAAUCAGAUUAUUCAAGUGUUGAACAUCCAAUCUGAUUUUUGUGUGAUGAGAUCAUUUGAGGUAAGGUUCCUAGAGUAGUCCUAGUGAAGGUCUCGAAGGCAUACAAGUGGUGGUACAAUCUGUUCUUGCGAAGGCAAACUUGUGAAGAAGGCUGCAGCACUACUUCGAGUUGGGAAGGGCCCUGAUCUAUCCCGUGUGGAUCACCGUUGGAGGGCUUCUACUUUGGAGUCUUGUAGAGAUCUCAAAAUUAUCAGUUUGUGAUCUUCAUGUUGGUAUAUGGCUUCUCAUCUCUACUUGUUAUAUAUACUUUUGUGAUUUGAUUGUAAUCAUCAAGGGAUUCCUAGGGCUUUUGUAUUCCGAUAGUCUAGUUUAAUUGUUAAAUAUAUUUUCAAUUAUUGAAUGCAUAUAAAAGUUUUUAAAAUUUAUAUUUUGCUACAUCAUCGAAAUCCAACAGUGGUAUCAGAACCAUCCUUGAUUGAUUCAAUCAAAUUUUAUAUUAUUAUUGUGAUAUGGAUUAGAUCUAGUUCAAACUAUGUCAAAAUCAGACUUUUUGAUUGAUGUUUAGUUGAUAUUUUUUAUACAUAUUCUGUUAAUGAUAAAAUAUUAUCAAUCUAUGAUCAUACUUGAAUAUGAAAAUUUCAUAAUUUUAGACUUGUAAGAUAAGUUUAAGAUUAGAUCUUAUGAUCUAAUUUUCGAUGAAAUUUUAAAUCCAGUGCAUGUGAUGCACGGGGGCUUUGGAAUGAUACAUAUGGAUGUACAUUGCCAAGACUUAGGGUUCUUACAUUUGAUGCUUCUACCUAAGAUCCAAUGAUCGACCACCAUAUUAUUGGGUACUCACCAUUGUGGGUCUUCUAUCUUGGUUGUCGUCCAAAGUAUAUAUGGAGCCAAAAAAUUUUGAUCAUAGAAAAGAUGCCUCAAACAUAGAUUAGAAUUUUUAUCGAUAGAUUUGUNNNNNNNNNNNNNNNNNNNNNNNNNNNNNNNNNNNNNNNNNNNNNNNNNNNNNNNNNNNNNNNNNNNNNNNNNNNNNNNNNNNNNNNNNNNNNNNNNNNNNNNNNNNNNNNNNNNNNNNNNNNNNNNNNNNNNNNNNNNNNNNNNNNNNNNNNNNNNNNNNNNNNNNNNNNNNNNNNNNNNNNNNNNNNNNNNNNNNNNNNNNNNNNNNNNNNNNNNNNNNNNNNNNNNNNNNNNNNNNNNNNNNNNNNNNNNNNNNNNNNNNNNNNNNNNNNNNNNNNNNNNNNNNNNNNNNNNNNNNNNNNNNNNNNNNNNNNNNNNNNNNNNNNNNNNNNNNNNNNNNNNNNNNNNNNNNNNNNNNNNNNNNNNNNNNNNNNNNNNNNNNNNNNNNNNNNNNNNNNNNNNNNNNNNNNNNNNNNNNNNNNNNNNNNNNNNNNNNNNNNNNNNNNNNNNNNNNNNNNNNNNNNNNNNNNNNNNNNNNNNNNNNNNNNNNNNNNNNNNNNNNNNNNNNNNNNNNNNNNNNNNNNNNNNNNNNNNNNNNNNNNNNNNNNNNNNUGUUAUUUACCUAAUUUAAUUAGAAUUUGAGUCAUGGUUGUUCGAAUCGAUGCUAAUCUAAUUGGAUUAGGAUUAACCUAGGAAUUGAUCAACAUAACUCAAAACGAUGAUAAAUGAUUGACUUAAAAUUAAAAUUAGGUCAAGAGUUGAAUCCGAAUCAAAAAUCCUAGAUGGAUCCUAUGCCCAUAUAUUUAAACAUCUCCAUUGACAUAUUUAUGAAUGAUAUCGCAAUUAAAAUAACAUGAGUAGUUUAUUAUCAUAUUUUAUAAUUAUUAUAAAAUACAUGUUGAGUGGUUAUGGAUUAUGGUACAUCCAUGUGAUGGAUGUAUGUAUGAAUGCUCCUCUAUUGGUUGAUUAUAUAAAUGCAUUUGCAAGGAUUGCAAUAGGAGCUGGGUGUCUCUGAUGCAUUGUAUUAUCAGCCAUAUCUUUUUUUUUGUAUGUUUCCAACUGUUGAUUGAAAUUUUUAUAUAUUGAUGUAAAAAUUAUAAAAAAAAUUAUUUGAUAAUAGAUAGAAAUUAUUUUUUUCUAUUUUCAGAUAAAAAUUAAACAUUCAUGAUAGUCUUCAUGAAAAUGAAGAUUAGACUAUCAGACAUUUGUAGAGCAAUGGUACAUUUAGAUUGAUCAUGAGAUGGUUCAAUCUAGAAUGCACCUAGGGUUUGAUCCAUAAAUUAUCCUGUGGCUCGAAUGAUUUUUAAAAGUUCAUAACUAUUAAAUUUUCUUGAUAUGCUCUCACAUACUGGUAGUUAGAAUUAAAAUUAAAAUAUAUAUGAUGUAUUUAUAUAUAUGUUUUGGAUGUGCAUGAGACCUAAGUCUCUCGUUAAAUUAUAUUAAGUCAUAAUGGUGAAGUGUUAAGAACACUACCCAUGCCUUCCUUCAUACUAAGCCAGUAUUAUAUCAAAAACCAUAGUAAGCUUGUUGUGCUUCCACAAGACUUGCUAUGGGGAUUAAUUUGAUACUAUCUUGAUGCAUAAUGAAGUUAAUGGUACUUAGCUCAUACUAAGUCAAUAGAGUAUAUCAAAAAUUAUAGUGAGUUUGUUAUGCUAUCCACAAAGCUUACUAUAGGGAUUGAUAUGAUGUUGACUUAGUGAUGCUUAUGGUAUAUUUUGGUAGUGCUGUCUUAUUGUGCUAUCCACAAGGAUAGUAUUAUUCAGAUAUGAUCAUAUAGGAUUGAAGGAUAUGACUUAAUUAAAAUACUAUAGUUUAUUGUGCUAUCCACAAGACUAUAAGUAUUUUAGAGAUAAAAGUUAUGUUGAGAAUUGCAUGAGAUGCAAUCGGUAAAAAGUUACCUAUCCUUGAACUUAUAGGAGCUUGUUGUGCUAUCCACGAUAUUUUUUAUGAAGAAUUGAGAUCUCAACCCCACUAAAAAACUUUAUGAUAGGUUUCUCGUUUUCAUACUUGAGGGCUAUGAAAUUCAUUAAAAUAGUGAAAAAUAUAAUUAGAUAAAAUCUUGUCUAAAUUAUGCAUAUCAUUAUGAGUAGUCCUUUUAUGUUCUUAUAUUCAUCUGCAUCUUCACUAUCACUGCAUGAUAUUGACCGAACUUUAUAGAAUGGUUGAGAAACCUGAGAAUAGUUCUCAUAUAGGUGAUAGUUUUCUAUUCUUCUGAUUUCGAUUUAUUCGGAGAUGAUACUAUAAAGAAAAAAAAAUCACAUAUGCAAUAUUGUGAGUUGACAGUAUGACUGUCAAAUAUAUCCAGAUUAACUUAAUCAUAUGAUUAAGUCUUUAUUAAGAAUAGUGAGUUAAUCCAGAAUUUGAUCCUAUUAACUCUCUUGGAUUCCUUCUCUAGUAUCUUCUAGGAGAAGAAAGUGAAGAUCGUCUUCGCCAUAAGUAUCUCUUAUCAUUACCAUAAUAAUGAGCAUUAGAGAUAAAUUGCAAGAGUUGUCUUACAAAUAUGAAGCAGCAGUAGGAUGCAAAAGUUGCAUCUGCUAAUGGUUUGUAUAUGAUACAAACUAGUUAAUCAUUAAGUUUUUCAGCAUUAAAAUUUUAAAUAUGUGAUACCUUAUAUGGGUCUCACUUAUGCAAAUUGUUGCAGACCUAUAAAGCUGAAGAGAGGUGACUACAUGCUUUUGGCACUGAUGGAUAGUCCAUUCAUACUAAGGCUGUAAGAACCUAUGUAACCUUUAAGCAAGGUUUAGAAACUUGUAGACCAUUGUUAUAUGCCUAAAUUUAUCAAAAAUAUUAUUUCAAUUCUUUUGUUAUUGUAACAAGAUUUUGAAAUUAAUGUAAUAGAAUAAAAGUUACUCUCCUUCUGAUAAAAUUUUAUGGCAAUGGAUUUAUGAUAAUGAUCUUAUAUUUUUAUCACUCAAUGAUGUUGUUCUUCUUGUUGAUGAGAACAAGAAAUGAAUAUGUGAUGGUCACAUAUCUCAGGACAAACAAGGUAUUAGACCUUGAACAUAUGGAUGUUCGAAGGCUAAUAAUAUUUUGACCCAGAGAUGGACACUCCAUAUGAGAUAUGGUGUGUUCCUUAAUUUGUUUCAUAGACCUUGUUGUCUCAUUCUGGAGAUAUGUCCUAAAAAUUACUGUAUAUAUUUUUGAAUUAAAUAAUGUCAAAAUCUGUUGCUAGCUCUCCAUAUAAUAUAUGGAAAGGAUUAGAAGCAGGUUGCCCAACUUAUGUAAAAAGAGUUGAUGUACAUAAGUUUGUGCUAGAACAGAUUUAUAUAUAUGUUUAUAGAUUAUCCUAAAGAGUAGUAUGUGAUACUAUUUCUAUCACCCUAUUGAACAAAAGGUGUUUUGUCAGUAGGUAUGCCAUCUUUUGAAAAAAAAAUUUCUAAGAAGUGGUCAGUGGGAGGAUAAUUGAACUUGAGAAGUUCAAGACUUAUGAACUAUUCCAUCAUAAUAUAUAGAGUGUCCACAAGUUGAUCCUCGACCAGAUGUGCACAUUGAUGAGGUAUAAUCAUGACACACAUCUCCUCACCGAAGAUCAAUCUGAGUGUGUAGUAGACCACUCAAAAUAUGAGUUUAUCAUUAUGAAUGACUGUACACUAUACAUCAUUGAGAAUGAUAUUUUCUUGACCUAUUUGAAAAUCGUCAUGAGUAGAGACUCUGACAGUUGGCUUGAAAUUCAGAUAUCCGAAAUGAACUCCCUGUACAUCAAUCAAGUAUAGAUUAUAGUUAAAGCACCUAUAGGUAUGACCCAAUAGGUUGCUGACAGAAAUGUCAAUUCAGAUUUUUACUAUUGCCACACAUCAUCUAGAAAGUUUAUCUCUAGUAGGAGGCAAAUGCAUUUAUGGAUUAAAGCAGGCAUUGAGGAUAUAGUACUUCCAUUUUUAAUGAGAUAAUCAAAAUGUUUGAUUUUAUCAAAUAUAGAUAAACUAUGUGUGUGUGCAAGAAGAUAGGUGUGAGUCUCACUAACUUCUUGAUUAUGUAUGUGGAUGAUAUAUAGCAUAUUGGGAAGGUAGUCCCGAUAUUGUACUCGAUCAAUGACAUGCUUAUCACAAAAAAUUUCAUGGAAUAGAUUUGGGCAGCAUCUAAUUUACUUGGUAUCUAUAGUGAUGGAUCUAAGUGGAUGUUAGGCUUGUCUCAGUCUAGGUAUGUGGAUUUUUAUGUUGAAAGGGUCCAAUAUGAAUGGGUGUAAAAGUGUUUACUUACCCAAAUAUCCAAUAUACCUAACCUGAUGUGGUUUAUGCCUUGUGUAUAAUCAUUGAUUUCGGACAGAUCCAUGAUAGGAUCUUAAGAAAACUGUGAAAAGCAUUCUCAAAGUACUUGAGAAAUACUAGAGAAGCAGUGAACUGAAAGAGUUUCAAACAGUAAACUGGAUUUGACUCAGUUAAUUGCUGUGAGUAAAGAUUGCUAGGGAAAGUUGCCUGAUGAAAGGGUUCAUCACUAAGUUGGAUGUGGUCUCACAUGGUACCCACACAUAUCUUAUGACACUUUUAUCUCAUUCAUGAUUUGAUCAUAAAAUGAGUUAAUAUAGAGAACAGCAUAAUGGACCAGUUUACUACGUCUUUACACAGCAGUAGUGUAUUCGCCAUCUUGAUUGCAUGGGCAUCAGGUACAGAGGCGAUUGGCUUUAAUACAAAUGAGAGAUUAAAAGAAUAGUACCCUACAAGCCAAUCGCAUGGAGAUGCGAUAGGAACUUUUUUGUGUUAUCUUCCUACUCAUUUGCAUGACAUUAGNNNNNNNNNNNNNNNNNNNNGCCAGAGCAGGGAUGAACAGUAGAAAAUAUUUUUUUUGGUUCAUCAAUCGAGUCAUCAUCAUCAGAUCGAGAUACAUAUGGAUAGGUAUUUAGGUUUGAUAUAUUUCUAUACCCAUGGCCUUUUCGGAAUGUUGUGUGAUCGAAGGAUUGAAUUACAUGAUAACUCACCACAGAAGGAUAAUUUUGGUAUUUCUAUCAAAUAUCAAAUCUUUCAGGUAGUCAUGACAUGUUGCUAGAAACGUCAAUCUUGACUUGUGGACUCGUUAGAAUUAAAAGAGUUUAAUUUAAAAAUUAAUUAAGAAAAGUCCUAAUUCGUUGGGACUCUUGAGCUGAUCUAAUCUAAUCAGAUUAGGAUUAUGUCAAGAGUCUAGGUCCACUACUGGAUAGAUUUUGAACCCAAUGGGUCAUAUAUAAUAGAGAUUUGAUCUUGAUCCAAUCUAUUUAAAUUUAUUGUAAAUCCAAUGGGUUAAUUGAAUUGUUAGCACAUGAAUUAAUCCAAGUUUUCAAUUGGAUUCAGUGCAAAGGUGUUUGUGCUAACUUUUAACUUAUUGCCUUGAUUUAAUGUGAUUGGAUUUGAACCAUCUAAUUAAUAGGUGGUUUAUCUGAUUUUUAUAAAAGAGUUUCAUGUGGAAUCAGUCUCCUCCAUGCCAAUAUCCCACGCACAAAUAAUUGUAAUGCCCUAUUUAAUUUAGGUGUUAAGAAGGAAGAGUCCUUCUUAACAAAGUAUCUUAAAUUUCUUUCUUAAUUUCAUGCAUUCCUUUUAUUCUUCAUGUCAUGGGAUGGCUCUUGAGAUUGUGGGCGCAGAUAAAAAGGAGGAGUCCUUCUUUUGGAAGGAAUUUGAAUGCCACAAAAUAAAUGGGACGCCACAUGUAUGCAUUGAAUAUGGAAGAGUCCUAAUUGUUAUGGACUUUUAGUUUCUCAUCCUUUCCUUAAUCCCACAUGCCAUAUGAUGGUGUCUUAAUUUUUCUUAGCAGAGAAAGAAUCCUUCUGCUAGUCAAUCACUUCUUAUUCCAUACCUUAGCUAUUGGUUUCCAUGCAAAAAAUUAAAUGUUAGCGUGUAAGGAAUAAGAGACGCAAGAGUUGGCAUCCCAUGGUGUCGCCCCUUCUUUCCUAUUUAAAAGGGGGGCGCUACAUCAGCUUGGACAUCCCAUUUUGGGCUGAGAGUAGGCGUGGGAAUGAGAGAAAAAUGAUGAAAAAAAAUCUAAAAAAAGAUAAGAAAAAAGGAGAGAAAAAUAGAAAGGAAGGGAUGAGAAAAAUGGAAAGCAUGUAAUGCUUGUCCAAAAAUCAGAUUGUUCAAGUAUUGAACAUCCAAUUUGAUUUUUGUGUGAUGAGAUCAUUUAAGGUAAGGUUCCUAGAGUGGUCCUAAUGGAGGUCUCGAAGGCAUACAAAUGAUGGUACAAUCCAUUUUUGCGAAGGAUGAUCGGUAGCAUGCCACUUUGAGAUAUGUGUGGGAUAUUUUGGAUAUGGUGAAGUGUGUAUGGAGGUUGUGAGUGGUUAAAAAAGGAAUCGAUCACUUCUUGUAGGAGGAGAUAACAUCCUAUGUGAUCUCAUAGGAUGAUAACUCUGAGAGUUUCUGGCUAGAGAAGGGAUGAACAAUAGAAAAUAUUUUUUUUGAUUCAUCAAUCGAGUCAUCAUCAUCAGAUCAAGAUACAUAUGGACAAGUAUUUGGGUUUGACAUAUUUUCAUGCCCAUGGUCUUUCCGAAAUAUUGUGUGAUCGAAGGAUUGAAUUAUAUGGUAACUCACCACGGAAGGAUAAUUUUGGUAUUUCUAUCAAAUUUUAAAUCUUUCGGGUAGUCAUGACACGUUACUAGACGUUAAUCUUGACUUGUGGACUUAUCAAAAUUAAAAGAGUUUAAUUAAAAAAUUAAUUAGGAAGAGUUCUAGUUGGUUGGAACUCUUGAAUUGAUCUAAUCUAAUCAGAUUAGGAUUAUGUCGAGAGUCUGGAUCCAUUACUGGCUAGAUUUAGAACUCAAUGGGUCACACACAAUAGAGAUUUGAUCUUAGUCCAAUCUAUUUAGAUUUGUUGUAAAUCCAAUGGGUUAAUUGAAUUGCUAGCACAUAAAUUAACUCAAGUUUUCAAUUGGGUUCAAAAGUGUUUGUACUAACCUUUAACUUAUUGCCUUAACCUAAUAUAAUUGGAUUUGAACCAUCUAAUUAAUAGGUGGUUUGUCUGAUUUUUAUGAAAGAGUUUCAUGUGGAAUCAGCCUCCUCCACGCCAAUAUCCCACACACAAAUAAUUGUAACGCCCCGUUUAAUUUUAGCAUUAAGAAGGAAGAGUCCUUCUUAACAAAGUAUCUUAAAUUUCUUUCUUAAUUUCACGCGUUCCUUUUAUUCCUCAUGUCAUGGGAUGGCUCUUGGGAUUGUGGGUGCCGAUGAGAAGGAAGAGUCCUUCUUUUGGAAGGAAUUUGAACACCACAAAAUAAAUGGGACACCACAUGUAUGCGUUGAAUAUGGAAGAGUCCUAAUUGUCAUGGACUCUUGGUUUCUCAUCCUUUUCUUAAUCCCAUGCGCCAUAUGAUGGUGUCUUAAUUUUUCUUAGCAGAGAAAGAGUCCUUCUGUUGGUCAAUCACUUCUUAUUCCACACCUUAGCCAUUGGUUUCCAUGCAAAAAAUUAAAUGUUAGCGUGUAAGGAAUAAGGGACACCAAGAGUUGGCGUCCCAUGGUGUCGCUCCUUCUUUUCUAUUUAAAAGGGGGCGCUAUAUAAGCUUGGAUGUCCCAAUUUGGGCUGAGAGUAGGCAUGGGAAUAAUAAAAAAAGGAUGGAAAAAUGUUUGAAAAAAGAUAAGAAAAAAGAGAGAAAAAUAGAAAAGAAAGAAUGAGAAAAAUAGAAAGCAUGUAAUGCUUGUCCAAAAAUCAGAUUAUUCAAGUGUUGAACAUCCAAUCUGAUUUUUGUGUGGUGAGAUCAUUUGAGGUAAGGUUCCUAGAAUGGUCCUAGUGAAGGUCUCGAAGGCAUACAAAUGAUGGUGCAACCCGUUCUUACAAAGGAUGAUUAGUAGUAAACUUGCGAAGAAAGUUGCAGUAUUAUUUCGAGUCUAAAAGAGCCCUGAUCAGUCCCGUGUGGAAUACCGUUGGAAGACUUCUACUUUGGAAGUCUUGUAGAGAUCUCAAAAUUAUCAAUUCGUGGUCUUCAUGUUGGUAUAUGGCUUCUCAUCUUUACCUGUUAUAUAUGCUUUUGUGAUUUGAUUGUAAUUAUCAAGGGGUUCUUAGGGCUUUUAUUUUUCGAUAGUCUAGUUUAAUUAUUAAACAUGCUUUCAAUUGUUGAAUGCAUAUAAAAUUUUUAAAAUUUAUAUUCCGCUACAUCAUCAGAAUCCAAUACUUCUUUUUUUUAUGACAUCUUAUGGUCUAAUUAUAACUUACUGAUGUAUAGAUAGUCAUAAUUUGACUACAAGAUGUGAUAAUAUAGUCAUAGAAUGUCAUAAUUUUUUUAAAAAAAAUAUUUUUAUUAUUUAAAUAUUUAAAUAAAAAAAUAAAAUUAUAAAUAUUAGAUAUAUAUUAAAAAAUAAUAGCUACAUUGCACAAUCUGAUGGGGUGAUAUAGUUUUGCUGCACCGUGUGUGGUGCACAAAGUCUUUCUGUUAGUCAGACAUGGAAAUACAUCCGGUCCGUUUACAGUCCUUUUUUGUGCCCACAACAAUUGGGUUGGGCUGGAUCAGCACUGGGCCUGGAUAGAGCCGGCCCGGUUAACUCACCACCGGCCUGCUACUCCACCUAGCGCACUGCUUGCCCUUCUUUUUUGUGAUGUGACGUGCUUGCCCUUCAUUUGGUUCAUAAGCGGAGGAGAGAGGAGGGGUAAGGGGAAAAGAAUGGCGUUCAGUUUGCGGGGCGUGAGGGUACCACCGAACUCGGCGAGCGUGGAGGAGGCUCGGAGGCGGACCCUCGAUUUCUUCAAGUCGGCCUGCCGAUCCAUCCCGGCCAUCAUGGAGACCUACAACCUCUACGACGUCGUCACCCCCUCCCAGCUCCGCUCCACCAUCUCCUCCGAGAUCCGCAAGAACGCCCAUAUCACCAACCCCAAGGUCUACACCUCUCUCCCUCGAUCCAUCCAUCCAUCUCCUUUUCUGGCUCUGGAUCCCUCUCAAGCAUGAACCCUAAAUUUCUGCGCGACUUUGGGCUUUUUUUUUUUUUGGGGUUGUGAUUAUCCCCAAGUUCUCAUUUUCGAAGUCAUUGAAAGAGAUGAGUAAAUAUUGUCUGCUGAUGCUUGGGUUGUUUCAUAAAACAAAAUUAUUUGGAUAUUAGUCUUGUCGACUGAUGCACUUCUUGAGAACUCAUUAUAAGAAUGCUGACAUUUCGUAGAAGAAUGAUUUAUAGGAUUUCAAAUGCUCGGCCAAGAUAGAAGCAAAAAACUUCUUUUAAUUGGACAAUGUGCAAGCUUAGGUGAUUUUGGGUAUUUGGGUGAAAUUGGAAUAUUAUAUUUGUGGUUCGAAUGAACUUCGGGCUUUUGGAUGUCAAAUUUGGUGUUUUGUUUCUUUUUUCCAAAAAUGAUUUCGUAAAUUCAGAUUAAAACAUGAGUUUGUGUCCGGGCAUUUGUAUCCUUAUACGGGGGGGAUUGAAUGAGGCAGAAAAGAAAAAACCAUCCGAGGUUGUUUCCUUCCUCAGAGUGAGCAUCAAGUCUUCUUCAUCUUGUCUUUCUUCUCUCUCUUUUUCCACUUAAUCAUAUCAAGUCUCUAUGGUUUCAUUUCUUGAUCUGUCUGGCAAGUAAUAAAAAUUUUAAGAAUACAUCCUGGAUAACCCAAGCAAACUUUUGAAGCAAGAGAAGCUACUUAAUUUUCUCUUCCAAAGGUAUAACGCAUUACAUGUUUUGGGUACAAGCUGGUUGGAAAAUAAAUCCCUCUUAAUAUUGGGUUUUUUUGGUGCUUCAUUAGUUUACAACCUCACAUGUGAAAUUCACCUCUUUCUCCUUUCAUCGAUAAGAAGCCCUUCUCAAUCUGAUUAAGAAAUCUAUAUUGUAUCAUGAUAUUUAUAUGCAUCAUGAAUAUAUCGCUUAUCUUUGAUUGGAUAUCUUAAGUUGUUAAUUUGGCUUCUUGAGUGUUCUUUUUUGUGAUGUUAAAAUUGGAUACUGAACUGAUCAAAAUUGUUAUUAGAUAUGGUUCUAUCCCCAGGAAAUUUUAAUGUUCACUGAUAGUUUCCCUGUGUAUCACAUUCCUUAUGAAACUUGUUUUAAAGCACUACUUUGAAUAAGGAUUUUUCACUUAAUAGUAACUUUAUUUGCUUUUUGAUGCAGGACCACCAAGCAAUGGUCUGCAAUGCAUGAAAGGUCCUAAAAAUGUAGAUUAAACAAAGGUUUUAUGAUAGCUUGCUGUCCAAUUGAGAGCAGGGAAGCAGUUUACUAAAUUUGAAAUUAAUGACUGUAGGAUGAACAAAACUUUGUUCUAAUGUUUUAUGGGGGAAGAUAAAGGUUUGAGGACCUAAUUCAGGGUAUGCAACAAAAACUUGGUAUAUAUUAAGUUCAGAGUUGGUUAAUUUACAGAAGAUCGAAUGUAGUAGUGAUCAAACAGCUGAAAACUAAGACUGGAAUUUCUGAACCAGUGAGAAAGAAAUUAAAAUUGCAUAAAUGAGUGAUUUAGCACAGUGGACAAUAAAUCCUCAGAGUCAGUCAGCAUAAAUAGCAACCUA